UUAGAUUCAAAGAAAUAUCUGAAUCCAAUGAAACAAAAAAAGAAAAAGAUUAUCUAAUUAGUAAUCAAAUAAUUAACGAAUCAUUUCGUCAAAUUGAAUCUGGAAAUUGGCCAAAUUCUUCACUGAUAGAAACAAAAAUGAAGGAUUUGACUGAUAGAACAAGUACAAUCAAAAAUAAAAUAGAAAGAAUUACAAAAGAGAAAAAGAAAGUAACUCCAGAAAUAGACAUUAAUCCUAAUAAAACAAAUAAUAUUAAAAAAUUCGAAUCGCCAAAAAAAAUUUUCCAAAUAUUAAAAAGCAGAAAUACUCGAGUAAUAUGGAAAUUCCAUUAUUUUCUAAAAUUAUUCAUUCAAAGAUUAUACAUCAAUUUAUUUUUAUCUAUCAUUAAUAUUCCUAGAAUUACUACACAACUCUUUCUUAAAUCAACAAACAAAUUGAUUGAGAAAUUCAUCUCCAAUAAUGAAAUAAAUCAAGAAAAAAUUAAUAAUAAAAAAAAAUUCACUUUAUGUUUAUUUCGACUAUAAAAAAGUCACUUUAUAAUAUUAGUAAGAAAAAUUCACAUAUUUUGUGUGAUUUAUCCUACUUGUCACAAGCAUAUGUAUUUUACAAAUUAUCACAAACCCAAGUUAUUAAUUUUUCUAAAUUUAGAUCUGUUCUUCAAUAUAACACAACGUCUUGUUUCCUUAAGACUAAAAUAAAGGACUAUUUUAAAACACUAGGAAUAUUUCAUUCGGAAUUAAAAGAUAAGAAACUUCAGAGUUAUAGAAUAAAUCAAUGGAAAAACUGGUUAAGAUGGCAUUAUCAAUACGAUUUAUCUCAGAUUAGAUGGUCUAGAUUAAUGCCAAAAAAAUGGCGAACUAGGGUUAAUCAAAGUUGUAUGGCUCAAAAUAAAAAUAGAAACUUAAACAAAUGGAAUUCAUAUGAAAAAGACCAAUUACUUCAUUACAAAAAAGAAAAUGAUUCGGAACUCUAUUCAUUAUCAAACGAAAAAGAUAAUUUUAAAAAAUGUUAUGGAUAUGGUCUUUUAGCAUAUAAAUCGAUUAAUUAUGAAAAUAAAAGUGACUCAUUUUUUUCUAGAUUACCCUUUGAAGUUCAAGUAAAGAAGAACUUAGAAAUUUCGUAUAAUUCCAACACGUCCAAACACAACUUUGUUGAUAUGCCGGCAAUCUUCAUAUCAAUAAUUAUCUAAGAAAGGGCAAUAUUCUAGAUAGAGAAAGAAAUCUCGAUAGAAAAUAUUUUGAUUGGAAAAUUAUCCAUUUUUCUCUUAGACAAAAAGGAGAUAUUGAAGCCUGGGUUAAGAUCGAUACCAACAGUAAUCCAAAUACUAAAAUUGGUAUUAAUAAUUAUCAAAUAAUUGAUAAAAUUGAGAAAAAGGGGGUUUUUUAUCUUACAACUCAUCAACAUCCAGAAAAAACUCAAAAAAUUCGAAAAAAGUCUUUUUUGAUUGGAUGGGAAUGAAUGAAAAAAUAUUUAAUCGUCCCAUAUUGAAUCUGGAAUUUUGGUUCUUCCCAGAAUUUGUACUACUUUAUAAUGUCUAUAAAAUAAACCGUGGAUUAUACCAAGCAAAUUCCUUCUUUUUAUAUUUGAAUACAAAUAAAAAAAUGUUAGUCAAAAAUAAAAACCAAAAACUUUUUUUCUACCAUCAAAUAAAACAGAAAAAUAAAGAAUCGAAGUCAAGAAGCAAAAGAACCCCCAAGUCAAAGAGAGCGUGGAUCAGAUAUAGAAAACAAAGGAAAUCUGAGCCCAUGUUUCAAAACAUCAAACCGAUCUUGAAAAAGAUUACGUGGAAUCAGACACAAAAAAGGGUAAAAAUAAAAACAUUACAAAAGCAUAAUAAGCAAGUAUAAUUGAUUGUUCUUGGAAGGAAUAAAGUUUUAAUGAAAAAUGAAAAUAAUAAAAAUGGAAACAUACCUAUAGACGAUAAUGUUGAUUAAAGAUAUUACUACUCUAAUACUAAAAAAUUUGAAUACUGAUAUAAAAAGAGAAAUUUAUAAUAAAUUAUUAACAUAUGAGAUAAUAGAAAUAACAACCCAAGGUUGGACUGAUUAGUUAACCAUACAAAGGAUACAAGAUGAGCUUUAUUAUGACAUUAUGAUUUAUAUGAUGAUUUAGAUAUUGGAGAUUAAAUAUGACUGAAUAUUGGCUAAGACGAUAUUGUAGAAUUACAGGUAAAAAAGAUUAAAUAUCCAGAUAAAUUAAGUAGACUUUUAAAAUAUUAUAUAAAAAAUGAUGAUGAAUAAAAAUACUAAAAUAGAAAGAACCAAGAUAGAUAAAAAGGUAAGAAAAAUAUGGAAAAAAUUAAGACCUUGUAUAUAGAAUAUGAACUAUCGCAACUAGUCAAAACAGACAAUGGUAAAAGAUCAAUUGAUAAAUAUAAUUUCGAAACAGAUACAAUAUGUUCGCUAUUUGAAAAAACAGUUAGAACAAAGAAAUUUAUUAAACAACAAUUAAUAGAAAACAUAAUGGAAAAAAUGAGAAAGAACAAGAUUUACAACAUAGAAAAAUAGGUUAGAAGAAUAUAUUAGCAGGAGUAUAUAAUAACCAAUACUAGCACAAAGGAAAAGAUAUAUUAAUGUUAGAAUUAGAAUUAGAUUGUUUUGAAUAUGAAUUACAACAUAAUAUAAUACAUAGAUCAUAAUGAAAAAGAAGAGUUUGCAGUAGACGAAAAAAACAUAUGAAAAUCAAGAUGGAAUGAUAAUAAAAUAGUAUUUUCAAAUUUAGGAAGAAGAUACAAGAGAAUAGGAAAUAAGUUACUUAAUGCUAGAAAAAGAAAUAGCAAAAUUAGAAGAUAGUUUAACAGCUAUGGUAAGAAUAACAAAAAAAAAAUGAAGAAAUAGAUAAAUCAAGAGAAAUUGAAAAAAUAAAAACACAAGCCAAACAAGAAGUAACAAAAUUUAGAAGAAAAAAAAAAUACAAGAAUAGUGAAUUAGAAAAAGAAUUAGCUAGGUUAAAAUUAUUAUAUGAAAAUAAACAAAAACAAAAAGAUAAAGAGCUAGAAUUAANNNNNNNNNNNNNNNNNNNNNNNNNNNNNNNNNNNNNNNNNNNNNNNNNNNNNNNNNNNNNNNNNNNNNNNNNNNNNNNNNNNNNNNNNNNNNNNNNNNNNNNNNNNNNNNNNNNNNNNNNNNNNNNNNNNNNNNNNNNNNNNNNNNNNNNNNNNNNNNNNNNNNNNNNNNNNNNNNNNNNNNNNNNNNNNNNNNNNNNNNNNNNNNNNNNNNNNNNNNNNNNNNNNNNNNNNNNNNNNNNNNNNNNNNNNNNNNNNNNNNNNNNNNNNNNNNNNNNNNNNNNNNNNNNNNNNNNNNNNNNNNNNNNNNNNNNNNNNNNNNNNNNNNNNNNNNNNNNNNNNNNNNNNNNNNNNNNNNNNNNNNNNNNNNNNNNNNNNNNNNNNNNNNNNNNNNNNNNNNNNNNNNNNNNNNNNNNNNNNNNNNNNNNNNNNNNNNNNNNNNNNNNNNNNNNNNNNNNNNNNNNNNNNNNNNNNNNNNNNNNNNNNNNNNNNNNNNNNNNNGGAAUGAAAUCACCGCCCUUGGCAGCACACACAGUCGGACAACAUUGAGUUUGGCAUGCCAUCAUUGCCUAUUGAAACACAGACGGUCGAACGAUGUCCGGGCGUGGCAUGCAUCAUCACCUUUGGGUCAGCACAAACGGUCGAACGACGUUGCCGUGGCAUCCCAUUAUCGCCUUUGGACUAGCUAACACAGUCGAACGGCGUCGGGCGUGGCAUGCCAUCAUCUCCGUUGGAUGGAAAACACGGUCGAACGACGUUGGGCGUGGGCAUAUAACACCGCCUUUGUACAGCACACACGGUUGAACGACGUCGGUCGUGGCAUGAGAUCACCGCCCUUGAACUGAACGAACAGUCGGACGACAUCGAUCGUGGCAUGAUAUCACUGCCCUUGGACGGCCAAAAACGAUCGAACGACGUCGGGCGUGGCAUGCCCACGCCACCUUGGAUAGCACACACGGUCGAAACGACGUCGGCUUGGCAUGCAAUCAUCGCCUUUGGGCAGCACAUACGGUCGAACGAUGUUGGGCGUGGCAUGCCAUCAUGGCUCUUGGAUAGCACAUCACGGUCGAACGACAUCGGGCGUGGCAUCCUAUCAUAGCCCUUGAACGGCAAAUAAGGUUGAACGACGUUGGGCAUGUCAUACCAUCAUCGCCUUUGGACUAGCUGACAUAGUCAGACGAUGUCAGGCGUGGCAUGCCAUCAUCGCCCUUGGACGGGAAAAACGGUCGAACGACGUAGAGCGUGGAAUGCCAUAACCGCCUUGGGACAGCACACACGGUCAGACGACGUCGGGCGUGGCAUGCUAUCAUCGCCUUUGGGCAGCACAGACGGUCGGACGACGUCGAGCGUGGCAUGCCAUCACAACCCUUGGACAACACACAAGGUCGGAUGACAACUGGCGUGGCAUGCCAUCGCCGCCCUUGGACAGCACACACGGUAGGACGACGUGGGCGUGGCUUGAGAUCACCCCUCUUGGACUACACGCAUGGUCAGACGUGGCAUGACAUCACUUCCCUUGGAUAGCACACACGGUCGAACGACGUCAGGCGUGGCAUGACAUCACCGCCCUUGGACUACACGCACAGUUGGACGACGUCAAGCGUGGCAUGACAUCAACGCCCUUGGACAGCACAAACGGUCAGAACGACGUCGGGCAUGGCAUGCCAUCAUCGCCUUUGGGCAGCACACACAAUCGAACGACGUCAGGCGUGGCAAGCCAUCAUGGACCUUGGACAACACACACGGUCGAACGACGUCAGGAGUGGCAUGCCAUUAUAGCCCUUGGACGGCAAACAGGGUCGAACGACAUCAGGCAUGGCAUGCCAUCAUCGCUUUUAAACUAGUUGACACAGUCAGACGGCGUCGGGCGUGGCAUGCCAUCAUCGCCCUAGGACGGCAAACACCGUCGAACGACGUCGGGGGUGGCAUGCCAUCACCGCCUUUGGUCAGCACACACAGUCGGACAACGUCGGGCGUGGCAUGCCAUCGUCUGAUUUGGGCAGCACAGACGGUCGGAUGGGGUCAGGCGUGGCAUGCCAUCAUCGCCCUUGGACAGCACAAACGGUCAGCUGUCGUCGGGCGUGACAUGCCAUAAUAGCCCUUGGACAUCACACACGGUCGACAAUGUCGGGCGUGGCAUCAAAUCACCACCCUUGGACAGCACACACGGUCGAACGACAUCUAGCAUGGCAUGACAUCACUGCCCUUGGACUGCACGGACGAUCGGACGACAUCAGGCGUUGCAUGACAUCACCGCCCUUGGACAACACACAGCCGACAAUGUCGUGCGUGGCAUCACAUCACUACCCUAGGACAAUACACACGGUCGUCAACGUCGGGCGUGGCAUUGCAUCACCUCCCUUGGACAGCAUAAACGGUCGGACGACUUCGGGCGUGGCAUGACAUCACCGCCCUUGGACAGCACACACGGUCAAACGUUGUCGGGCGUGGCAUGACAUCACCGCCAUUGGACUGCACGCACGGUUGGACGACGUCGUUCGUGGCAUGACAAUACCGCCCUUGGACAGCAGACACGGUCGAACGACGUCGGGCGUGGCAUGACCUCACAGCCCUUGGGCAGCACACACGGUCGGACUACGUCGGGCGUGGCAUGCCAUCAUCGUGUUGGGCAGCACACACGGUCGAACGAUGUCGAGCGUGGCAUGCCAUCAUCGCGUUGAGGCAGCACACACGGUCGAACGACGUCAGGCGUGACAUGAGAUCAUCGCCUUAAGGCAGCACAAACGGUCAAACGACGUCAGGCGUGGCAUGACAUCACCGCCCUUGGACUGCACACACUGUCAGCAACGUCGAGCGUGGCAUGACAUCACCGCCCUUUGACAGCACACACGGUCGAUAACAUCGGGCGUGGCAUGGCAUCACCACUCUUUGACAGAACACACAGUCGGCAACGUCGGGCGUGGCAGGCCAUCACCGCCCUUGGGCAGCACACACGGUUAAACGCCUUCGGGUGUGGCAUGCCAUCAUCGCCUUUGGGCAGCACACACGGUCGAACGACAUCGAGCAUGGCAUGAAAUCAAAGCCUUUGGAAAGCACACACGAUCGAACGAUGUCGGGCGUGGGAUGCCAUCAACGCCUUUGGGUAGCAUAUACGAUCGAAUGACGUCGGGCAAGGCAUGCCAUCAGGGCCCUUGGACAGCACACACGGUCGAACGACGUCGGGUGUGGCAUUCCAUCAUGGACCUUUGACAACACACACAGUCGAACAACGUCGGGCGUGGCAUGCCAUCACAGCCCUUGGACGGCAAAAAGAAUCAAACGAUGUUGGGCGUGGCAUGCCAUCAUCGCUUUUAAAUGAGCAGACACAGUCGGACGGCGUCGGGCGUGGUAUGCUAUAUUAUCCCUUGAAUGGCAAACACAUUCAAACGAUGUCGGGGGUGGCAUGCCAUCACCGCCUUUGGACAAUACACACAGUCGGACGACGUCGAGCGUGGCAUGCCAUCAUCUCCUUUGGGCAGCACUGACGGUCGGACGGCUUCGGGCGUGGCAUGCCAUCACCGCCUUUGGACAGCACACACGGUCGGCAAUGUCGGGCAUGGCAUUACAUCACCGCCCUUGGACAGCACACACGGUCGAACGAUGUCUGGCAUGACAUGACAUCACCGCCCUUGGACUGCACACACGAUCAGACGAAGUCGAGCGUGGCAUGACAUCACCACCCUUGGAUAACAAACACGGUCUUUAACGUCGGGCGUAGCAUGACAUCACCGCCCUUGGACAGCACACACGGUUAGACGAUGUUGGGCAUGGCUUGACAUCACCGCCCUUGGACAGAUCACACGGUCCAACGAUGUCGGGCGUAGCAUGACAUCACCGCCCUUGGACUGCAUGUACGGUCGAAUGACGUCGGGCGUGGCAUGCCAUCACUGCCCUUGAACAGCACACACGGUCGGACUUCAUCGGGCGUGGCAUGACAUCACCGCCUUUGGAUAAAACACACGGUCGACCGACGUCGGGCGUGGCAUGCCAUCAUCGCCUUUGGGCAGCACACACAAUCGAACGACGUCGGGCGUGGCAUGACAUCACCGCCUUUGGACAACACACAUAGUGGAACGACGUCGAGCGUGACAUGCCAUCACCGCCUUUGGACAGCACACACGGUCGAAUGAUGUCAUGCGUGGCAUGCCAUCAUCGUCUUAAGACAACAUAAAUGGUCAAACGACGUCAGGCGUGGCAUGACAUCACCGCCUUUGGACAGCACAGACGGUCGAAUGACGUCAGGCGUGGCAUGACAUCACCGCCUUGGGGCAGGCACACACAGUCGAACAACGUCGAGCGUGGCAUACCAUCAUCGCCUUAAGGAAGAUCAAACGGGACGUCGAGCGUGGCAUGAUCAAGUGGGGGAGUUUGUCACGACCCGCAUGAUACCCAGGCAGAUCGCGACCCGUCUAGGAAGCCAGCAGCCUAUGCAAGGGGACAGACAGCCCAAAAAUGGCCAGCAGGCAAAGGGGCAGGCGUCCAAGCAGGCAGCAGACAAAGGGUCAGGCGUUUCAGCUGUUACAAGUAGUUACAGCCAUUACAGGUAGUUACAACCGUUACAGGCAGUUACAGCUGCUGCAGGCAGUUUCAGCCGUUACAGUCAUUUCUGCAGGUGAAGGGGCGAAAGUUUCAAGCCUUGGAGAGGCUUGUUCAAGGCCUCUAGGCGUGGGGCAGACUAGGAGCAGCUAGGAGUCUCUUUUUGGAAGACUUAGAAGCAUGUCUUGUGGGCAUGGACUUAGGGGCUUGUAUAUAGUGUAGCAUUUAUUUACUCUUAGUGUUUAGAGUAGUAUAAAUAGGUAGUCAUUGUAUUUGUAAUACAUCAACCAACAUUGAAUACAAGUCUUUCUUCCAAAACAGUCUUUUGUCUUUCCUUCAGUUUCUCUUAGCGAUCCGAGUAGUGAAAGGCUUACUUGAGUUUGCGAGAUCGUGAAAGAAUCGUGAGCAAACCGUCAAGUGCCGCACGGAGUAUUGUCCAGAUCGAAAAGUCUGUGACACUAUGGAUGGCAAACAUGGUUGAAUGACGUGUGGCGUGACAUGCCAUCACCGCCUUUGGACAGCAGUCAUGGUCGAACGACGUCAGGAAGGGCAUGCUAUCAUCGUCUUUGGGCCGCACAUAUGGUCGAAAGACGUCGAGUGUGGCAUGACAUCACCACCCUUGGACGUCACACACGAUCGAACGUCGUUGGGCGUGGCAUGCCAUCUUUGCCUUUGGGCAGCACACACGAUCGAAUGACGUCGGGCGUGGCAUGACAUCACCGCAUUUGGGCAGCACACACGGUAAAACAACGUCGAGCGUGACAUGCCAUCACCGCCUUUGGAUAGCACACACGGUCGAAUGACGUCGGGCGUGGCAUGCCAUCAUCACCUUUGGGAAGCACUCACGGUCGAACUACGUCGGGCGUGGCAAUGCCAUCAUCGCCUUUGGGAAGCACAAACGGUCGAACGACGUCCGGGCGUGGCAUGCCAACAUCACAUUUGGGCAGCACACAUGAUCGAACGACGUCGGGUGUGGCAUGCCAGCAUCGCCUUUGGGCAGCACACAAGGUCGAAAGACGUCGAACGUGGCAUGACAUCACCUCCUUUGGACAGCGCACACGAUCGAACAACGUCGGGCGCGACAUGCCAUCAUCGCCUUUGGAAAGCACACACGUUCGAACGACGUCGGGCGUGGCAUGCCAUCAUCACCUUUGGGCAGCACAAACAGUCGGACAGCGUCGCGCGUGGCAUGCCAUUAUCUCCUUUAGGAAGCACAAACGGUCAAACGACGUUGGGCGUGGCAUGACAUCACCGCCCUAGGACUGCACGCACAGUCGGACGACGUAGGGCGUGGCAUGACAUCACUGCCCUUGGACAACACACAUGGUCAAACGACGUCGGGCGUGGCAUGACAUCACCGCCCUUGGACGACAUGCACGGUUAAACGACGUCAGGCGUGGCAUGACAUCACCACCCUUUGACAGAACAGAAAAUUGGCAACGUCGGGCGUGGCAUGACAUCACCGCCAUAGAACAGCACAUGGUCGGAUGACGUCGGGCAUGGCAUGAAAUCCCCACCCUAGGGCAGCACACACAGUCGGACUACGUCAAGCGUGGCAUGACAUCACCGCCUUUGUACAGCACACACGGUCGAACGAUGUUGGGCGUGGCAUGCCAUCAUCGCCUUUGGGCAGCACACACGGUUGAACGACUUCGGGCGUGACAUGCCAUCACCGGCCUAGGACUGCACGCGCAGUCGUACGACGUCGGGCGUGGCAUGACAUCACUGCCCUUGGACAACACACAUUGUCGAACGACGUCAGGCAUGACAUGCCAUCACCGCCUUUGGACAGCACACACGGUCGAACGGCGCUGGGCAUGGCAUGCCAUUGUCACCCUUGGACAGCAAACACGAUCGAACAACGUCGGGCAUGGAAUGCCAUCAUCUCCUUUGGGAAGUACACACGGUCGACAUUGUCGGGUGUGGCAUGCCAUCAUGGCCCUUGGACACCACACACGAUCGAACGAAGUCGGUCGUGGCAUGCGAUCAUAGCCCUUGAACGGCAAACAAGGUUGAAUGACGUCGUGCGUGGCAUGCCAUCAUCGCCUUUGGACUAGUUGACACCAUCGGACGGCGUCGGACGUGGCAUGCCAUUAUUGCCCUUGGACGGGAAACACGGUCGAAUGACGUAGAGCGUGGAAUGACAUCAACGCCUUGGGACAGCACACACAAAAGGACAACGUCGGGCGUGGCAUACCAUCACCACCCUUGGACAGCACACAUGGUCGGAUGACGUCGGGUGUGGCAUGCCAUCACUACACUUGGACAGCACACACGGUGGGACGACGUCGGGCGUGACAUGAGAUCACUGCUCUUGGACUGCACGCAUGGUCGGACUACGUCGGGUAUGGCAUGACAUCACCAUGUUUGGACAGCACACACGGUCGAAUGAUGCGUGGCAUGGCAUGACAUCACCUGCCUUGAACUGCACGCACGGUAAGACGACAUCGGGCGUGGCAUGACAUCACCGUCUUGGACAGAACAUACGGUCAGCAACGUCGGGCGUGGCAUGACAUCGCCGCUCUUGGACAGCGCUCAUGGUCGGACGACAUCGGGCAUGGCAUGACAUCACUGCCCUUGGGCAGAAUACACGGUCGGACUACGUCGGGUAUGGCAUGACAUCACCUCCUUUGGACAGCACACACGGUCGAACGACGUCGUACGUGGCAUGCCAUCAUCGCCUUUGGGAAGCACACACGGUCGAAUGACGUCGGGCGUGGCAUACCAUCAUAGCCCAUGGAUGGCAAACACGGUCGAACGACGUCAAGCGUGGCAUGACAUCAACGCCCUUGGACAGCACACACGGUCAGAACGACGUCGGGCAUGGCAUACCAUCAUCGCCUUUGGGCAGCACACACAGUCGAACGACGUCAGGCGUGGCAAGCCAUCAUGGACAUUGGACAACACACACGGUCGAACGACGUCAGGCGUGGCAUGCCAUUAUAGCCCUUGGACAGGCAAACAGGGUCGAACGACAUCAGGCGUGGCAUGCCAUCAUCGCUUUUAAACUAGCUGACACAGUCGAACGGCGUCGAGCGUGGCAUGCCAUCAUCGCCCUAGGACGGCAAACACCGUCGAACGACGUCGGGGGUGGCAUGCCAUCACCGCCUUAGGUCAAGACACAUAGUCGAACGACGUCGGGCGUGGCAUGCCAUCGUCUCAUUUGGGCAGCACAGACGGUCGGAUGGCGUCGGGCGUGGCAUGCCAUCAUCGCCCUUGGACAGCACAAACGGUCGGCUGUCGUCGGGCGUGACAUGCCAUAAUAGCCCUUGGACAUCACACACGGUCGGCAACUUCGGGCGAGGCAUUAAAUCACCGCCCUUGGACAGCACACACGGUCGAACGUCGUCUAGCAUGGCAUGACAUCACCGCCCUUGGACUGCACGGACGAUCGGACGACGUCGGGCGUUGCAUGACAUCACCGCCCUUGGACAACACACAGCCGGCAAUGUCGUGCGUGGCAUCACAUCACCACCCUAGGACAAUACACACGGUCAUCAACGUCGGGCGUGGCAUGACAUCACCUCCCUUGGACAACACAAACGGUCGGACGACGUCAGGCGUGGCAUGACAUCACCGCCCUUGGACAGCACACACGGUCGAACAAUGUCGGGCGUGGCAUGACAUCACCGCCAUUGGACUGCACGCAUGGUUAGACGACGUUGUUCGUGGCAUGACAACACCGCCCUUGGACAGCAGACACAGUCGAUCGACAUCGGGCGUGGCAUGACCUCACAGCCCUUGGGAAGCACACACGGUCGGACUACGUCGGACGUGGCAUGCCAUCAUCGCGUUGGGCAGCACACACGGUCGAACGACGUCGGGCGUGGCAUGCCAUCAUCGCGUUGAGGCAGUACACACGAUCGAACGACGUCGGGCGUGACAUGCGAUCAUCGCCUUAAGGCAGCACAAACGAUCAAACGACGUCAGGCGUGGCAUGACAUCACCGCCCUUGGACUGCACGCACUGUCAGCAACGUGGAGCGUGGCAUGACAUCACCGCCCUUGGACAGCACACACGGUCGAUAACGUCGGGCAUGGCAUGGCAUCACCACUCUUUGACAGAACACACAGUCGGCAACGUCGGGCGUGGCAGGCCAUCACCAUUGGGCAGCACACACGGUUAAACGCUAUCGGGUGUGGCAUGCCAUCAUCGCCUUUGGGCAGCACACACGGUCGAAUGACGUCAGGCAUGGCAUGAAAUCAACGCCUUUGGAAAGCACACACGAUCGAACGAUUUCGGGCGUGGCAUGCCAUCAACGCCUUUGGGUAGCAUAUACGAUCGAAUGACGUCGGGCAAGGCAUGCCAUCACAGCCCUUGGACAGCACACACGGUCGAACGACGUCGAGUGUGGCAUUCCAUCAUGGACCUUUGACAACACACACAGCCGAACAACGUCAGGCGUGGCAUGCCUUCAUAGCCCUUGGACGACAAAAAGGGUCGAACGACGUUGGGCGUGGCAUGCCAUCAUCGCUUUUAAACGAGCAGACACAGUCGGACGGCGUCGGGCGUGAUAUGCCAUCAUCUCCCUUAAACGGCAAACACAGUCAAACGAUGUCGGGGGUGGCAUGCCAUCACCGCCUUUGGAGAACACACACAGUCGGACGACGUCGGGCGUGGCAUGCCAUCAUCUCCUUUGGGCAGCACUGACGGUCGGACGGCUUCGGGCGUGGCAUGCCAUCAUCGCCUUUGGAAAGCACACACGGUCGGCAAUGUCGGGCGUGGCAUUACAUCACCGCCCUUGGAAAACACACACGGUCGAACAACGUCUGGCAUGGCAUGACAUCACCGCCCUUGGACUGCACACACAAUCAGAAGACAUCGAGCGUGGCAUAACAUCACCGCCCUUGGAUAACAAACACUGUCUUUAACGUCGGGCGUAGCAUGACAUCACCGCCCUUGGACAGCACACACGGUCAGACGAUGUUGGGCAUGGCUUGACAUCACCGCCCUUGGACAGAACACACGGUCGAACGAAGUCGGGCGUAGCAUGACAUCACCGCCCUUGGACUGCAUGUACGGUCGGAUGACGUCGGGCGUGGCAUGACAUCACUGCCCUUGGACAGCACAGACGGUCGGACUUCGUCGGGUGUGGCAUGACAUCACCACCUUUGGACAACACACACGGUCGACCGACGUCGGGCGUGGCAUGCCAUCAUCGCCUUUGGGCAGCACACACAAUCGAACGACGUCGGGCGUGGCAUGACAUCACCACCUUUGGACAACACACACAGUGGAACGACGUCGAGCGUGACAUGUCAUCACCGCCUUUGGACAGCACACACGGUCGAAUGAUGUCAUGUGUGGCAUGCCAUCAUCGUCUUAAGACAACAUAAAUGGUCAAACGACGUCAGGCGUGGCAUGACAUCACCACCUUUGGACAGCACAGACGGUCGAACGACGUCAGGCGUGGCAUGACAUCACCGCCUUGGGGCAGGAACACACAGUCAAACGACGUCGAGCGUGGCAUGCCAUCAUCGCCUUAAGGAAGAACAAACGGGACGUCGAGCGUGGCAUGACAUCACCGCCUUUGGACUGCUCGCACGGUCGGCAACAUCGGGCGUGGCAUGACAUCACCGCCUUUGGCCAGCACACACGGUCGAACGACGUCGGGCGUGACAUGACAUCACCGCCUUUAGACAACACACGCGGUGGAGCAACUUCGGGCGUGGCAUGCCACAUUGCCUUUGGACUAGCUGACACAGUCGGACGGCGUCGGGUGUGGCAUGGCAUCGUCACCCUUGGACGGGAAACACGGUCGAACGACGUAGAGCGUGGCAUGUAAUCAAUGCCUAGGGACAGCACACACAGAAGGACGACGUUGGGUGUGUCAUGCUAUCAUCGCCUUUGGGCAGCACAGACGAUCGGACGACGUCGGGCGUGGCAUGCCAUCACCACCCUUAGACAGCACACGUGGUCGAAUGACAUUGGGCGUGGCAUGCCAUCACCGUCCUUGGAAAGCACACACGGUAGAACUAGGUCGGGCGUGGCAUGACAUCACCGCCUUUUGAUAGCACACACGGUCGAACGACGUCGGGCGUGGCAUGCCAUCAUCGCCUUUGGGCAGCACACACGGUCAAACGACGUCGGGCGUGGCAUGCCAUCAUAGCCUAUUGUAACGAUCCGCCUGAUACCUAGGCAGAUCGCGACCCAUCUAGGCAGCCAGCAGCCUGUGCAAGGGGACAGACAGCCCAAAAAUGGCCAGCAGGCAAAGGGGCAUGCGUCCAAGCAGGCAGCAGACAAAAGGUCAGGCGUUUCAGCUGUUACAAGCAGUUACAGCCGUUACAGGCAGUUACAGCCGUUGAAGGCAGUUUCAGCUAUUACAGUUGUUUCUGCAUGUGAAAGGGCGGCAGUUUCAAGCCUUGGAGAGGCUUGUUCAAGGCCUUUAGGUGUGGGGCAGACUAGGAGCAGCUAGGCGUCCCUUUUUGGAAGACUUAGAAGCAUGUCUUGUGGGCAUGGACUUAGGGGCUUGUAUAUAGUGUAGCAUUUAUUUACUCUUAGUGUUUAGAGUAGUAUAAAUAGGUAGUCAUUGUAUUUGUAAUACAUCAACCAACAUUUGAAUACAAGUCUUUCUUCCAAAAUAGUCUUUUGUCUUUCCUUUAAUUUCUCUUAGCGAUCCCAGUAGUGAAAGGCUUACUUGAGUUUGCGAGAUCGUGAAAGAAUCGUGAGCAAACCAUCAAGUGCCGCACGGAGUAUUGUCCAGAUCGAAAAGUUUGUGACAAUUGGUAUUAGAGCAGGUUCAUCGUAAGAGAAUGACGAACGAAGGAGAAGGCGCUAGCAGCACCCCCAACGUCCGCACUGAUGGUUGCAAGAAGAACAAGAAAGGGAAGAAGCAGCAGACGGGUAAUGAACCCAAUCUGCCCGGUCUUCCCCCAAGUGUUCCUCCACCAAGUGUUCCUACCCCAAGCGAAGGGAAGACAUCUCUCCCUCCCCAUAUUGUCGAUGGAAGUGACUAAGACACCGGCGAGGAGAUCGUGGACGUUACUGUCGGACAGGAGUGGAUUGCAAGGGUAGAAAAGGUAAGGCAAGCCGUUGAGAUCAUAGGCCACCGCUUGAACGGAACGGACAAAAAUCUUAAAGCUCUUGAAGAGUACUCCCUUGAGGAAGUUGACAGCGUCUGGAAGGAGGUUGAGACACGCCAGCGAGCAGAGUUCGAGACAAAGGAGGCCAUUACUUCCUUAGAGUUCAGGCUUAGGGAAGCACUUGGCGCAGUUGAGUCGCUUAAGGCCGAAGUGGCAGAACUCAAGGAAGAGAGAGAGGUUGGUGGAUCCUCAUCACAUGACCGGAAAAGGGAAGCCAGAGUUGAGGCGCCCAAGCCAUCUGUCUUCAAAGGCGUCCGUGACGCGCAAGCCGUGGAUAAUUUCCUUUGGCACUUGGAAAAUUAUUUCAAGUGUACGCGGGUUCGUAGUGAUGUGAACAAGAUCAACACGGCUGUGUUGUAUCUUUUAGAGUUGGCCAUGCUAUGGUGGAAGCAUAAAGAGUCUGACAUCGCAAAGGGGACAUUCGCGUUGAACACAUGGGAGCAGUUUUGUGUGCGGUUCAAGAAGGCGUUCCUCCCUAGCAACGUUGUCUAUGAGGCAAAGCGCAAGAUGCGGGAGUUGAGACAGAAGGGCAGCAUACGCGUGUAUGUGCAGGAGUUUACCACCCUUACAUUUCAGAUUCCCAACCUCAUGGACGACGACGCAUUGUUCUACUUCAUGGAUGGGCUGCAAAAUUGGGCAAGAAAAGAGUUGGAACGGCGGCAAGUCAGGACUAUAGACGACGCUAUUCCACAGGUUGAAGCCUUGACAGACUUCAGGCACGAGAAGUCCUUCAGUGCCGAUGAGGACAAUGAGGUAAGCAGUCAUGAUGAUAGUGGGGAAGACAGUGGCGAAGGUGAGGAGCAAAUGCCACAACCCAAAAGGCGUAACACCUACGGGUCCAGCGGCAAGAAGCCCGGAGAUCGUGGCAACACGGUAAGGGAUUCCUAGGAUGGUUGCUUUAUAUGCAAAGGGCCGCAUGGUUACAAAAGAUGCCCUGAACUCAAAAGUCUUGGUGCUAUCCUUCGUGAGCGGAAGGAAGAGAAGGCCCAAGAGGAAGUCGGGGAGACUAAGCAGUUGGGCGUGGUAAGCCUAUGCGGAGCUGCGAUUGAACAACCAUCGACGAGGCCAAGGCAAGAUAAGCCAAGGCAAGCAGAGUCGAAGCAUGCUGAGAAGGGACUUGCAAAGUCUAAGGCGUGGGCUCAAAUGGUCACGAUCAAUGGGAAUAUUGCUCGUGCUUUGGUCGACACCAGUGCGGAGGUCAAUGUUAUGACCAAGACGGCAGCAAAGAGGUUGGGGUUGCGAUAUACUGCAAGCAAUGCCCAAAUCAGAACUAUCAACGCAUUACCGACUCCUAUAGUUGGAGUUGCGCACGGGGUGAACAUCACGGUAGGCGAUUGGCAAGGGAAAACCAAGUUCAUCGUCGCCCCCAUCAAUAUGUUUGAUGUUAUUCUUGGGCAGAAGUUCUUCCAGCAGCGCCAUGCAGUAAUCGAUCCUCAUCUCCAAAAAUUGACAAUCAUGGAGAAAGGAAGGGAAUAUACAGUUCCCAUGGUGAAGGCGCAGGCAACGGAGGGACAGGCUAGACUGACAACCAUGAAGCUCGAGAGGGUCGAUUUAAGAAGAAGGUUAACACCAGCAGUGACCAUUGCAAGUUCGAGAGAAGACAAUGGUGCUAGAAACACCUUGCUACCGCGCAGGAAGAGGUUCCGAGUAGCUAGAAUUGAAAGAUGCUGCCGGAGCACUUGCCUCCGUUGAAGGAGGAAGUUCGGAAGAUCGCGUCGAGAAAGGUCGGGAAAUCGAUGAAGAGGCUGCUCGAAGGGAUUGAUCGAGUACGCGAGUUGAUGGUCGCCCGGCAGAAAUCAACGCCGAUACGGACGCAAUGCGACGCGGUCGUCGCAUCAUCAAGUGGGGGAGUUUGUCACUGACCCGCAUGAUACCCAGGCAGAUCGCGACCCGUCUAGGCAGCCAGCAGCCUGUGCAAGGGGACAGACAGCCCAAAAACAGCUAGCAGGCAAAGGGGCAGGCGUCCAAGCAGGCAGAAGACAAAGGUUCAGGCGUUUCAGCUGUUACAAGCAGUUACAGCCGUUACAGGCAGUUACAGCCGUUACAGGCAGUUUCAGCCGUUACAGGCAGUUUCAGCCGUUACAGUCAUUUCUGCAGGUGAAGGGGCGGCAGUUUCAAGCCUUGGAAGGGCUUGUUCAAGGCCUCUAGGCGUGGGGCAGACUAGGAGCAGCUAGGAGUCUCUUUUUGGAAGACUUAGAAGCAUGUCUUGUGGGAAUGGAAUUAGGGGCUUGUAUAUAGUGUAGCAUUUAUUUAUUCUUAGUGUUUAGAGUAGUAUAAAUAGGUAGUCAUUGUAUUUGUAAUACAUCAACAAACAUUUGUAUACAAGUCUUCCUUCCAAAACAGUCUUUUGUCUUUCCUUCAGUUUCUCUUAGCGAUCCAAGUAAUGAAAGGCUUACUUGAGUUUGCGAGAUCGUGAAAGAAUCGUGAGCAAAUCGUCAAGUGCCGCACGGAGUAUUGUCCAGACCGAAAAGUCUGUGACACUAUGGACGGCAAACACGGUUGAACGACGUCAGGCAUGACAUGCCAUCACCGCCUUUGGACAGCAGACACGGUCGAACGACGUCAGGUAGGGCAUGCUAUCAUCGUCUUUGGGCCGCACACACGGUCGAAAGACGUCGGGUGUGGCAUGACAUCACCACCCUUGGACGUCACACACGGUCGAACGUCGUUGGGCGUGGCAUGCCAUCUUCGCCUUUGGGCAGCACACACGAUCGAAUGACGUUGGGCGUGGCAUGACAUCACCGUAUUUGGGCAGCACACACGGUCAAACAACGUCGAGCGUGACAUGCCAUCACCGCCUUUGGAUAGCACACACGGUCGAAUGACGUCGGGCGUGGCAUGCCAUCAUCACCUUUGGGAAGCACACACGAUCGAACUACGUCGGGCGUGGCAAUGCCAUCAUCGCCUUGGGGAAGCACAAACGGUCGAACGACGUCCGGGCGUGGCAUGCCAACAUCACCUUUGGGCAGCACACACGAUCGAACGACGUCGGGUGUGGCAUGCCAGCAUCGCCUUUGGGCAGCACACACGGUCGAAAGACGUCGAGCGUGGCAUGACAUGCGCACAUGAUCGAACAACGUUGGGCGCGACAUGCCAUCAUCGCCUUUGGAAAGCACACACGAUCGAACGACGUCGGGCGUGGCAUGCCAUCAUCACCUUUGGGCAGCACAAACAGUCGGAUGGCGUCGCGCGUGGCAUGCCAUUAUCUCCUUUAGGCAGCACAAAUGGUCAAACGACGUCGGGCGUGGCAUGACAUAUACCGCCCUAGGACUGCACGCAUAGUCGGACGACGUCGGGCGUGGCAUGACAUCACUGCCCUUGGACAACACACAUGGUCGAACGACUUCGGGCGUCGCAUGACAUCACCGCCCUUGGACGGCAUGCACGGUCGAACGACGUCAGGCGUGGCAUGACAUCACCACCCUUGGACAGAACAGAAAAUCGGCAACGUCGGGCGUGGCAUGACAUCACCGCCAUAGGACAGCACACGGUCGGACGACGUCGGGCAUGGCAUGACAUCCCCGCCCUAGGGCAGCACACACAGUCAGACUACGUCAAGCGUGGCAUGACAUCACCGCCUUUGUACAGCACACACGGUCGAACAACGUCGGGCGUGGCAUGCCAUCAUCGCCUUUGGGCAGCACACACGGUCGAACGACGUCGGGCGGGGCAUGUCAUAAUAGCCCAUGGACGACAAACACGGUCGAACGACGUCAGGCGUGACAUGCCAUCACCGUCUUUGGACAGCACACACGGUCGAACGACGUCGGGCGUGGCAUGCCAUAAUCGCCUUAAGGCAGCACACACAGUCGAAAGACGUCGGGCGUGGCAUGAAAUCACCGCCUUUAGACAGCACACACGGUCGAACGAAGUCGCGCGUGGCAUGACAUCACCGCCCUUGGACGGCAUGCGCAGUCAAACGACGUCGGGCGUGGCAUGACAUCACCACCCUUGGAUUGCACAGACAAUCAGCAACGUAGGGCGUGGCAUGACAUCACCGCCAUAGUGUCGCACACGGUCGGAGGAUGUCGGGCAUGGCAUAACAUCACUGCCCUUGGUCAACACACACGGUUGGACUACGUCAGGCGUGGCAUGACAUCACCGCCUUUGUACAACACACACGGUCGAACGACGUCUGGCGUGGCAUGCCAUCAUCGCCUUUUGGCAGCACACACGAUUGAAUGACGUCUGGCGGGGCUUGCCAUAAUAGCCCAUGGAUGGCAAACACGAUCGAAUGACGUCAGGCGUGACAUGCCAUCACCACCUUUGGACAACACACACGGUCGAACGACGUUGGGCGUGGCAUGCCAUCUUGACUUUGGGAAGCACACACAGUCGAAAGAUGUCGGGCGUGGUAUGAUACACCAUCUUUGGGCAGCAAACACGGUCAAACGACGUCGGGCGUGACAUGCCAUCACCGCCUUUAGACAACACACACGGUCGAACGAAGUUGGGCGUGGCAUGCCAUCAUCGCCCUUGAACGACAAACAAGGUUGAAUGACGUCAGGCGUGGCAUGCCAUCAUCGCCUUUGGAUUAGCUGACACAGUCGGACGGCGUCGGGUGUGGCAUGCCAUCUUCGCCCUUGGAUGGGAAACACGGUCAAAUGACGUAGAGCGUGGCAUGCCAUCAACGCCUAAGGAAAGCACACAAGGAAGGAUGGCGUCGGGCGUGGCAUGCUAUCAUCUCCUUUGGACAGCACACAUGGUUGGAUGACGUCGGGCGUGGCAUGCCAUCACUGCCCUUGGACAGCACACACGGUAGGACGACGUCGGGCGUAGUAUGAGAUCACCACUCUUGGACUGCACUCAUGGUCGGACUACGUCGGGCGUGGCAUGACAUUACCACCUGUGGACAGCACACACGGUAGAAUGACGCGUGGCAUGGCAUGACAUCAUCGCCCUUGAACUGCACGCACGGUCAGAUGACAUCAGGCGUGGCAUGCCAUCACCGCCUUUGGACAGCACACACAGUCGGACGACGUCGGGCGUGGCAUGCCAUCAUCUCCUUUGGGCAGCACAGACGGUCGGACGGCUUCGGGUGUGGCAUGCUAUAAUCGCCCUUGGACAGCACAAACUAUCGGCCGUCGUCGGGCGUGGCAUUACAUCACCGCCCUUGGACAGCACAUACGGUCGAAUGACGUCUACCAUGGCAUGACAUCACCGCCCUUGGACUGCACGCAUGAUCAGACGAAUUCGAGCGUGGCAUGACAUCACCGCCCUUGGAAAGCACACAGCCGGCAAUGUCGAGCGUGGCAUGACAUCACCGCCCUUAGACAACACACACGGUCGUUAACGUCAGGCGUGGCAUGACAUCACCGCCCUUGGAUAGCACACACGGUCGAACGACGUCGGGCGUGGCUUGACAUCACCGCCCUUAAACAUAACACACGAUCGAACAAUUUCGGGCGUGGCAUGACAUCACUGCCCUUGAACUGCACGUACGGUCAGACGACGUCGGGCGUGGCAUGACAUCACUUCCCUUGGACAACACACACGGUCGGACUUCGUCGGGCGUGGCAUGACAUACCGCCUUUGGACAACACACACAGUCGAUCGACGUAGGGCGUGGCAUGCCAUCAUCGCCUUUGGGCAGCACACACAGUCGAACAACGUCAGGCGUGGCAUGACAUCACCGCCUUUGGACAGCACACAAGGUUGAAUGACGUCAAGCCUGGCAUGCCAUCAUAACCUUUGGGCAGCACACACGGUCGAACUACUUCGGGCGUGGCAUGCCAUCAUCGCCUUAAGGAAGCACAAAUGGUCAAACGACGUUAGGCGUGGCUGGACAUCACCGCCUUUGGACAGCACACACGGUCUAACGACGUCAGGCGUGGCAUGACAUCACCACCUUGGGGUAGGCACACACGGUUGAACGACGUCGAGCGUGGCAUGCCAUCAUCGCCUUAAGGCAGAACAAAUGGUCAAGCGACGUCGGGCGUGGCAUGACAUCACCGCCCUUGGACUGCUCGCACGGUCGGCAACGUCGGGCGUGGCAUGACAUCACCGCCUUUGGACAGCACACACGGUAGAACAACGUAAGGCGUGACAUGACAUCACACCUUUAGACAACACACACGGUGGAACGACGUCGAGCGUGGCAUGCCAUCAUCGCCUUUGGACUAGCUGACACAGUCGGAUGACGUUGGGCGUGGCAUGCCAUCAGCGCCCUUGGACGGGAAACAUGAUCGAAUGACAUAGAGCGUGGCAAGCCAUCAACGUCUAGGGACAGCACACACGGAAGGACGACGUCGGGCGUGUCAUGCUAUCAUCACCUUUGGGCAGCACAGACGGUUGGACGACGUUGGGCGUGGCAUGCCAUCACCGCCCUUGGACAGCAACAUGGUCGGAUGACAUUAAGCAUGGCAUGCCAUCACCGCCCAUGGACAGCACACACGAUAGGACUACGUCGGGCGUGGCAUGACAUCACAACCUUUGGUCAGCACACACGGUCGAACGACGUCGGGCGUGGCAUGCCAUCAUCGCCUUUGGGCAGCACACACGGUCGAUCGACAUCGGGCGUGGCAUGCCAUCAUAGCCUAUGGACGGCAAACACCGUCGAACGACGUUAGGCGUGACAUGCCAUCACCGCCUUUGGACAGCAGACACGGUCGAACGACGUCGGGUACGACAUGCUAUCAUUGCCUUUGGACCGCACACAUGGUCAAAAGACGUCGGGCGUGGCAUGACAUCACCGCCUUUGUACAGCACACACGGUCAAACGACGUCGGGCGUGAGAUAUCAUCACAGCCUUUGGACAGCGCACACGGUCGAACAACGUCGUGCGUGGCAUGCAAUCAUCACCUUUGGGCAGCACACACGGUCUAACUACGUCGAGCGUGGCAUGCCAUCAUCGCCGUUGGGCAGCACCAACGGUCGAACGACGUCGGGCGUGGCAUGCCAUCACCGCCUUUCGAUAGCACACACGGUCGAACGACGUCGGGUAGGGCAUGCCAUCAUCGCCUUUGGACAGCACACACAGUCGAAAGACGUCGGGCGUGGCAUGACAACUCACGCCUUUGGACAGCACACACGAUCAAACGACGUCGGGCGUGAUAUGCCAUCACCGCCUUUGGACAUCACACACGGUCGAACGACGUCGGGCGUGGCAUGCUAGCAUCGCCUAAAGGCAGCACACACAGUCGAAAGAUGUCGGGCGUGGCAUGACAUCACCGCCUUUGGACAGCACACACGGUCGAACGACGUCGGGCGUUACAUGCCAUUACCGCCUUUGGACAGCACACACGGUCGAACGACGUUGGGCAUGGCAUGCCAUCAUCACCUUUGGGCAGCACAAACGGUUGGACGGCAUCGGGCGUGGCAUGCCAUCGUCGCAUUUGGGCAGCACACAAUCAUCGCCUUUAGGCAGCACAAACGGUCGAACGACAUCGGGCGUGGCAAGCCAUCAUCACCUUUGGGCAGCACACACGGUCGAAUGACGUCGGGCGUGGCAUGCCAGCAUCCUUUUAAGGCAGCACACACAGUCGAAAGACGUCGAGCGUGGCAUGACGUCACCGCCUUUUGACAGCACACACGGUCGAAUGACGUUGGGCAUGACAUGCCAUCCCCACCUUUGGACAGCACACACGGUCGAACGACGCUGGGCAUGGCAUGCCACCAUCACCUUUGGGCAGCACAAACGGUCAAACGGCAUCGGGCGUGGCAUGCCAUCGUCACCCUUGGACGGCAAACACGGUCGAAUGACGUCGGGUGUGGAAUGCCAUCAUCUCCUUUGGGCAGUAUGCACGGUCGACAUCGUCAGGCAUGGCAUGCCAUCAUGGACCUUGGACACCACACACGAUCGAACGAAGUCGGUCGUGGCAUGCCAUCAUAGCCCUUGACCGGCAAACAAGGUUGAAUGACGUCGGGCGUGGCAUGUCAUCAUCGCCUUUGGACUAGCUGACACCAUCGAACGGCGUCGGGCUUGGCAUGCCAGCAUCGCCCUUCGACGAGACACACGGUCGAACGACGUAGAGCGUGGAAUGCCAUCAACGCCUUUGGACAGUACACAUGGUCGGAUGACGUCAGGCGUGGCAUGCCAUCAUCGCCUUUGGGCAGUACACAUGGUCGGAUGACGUCGGGCGUGGCAUGCCAUCACUACCCUUGGACAGCACACACGGUAGGACGACGAUGGGCGUGGCAUGACUUCACCGCUCUUGGACUGGACGCAUGGUCGGACUACAUCGGGCAUGGCAUGACAUCACCACCUUUGGAAAGCACGCACGGUCGGCAACGUCGGGCGUGGCAUGACAUCGCCGCUCUUGGAUAGCACGCAUGGUCGGACAACAUCGGGCAUGGCAUGACAUCACCGCCCUUGGGAAGCACACACGGUCGGACUACAUCGAGCGUGGCAUUCCAUUAUCGCCUUUGGGCAACACAAGGUCGAAAGACGUCAGGCGUGGAAUGACAUCACCUCCUUUGGACAGCGCACACGGUCGAACGACGUCGGGCGCAACAUGCCAUCAACGCCUUUGGAAAGCACACACGAUCGAACGACGUCGGGCGUGGCAUGCCAUCAUCACCUUUGGGCAGCACAAACGGUCGGACGGCGUCGGGCGUGGCAUGCGUUCAUCGCCCUUGGACGGUGAACACGGUCGAACGACGUCGGGUGUGGCAUGCAUUAUCGCCUUUGGGCAGCACACACUGUCGAAAGCCGUCGGGCGUGGCAUUCCAUCAUGGCCCUUGGAUAGCACACACGGUCGAACGACGUUGGGCGUGGCAUGACCUCAUAGCCCUUAAAUGGCAAACAAGGUUGAACGACGUCGGGCGUGGCAUACCAUCAUCGCCUUUGGACUAGUUGACACGGUCGAACGACGUUGAGCGCAGGCAUUCCAAUAUCGCCUUUGGGCAACACACACGGUCGAACGACGUCAAGCGUGGCAUGCCAUUAUCUCCUUUAGGCAGCACAAACGGUCAAACGACGUCGGGCGUGGCAUGACAUCACCGCCCUAGGAUUGCACGUACUGUCAGACGACGUCGGGCGUGGCAUGAAAUCACCGCCCUUGGACAGCACACACGGUCGAACGACAUCGGUCAAGGCAAGACAUUACCGCCCUUAGAUGGCACGCAUGGUCGAACGACGUCGGGCGUGGCAUGACAUAACCACCCUUGGACAACACAGACAAUCGGCAACGUCGGGCGUGGCAUGCCAUCACCACCUUGGACAUCACACACGGUCGGAUGACAGUCGAGCUUGGCAUGCCAUCACCGCCCUUCGACAACACACAUGGUAGGACGACGUCGGGCGUGGCAUGACCUCACCGCCCUUGGGCAGCACACACGGUCGGACUACGUCGGGCGUGGCAUGGCAUCACCGCUCUUUGACAGAACGCACAGUCGGCAACAUCGGGCGUGGCAGGACAUCACCGCCCUUGGGCAGCACACACGACUAAACGCCAUCGGGUUUAGCAUGCCAUCAUCUCCUUUGGGCAGCACAUACGGUCGAACAACGUCGGCCAUGGCAUGAAAUAAACGCCUUUGGAAAGCACACACGACCGAACGAUGUCGGGCGUGGCAUGCCAUCAUCGCCUUUGGGUAGCACAUACGAUCGAAUGACGUCGGGCAAGGCAUGCCAUCAGAGCCCUUGGACAGCACACACGGUCGAACGAUGUCGGGUGUGGCAUUCCAUCAUGGACCAUGGAAAACACACACGGUCGAACAACGUCGGGCGUGGCAUGCCAUCAUAGCCCUUGAACGGCAAAAAGGGUUGAACGACAUUGGGCGUGGCAUGCCAUCAUCACUGUUAAAUGAGCUGACACAGUCGGAGGCGUCGGUAGUGGUAUGCCAUCAUCUCCCUUGGACGGCAAACACAGUCAAACGGUGUCGGGGGUGGCAUGCCAUCACCGCCUUUGGACAGCACACACAGUCGGACGAUGUCGAAAGUGGCAUGCCAUCAUCUCCUUUAGGCAGCACAGACGGUCGGACGGCUUCGGGCGUGGCAUGCCAUCAUCGCCCUUGGACAGCACACACGGUAGGCAAUGUCGGGCGUGGCAUUACAUCACCGCCCUUGGAGAGCACACACGGUCGAACGACGUAUGGCAUGGCAUGAUAUCACGGCCCUUGGACUGCACGCACAAUCAGACGACGUCGAGCGUGGCAUGACAUCACCGCCUUUGGAUAACAAACACGGUCUUUAACGUCGGGCAUAGCAUGACAUCACCGCUCUUGGACAGCACACAUGGUCAGACGAUGUCGAGCAUGGCUUGACAUCACCGCCCUUGGACAGAACACACGGUCGAACGAUGUUGGGCGUAGCAUGACAUCACCGCCCUUGGACAGAACACACAGUCGGCAACGUCGGGCGUGGCAUACCAUCACCGCCCUUGGAAAGCACAGACAGUCGAACUACGUCGGGCAUGGCAUGACAUCACCGCCCUUGGGCAGCACACACGGUCGGCAACAUCGGGCAUUACAUGACAUAACCACCCUUUGAAAACAUACACGGUGGGCAACGUCGGGCGUGGCAUGACAUCACCGCCCUUGGACAGCACACACGAUCGGCAACAUCAGGUGUUGCAUGCCAUCAUCGCCUUUGGACAGCACACACGGUCGAACGACGUCGGGUGUGGCUUGCCAUCAUUGCCUUAAGGCAGCACAAAUGGUCAAAUGACGUCAGGCGUGGCAUGACAUCAUCAACUUUGAACAACACACACGGUCGAACGACGUCAGAUGUGGCAUGACAUCACCGCCUUGGGGAAGCACACACGGUCGAACAACGUCGUGCGUUGCAUGCCAUCAUCGCCUUAAGGCAGAACAAAUGGUCAAAUGACAUCGGGCGUGGCAUGCUAUCAUCGCCUUUGGGCAACGCAGACGGUCGGCAACGUCAGGCGUGGCAUGACAUCACCGCCUUUGAACAGCACACACGGUCGAACGACGUCAGGCGUGACAUGACAUCACCGCCUUUGGAUAACACACACGGUGGAACGACGUCGGGCGUAGCAUGCCAUCAUCGCCUUUGGACUAGCUGACACAGUCGGAUGGCGUCAUGCAUGGCAUGCCAUCAUCGCCCUUGGAUGGGAAACACCAUCGACAACGUAGAGCGUGGCAUGCCAUCAACGCCUAGGGACAACACACACGGAAGGACGACGUUGGGCGUGUCAUGCUAUCAUCGCCUUUCGGCAGCACAGACGGUUAGACGACGUCAGGCGUGGCAUGCCAUCACCGCCCUUGGACAGCACACAUGGUCGGAUGACGUUGGGCGUGGCAUGCCAUCACCGCCCUUGGACAGCACACACGGUAGGACUACGUCGGGCGUGGCAUGCCAUUAUCACCUUUGGGUAACACACACUGGUCGAACGACGUCGGGCAUGGCAUGACAUCAUAGCCUAUGGACGGCAAACACGGUCGAACGACGUCAAGUGUGACAUGCCAUCACCGCCUUUGGACAGCACACACAGUCGAACGACGUCAGGUAGGGCAUGCCAUCAUCGCCUUUGGGCCGCACACACGGUCGAAAGACGUCGGGCGUGGCAAGAAAUCACUGCCUUUUGACAGCACACACGGUCAAACGACGUCGGGCAUGACAUGCCAUCACUGCCUUAGGACAGCACACACGGUCGAACGAUGUCGUGCUUGUAAUGCCAUCAUCUCCUUUGGGCAGCACACACGGUCGAACUAUGUCGGGCGUGGCAUACCAUCAUCACCAUUGGGUAGCACAAACGGUCAAACGACAUUAGACGUGGCAUGCCAGCAUCGCCUUAAGGCAGCACACACAGUCAAAAGACAUCAAGCAUUGAAUGACAUCACCGCCAUUGGACAGCACACACAGUCGAAAGACGUCGGGCGUGACAUGCAAUUACCACCUUUGGACAGCACACACGGUAGGACGGCAUCGGGCGUGGCAUUCCAUCGUCGCCCUUGGACGGCAUACACGGUCGAACGACGUCGGGCGUGGAAUGCCAUCAUCUCCUUUGGGCAGUACGCACGGUCGACAUCGUCAGGCGUGGCAUGCUAUCACCCUAGGAAACCACACACGAUCGAACGAAGUCGGUCGUCGCAUGCCAUCAUAGCCCUUGAACGGCAAACAAGGUUGAAUGACGUCGGGCGUGGCAUGCCAUCUUCGCCUUUGGACUAGCUGACACAGUCGGACGGCGUCGGGCGUGACAUGCCAUCAUAGCCCUUGGAUGGGAAACACGGUCGAACGACGUAGAGCGUGGCAUGCCAUCAACGCCUAAGGACAGCACACAAGAAUGGACGACAUCGGGUGUGGCAUGCUAUUAUCUCCUUUGGGCAGCACAGACUGUCGGACGACGUAGACCGUUGAAUGCCAUCAAUGCCUUGGGAUAGCACAAAUGAAAGGACGACGUCGAGCGUGGCAUGCCAUCACCGCCCUUGGACAGCACACGUGGUCAGAUGACAUCUGGCGUGGCAUGCCAUCACUGCCCUUGGACAGCACACACGGUGGGACGACGUUGGGCGUGGCAUGAGAUCACCGCUCUUGGACUGCACGCAUGGUCGGACUACGUCGGGCGUGGCAUGACAUCACAACCUUUGGAUAGCACACACGGUCGAACGACGCGUGGCAUGGCAUGACAUCACUGCCCUUGAACUGCACGUGCGGUCAGACGACAUCGGGCGUGGCUUGACAUCUCCGAUCAUGGACAGCACGCAUGGUCGGACGACAUCGGACAUGGCAUGACAUUACCGCCCUUGGGCAGCACACACGGUCGGACUACGUCGGGCGUGGCAUGACAUCACCUCCUUUGGACAGCACACACGGUCGAACGACUUCGUGCGUGGCAUGCCAUCAUCGCCUUUGGGCAGCACACACAGUCAAAUGUCGUGGGGCGUGGCAUACAAUCAUAGCUCAUAGAUGGCAAACACGAUCGAACGACGUCGGGCGUGGAAUGCCAUUAUCGCCUUUGGGCAGCACACACGGUCGAACGACGUCGGGUGUGGCAUGCCGUCAUGGCCCUUGGACACCACACACGGUCGAACGAAGUCGGGCGUGGCAUUCCAUCAUAGCCCUUGAACAGGAAACACGGUUGAACGACGUCAGGCGUGGCAUGCCAUCAUCGCCUUUGGACUAGCUGACACACUCAGACGGCGUCAGGUGUGGCAUGCUAUCAUUUCCCUUGGACGGGAAACAUGGUCGAACGACGUAGUGCGUAGCAUACCAUCAAUGCCAUGGGACAGCACAUACGGAAGAACGACGUCGGGCGUGGCAUGACAUCAUCACCUUUGGGCAGCACACACGGUUGAACUACGUCGGGCGUGGCAUGCCAUCAUCGCCUUUGGGUAGCACAAACGGUCGAACGACGUCGGGCGUGGCAUGCCAUCAUCACCUUUGGGCAGCACACACGGUCGAACGACGUCGGGCGUGGCAUGCCAUAAUCGCCUUAAGGCAGCACACACAGUCGAAAGACGUCGGGCGUGGCAUGAAAUCACCGCCUUUAGACACCACACACGAUCGAACGACGUCAAGCGUGACAUGCCAUGACCGCCAUACGACAACACACGAUUGGACGACGUCGGGCAUGGCAUGACAUCACCGCCCUAGGGCAGCACACACGGUCAGACUACGUCAGGCGUGGCAUGACAUCAGCGCCUUCGUACAGCACACACGGUCGAACGACGUCGGGCAUGGCAUGCCAUCAUCGCCUUUGGACAGCAUACACGGUCAAACGACGUCGAGCGUGGCAUUCCAUUAUCGCCUUUGGGCAGCACACACAGUCGAACUACGUCGGGCGUGGCAUGCCAUCUUGCCUUGAGGAAGCACACACGGUCGAACGACGUCGCGCGUGGCAUGAAAUCACCGCCCUUGGACGGCACGCACAGUCAAACGACGUCGGGCGUGGCAUGCCAUCAUCACCUUUGGGCAGCACAAACGGUCGAACGACGUCGGGCGUGGCAUGCCAUCUUGCCUUGAGGAAGCACACACGGUCGAACGACGUCGCGCGUGGCAUGACAUCACCGCCCUUGGACGGCACGCACAGUCAAACGACGUCGGGCGUGGCAUGACAUCACCACCCUUGGAUUGCACAGACAAUCAGCAACGUAGGGCGUGGCAUGACAUCACCGCCAUAGUGUCGCACACGGUCGGAGGAUGUCGGGCAUGGCAUAACAUCACUGCCCUUGGGCAACAAACACGGUUGGACUACAUCAGGCGUGGCAUGACAUCACUGCCUUUGUACAACACACACGGUCGAACGACGUCAGGCGUGGCAUGCCAUCAUCGCCUUGGGGCAGCACACACGAUCGAAUGACGUCUAGCGGGGCAUGCCAUAAUAGCCCAUGGAUGGCAAACAUGAUCGAAUGACGUCAGGCGUGACAUGCCAUCACCGCCUUUGGACAACACACACGGUCGAACGACGUUGGGCAUAGCAUGCCAUCUUGACUUUGGGAAGCACACAUGGUCGAAAGAUGUCAGCAGUGGUAUGAUACACCACCUUUGGGCAGCACACACAUUCAAACGACGUCGGGCGUGACAUGCCAUCACCGCCUUUAGACAACACACACGAUCGAACGAAGUUGGGCGUGGCAUGCCAUCAUCGCCCUUGAACGGCAAACAAGGUUGAAUGACGUCAGGCGUGGCAUGCCAUCAUCGCCUUUGGACUAGCUGACACAGUCGGACGGCGUCGGGCGUGGCAUGCCAUCUUCGCCCUUGGAUGGGAAACACGGUUAAAUGACGUAGAGCGUGGCAUGCCAUCAACGCCUAAGGACAGCCACAAGGAAGGACGGCGUCGGGCGUGGCAUGCUAUCAUCUCCUUUGGACAGCACACAUGGUUGGAUGAUGUCGGGCGUGGGAUGCCAUCACUGCCCUUGGACAGCACACACGGUAGGACGACAUCGGGCGUGGUAUGAGAUCACCACUCUUGGACUGCACACAUGGUCAGACUACGUCGGGCAUGGCAUGACAUCACCACCUUUGGACAGCACAUACGGUAGAACGACGCGUGGCAUGUUAUGACAUCAUCGCCCUUGAACUGCACGCACGGUUAGACGACAUCAAGCGUGGCAUGCUAUCACCGCCUUUGGACAGCACACACAAUCGGACGAUUUCGGGCGUGGCAUGCCAUCAUCUCCUUUGGGCAGCACAGACGGUCGGACGGCUUCGGGUGUGGCAUGCCAUCAUCGCCCUUGGACAGCACAAACUAUCGGCUGUCAUCGGGCAUGGCAUUACAUCACCGCCCUUGGACAGCACAUACGGUCGAACGACGUCUACCAUGGCAUGACAUUAAGCCUGGCAUGCCAUCAUCACCUUUGGGCAACACACACGGUCGAACUACGUCGGGCGUGGCAUGCCAUCAUCGCCUUAAGGAAGCACAAAUGGUCAAACGAUGUUAGGCGUGGCAGGACAUCACCGCUUUUGGACAGCACACACAGUCUAACUACGUCAGGCGUGGCAUGACAUCACUGCCUUGGGGUAGGCACACACGGUUGAACGACGUCGAGCGUGGCAUGCCAUCUUCGCCUUAAGGCAGAACAAACGGUCAAGCGACAUCGGGUGUGGCAUGACAUCACCGCCCUUGGACUGCUCGCACGAUCGGCAACGUCGAGCGUGGCAUGACAUUAACGGCUUUGGACAGCACACACGGUAGAACAACGUAAGGCGUGACAUGACAUCAGGCCUUUAGACAACACACACGGUGGAACGACAUCGAGCGUGGCAUACCAUCAUCGCCUUUGGACUAGCUGACACAGCCGGACGGCGUUGGGCGUGGCAUGCCAUCAGCGCCCUUGGACGGGAAACAUGAUCGAACGACAUAGAGCGUGGCACGCCAUCAACGCCUAGGGACAGCACACACGGAAGGAUGACGUCGGGCGUGUCAUGCUAUCAUCGCCUUUGGGCAGCAUAGACGGUCGGACGACGUUGGGCGUGGCAUGCCAUCACCGCCCUUGGACAACACACAUGGUCGGAUGACGUUAAGCGUGGCAUGCCAUCACCGCCCAUGGACAGCACACACGAUAGGACUACGUCGGGCGUGGCAUGACAUCACAUCCUUUGGACAGCACACACGGUCGAAUGACGUCGGGCGUGGCAUGCCAUCAUCGCCUUUGGGCAACACACACUGGUCGAACGACAUAGGGCGUGGCAUGCCAUCAUAGCCUAUGGACGGCAAACACGGUCGAACGACGUUAGGCGUGACAUGCCAUCACCGCCUUUGGACAGCAGACACGGUCGAACGACGUCAGGUAGGGCAUGCUAUCAUCGCCUUUGGACCGCACACACGGUCAAAAGACGUCGGGCGUGGCAUGACAUCACCUCCUUUGGACAGCACACACGGUCAAACGACGUCGGGCGUGACAUAUCAUCACCGCCUUUGGACAGCGCACACGGUCGAACAACGUCAGGCGUGGCAUGCAAUCAUCACCUUUGGGCAGCACACACGAUCUAACUACGUCGGGCGUGGCAUGCCAUCAUCGCCUUUGGGCAGCACCAACGGUCGAACGACGUCGGGCGUGGCAUGCCAUCAUCUCCUUUGGGCAGCACACACGGUCGAACGACGUCAGGCUUGGCAUGCCAUCAUAGCCCAUGGACGACAAACACUGUCGAACGACAUCAGGCGUGACAUGCCAUCACCGCCUUUGGAUAGCACACACGAUCGAACGACGCUAGGCAUGGCAUGCCAUCAUCACCUUUGGGCAGCACAAACGGUUGGACGACAUCGGGCGUGGCAUGCCAUUGUCGCCUUUGGGCAGCACACAUGGUCGAACUACGUCGGGCGUGGCAUGCCAUCUUCACCUUUGCGCAGCACACACGGUCGAACGACGUCGGGCGUGGCAUGCCAUCAUCACCUUUGGGCAGCACACACAGUCGAAAGAAGUUGAGCGUGGCAUGACAUCACCGCCUUUUGACAGCACACACGGUCGAACGACGUUGGGCGUGACUUGCCAUCCCCACCUUUGGACAGCACACACGGUCGAACGACGCUGGGCAUGGCAUGUCAUCAUCACCUUUGGGCAGCACAAACAGUCGGACGGCAUCGGGCGUGGCAUGCCAUCGUCGCCCUUGGACGGCAAACACGGUCGACAUCGUCGGGUAUGGCAUGCCAUCAUGGACCUUAGACACCACACACGAUCGAAUGAAGUCGGUCUUGGCAUGCCAUCAUAGCCCUUGAACGGCAAACAAGGUUGAAUGACGUCGGACGUGGCAUGUCAUCAUCGCCUUUGGACUAGCUGACACCAUCGGACGGCGUCGGGCGUGGCAUGCCAGCAUCGCCUUUCGACAGGACACACGGUCGAACGACGUAGAGCGUGGAAUGCAAUAAACGCAUUUGAACAGUACACAUGGUCGGAUGACGUUGGGCGUGGCAUGCCAUCAUCGCCUUUGGGCAGUACACAUGGUUGGAUGACGUCGGGCGUGGCAUGCCAUCAAUACCCUUGGACAGCACACACGGUAGGACGACGACGGGCGUGGCAUGACUUCACCGCUCUUGGACUGCACGCAUGGUCGGACUACGUAGGGCGUGGCAUGACAUCACCAUCUUUCGAUAGCACGCACGGUCGGCAACGUCGGGCAUGGCAUGACAUCGCCGCUCUUGGAUAGCACGCAUGGUCGGACAACAUCGGGCAUGGCAUGACAUCACCGCCCUUGGGAAGCACACACGGUCGGACUACGUCGGGCGUGGCAUGACAUCACCUCCUUUGGACAACACACAUGGUCGAAUGACACUGGGCAUGGAAUGCCAUCAUCGCCUUUGGGCAGCGCAGACGGUCGGCAACGUCAGGCGUGGCAUGACAUCACCGCCUUUGGACAGCACACACGGUCGAACGACGUCAGGCGUGACAUGACAUCACCGCCUUUGGACAACACACACGGUGGAACGACGUUGGGCGUGACAUGCCAUCACCGCCUUUGGCCAACACACACAAUCGAACGAAGUUGGGCAUGGCAUGACGUCACCGCCUUUGGGCAGCACACAUAGUCGAACGACGUCGGGCGUGGCAUGACAUCACCACCUUGAGGCAGCACACACGGCCGAACGACAUCGAGCGUGGCAUGCCAUCAUCGCCUUAAGGCAGAACAAAUGGUCAAACGACAUCGGGCGUGGCAUGCUAUCAUCGCCUUUGGGCAGCGUAGACGGUCAGCAACGUCAGGCAUGGCAUGACAUCACCGCCUUUGGACAACACAAACAGUCGAACGACGUCAGGCGUGACAUGACAUCACCGCCUUUGGACAACACACACGGUGGAACGACGUCGAGCGUGGCAUGCCAUCAUCGGCUUAAGGCAAAAAAAAUAGUCAAACGACAUCGGGCGUGGCAUGCUAUCAUCGCCUUUGGGCAGCGCAGACAGUUGGCAAGGUCGGGCGUGACAUGACAUCACCGCCUUUGGACAGCACACACGGUCGAACGAUGUCAGGCGUGACAUGACAUCACCGCCUUUGGACAACACACACGGUGGAACGACUUUGGGCGUGACAAGACAUCACCGCCUUUGGCCAACACACACGAUCGAACGACGUCGGGCAUGGCAUGACGUCGCCGCCUUUGGGAAGCACACAUGGUCGAAUGACGUCGGGCGUGGCAUGACAUCACCGCCUUUGGGAAGCACACACAGUUGAACGACGUCGGGCGUGGCAUGACAUCACCACCUUUGGACAGCACACACAGUUGAAUGACGUCAAGCCUUGCAUGCCAUCAUCACCUUUGGGAAGCACACACGGUCGAACUACGUCGAGCGUGGCAUGCCAUCAUCGCCUUUGGACUAGCUGACACAGUCGGACGGCGUUGGUCGUGGCAUGCCAUCAGCGCCCUUGGACGGGAAACAUGAUCGAACGACAUAGAGCGUGGCAUGCCAGCAACGCCUAGGGACAUCACACACGGAAGGACGACGUCGGGCGUGUCAUGCUAUCAUCGCCGUUGGGCAGCACAGACGGUCAGACGACGUUGGGCGUGGCAUGCCAUCACCGCCCUUAGACAGCACACAUGGUCGGAUGACGUUAAGCGUGGCAUGCCAUCACCGCCCAUGGAAAGCACACACGAUAGGACUACGUCGGGCGUGGCAUGACAUCACAUCCUUUGGACAGCACAGACGGUCGAACGACGUCGGGCGUGACAUGCCAUCAUCGCCUUUGGGCAGCACACACGGUCGAACGACAUCGGGCAUGGCAUGCCAUCAUAGCCUAUGGACGGCAAACACGAUCGAACAACGUCGGGCGUGGCAUGCAAUCAUCACCUUUGGGCAGCACACACGGUCUAACUACGUCGGGCGUGGCAUGCCAUCAUCGCCUUUGGGCAGCACCAACGGUCGAACGGCGUCGGGCGUGGCAUGCCAUCAUCUCCUUUGGGCAGCACACACGGUCGAACGACGUCAGGCGUGGCAUGCCAUCAUAUCCCAUGAACGGCAAACACGGUCGAAUGACAUCAGGCGUGACAUGCCAUCACCGCCUUUAGAUAGCUCACAUGGUUGAACGACGUCGGGUAGGGCAUGCCAUCAUCGCCUUUGGGCAGCACACACAGUCGAAAGACAUCGGGCGUGGUAUGACAACUCACGGCUUUGGACAGCACACACGAUCAAAUGACAUCGGGCGUGACAUGCUGUCACCGCCUUUGGACAUCACACACGGUCGAACGACGUCGGGCGUGGCAUGCCAUCAUCACCUUUGGGCAGCACACACAGUCGAAAGACAUCGAGCGUGGCAUGACAUCACAGCCUUUUGACAGCACACACGGUCGAACGACGUUGGGCGUGACAUGCCAUCCCCACCUUUGGACAGCACACUCGGUCGAACGACGCAGGGCAUGGCAUGCCAUCAUCACCUUUGGGCAGCACAAACGGUCGGACGGCAUCGGGCGUGGCAUGCCAUCGUCGCCCUUGGACGGCAAACACGGUCGAAUGACGUUGGGUGUGGAAUGCCAUCAUCCCCUUUGGGCAGUAUGCACGGUCGACAUCGUCGGGCAUGGCAUGCCAUCAUGGACCUUGGACACCACACACGAUCGAACAAAGUCGGUCGUGGCAUGCCAUCAUAGCCCUUGAACGGCAAACAAGGUUGAAUGACGUCUGACGUGGCAUGUCAUCAUCGCCUUUGGACUAGCUGACACCAUCGGAUGGCGUCGGGCGUGGCAUGCCAGCAUCGCCCUUCAACAGGACACACGGUCGAACGACGUAGAGCGUGGAAUGCCAUCAACGCCUUUGGACAGUACACAUGGUCGGAUGACGUCGGGCGUGGCAUGCCAUCAUCGCCUUUGGGCAGUACACAUGGUAGGAUGACGUCGGGCGUGGCAUGCCAUCACUACCCUUGGACAGCACACACGGUAGGACGACGACGGGCGUGGCAUGACUUCACCGCUCUUGGACUGCACGCAUGGUCAGACUACGUCGGGCGUGGCAUGACAUCGCCGCUCUUGGAUAGCAUGCAUGGUCGGACAACAUCGGGCAUGGCAUGACAUCACCGCCCUUAGGAAGCACACACGGUCGGACUACGUCGGGCGUGGCAUGACAUCACCUCCUUUGGACAGCACACAUGGUCGAAUGACAUUGGGCGUGGAAUGCCAUCAUCGCCUUUGGGCAGCACACACGAUCGAACGAAGUCGGGCGUGGCAUGCCAUCAUAGCCCUUGAACGGCAAACAAGGUUGAACAAGGUCAGGCGUGGCAUGCCAUCAACGCCUUUGGACUAGCUGACACUCUCAAACGGCGUCGGGCGUGGCAUGCCAUCAUCGCCCUUGGACGGGAAACAUGGUCGAACGACUUAGAGCAUGGCAUGCCAUCAACACCUUGGGACAGCACACACGGAAGAACGACGUAGGGCGUGGCAUGACAUCACCGCCCUUGGACAGCACACACGGUCGAACAACAUCGGGUGUGGCAUGACAUCACCGCCCUUGGACAACACAGACAAUCGGCAACAUCGGGCGUGGCAUGACUUCACCGCCAUAGACAGCACACGGUCAAACGACGUCAGGCAUGGCAUGACAUCACUGCCCUUGGGCAGCACACACGGUCAGACUACGUCAAGCGUGGCAUGACAUCACCGCCAUUGUACAGCGCACACGGUCGAACGACGUCGAGCGUGGCAUUCCAUUAUCGCCUUUGGGCAGCACACAAGGCGAACUACGUCGGGCGUGGCAUGCCAUCAUCGCUUUUGGGCAGCACACACUGUCGAACGACGUUGGGCGUGGCAUGCCAGCAUCGCCUUUGGGCAGCACAAGGUCGAAAGACGUCAGGCGUGGCAUGACAUCACCUCCUUUGGACAGCACACACGGUCGAAUGUCAUCAGGCGUGGCAUGCCAUAAUCGCCUUUGGGAAGCACACACGGUCGAACGACGUUGGGUGUGGCAUGACAUCACCCCCUUUGGACAGCACACACGGUCAAAUGACGUCGGCCAUGACAUAACAACACCGCCUUUGAAAAGCACACACGCUCGAACGACGUCGAGCGUGGCAUUCCAUUUUCACCUUUGGGCUGCACACACGGUCAAACGACGUCUGGCGUGGCAUGCCAUUAUUGCCUUUGGGCAGCACAAACAGUCGAACGACGUUUGGCGUGGCAUGACUUCACCGCCCUACGACUGCACGAACGGUCAGACGAUGUCGGUCGUGGCAUGACAUCACAUCCCUUGGACAGCACACACCGUCGAACAACGUCGGGCCAGGCAUGAUAUCACCACCCUUGGACGGUACGCACGGUCGAACGACGUCGGGCGUGGCAUGACAUCACCACCCUUGGAGGUCACACACGGUCGAACGUCGUUGGGCGUGGCAUGCCAUCAUCUCCUUUGGGAAGCACACACGAUCGAAUGACGUCGGGCGUGGCAUGACAUCACCACAUUUGGGCAGCACACAUGGUCGAAUGACGUCAAGCGUGGCAUGCCAUCAUCACCUUGUGGAAGCACACACGGUCGAACUACGUCAGGCGUGGCAUGCCAUCAUCGCCUUUGGGAAGCACAAACGGUCGAACGACGUCGGGCGUGGCAUGCCAACAUCACCUUUGGGCGACACACGGUCGAACGACGACGGGCGUGGCAUGCCAGCAUCGCCUUUGGGCAGCACACAAGGUCGAAAGACGUCGAGCGUGCUAUGACAUCACCUCCUUUAGACAGCGCACACGGUCGAACAACGUCGGGCGCGACAUGCCAUCACCGCCUUUGGAAAGCACACACGGUCGAACGCCGUCGGGUGUGGCAUGCCAUUAUCACCUUUGGGCAGCACAAACAGUCGGACGGCGUCGGGCGUGGCAUGCCAUCAUAGCCCUUGAACGGCAAACAAGGUCAAACGGCGUCGGGUGUGGCAUGCAUUAUCGCCUUUGGGCAGCACACACGGUCGAACGACGUCGGGCGUGGCAUGCCAUCAUGGCCCUUGGAUAGCACACACGGUCGAACGACGUCGGGCGUGGCAUGCCAUCACCGCCCUAGGAGUGCACGCACAGUCGGAUGAUGUCGGGCGUGGCAUGACAUCAAAUCCCUUGGACAACACAUACGAUCGAACAACGUCGGGCCUUGCAUGACAUCACUGCCCUUGGACGGCACGCACGGUCGAACGACGUCGGGCAUGGCAUGACAUCACCACCCUUGGACGUCACACAGGUCGAACGUCGUUGGGCGUGGCAUGACAUCAUCUCCUUUGGGCAGCACACACGAUCGAAUGACGUCGGGCGUGGCAUGACAUCACCGUAUUUGGGCAGCACACACGAUCAAACAAUGUCCGGCGUGACAUGCCAUCACCGCCUUUGGACAGCACACACGGUCAAAUGACGUCAAGCGUGGCAUGCCAUCAUCACCUUUUGGGCAGCACACACGGUCGAACUACGUCGGGCGUGGCAUGCCAUCAUCGCCUUUGGGAAGCACAAACGGUCGAACGACGUCGGGCGUGGCAUGCCAACAUCACCUUUGGGCGACACACGGUCGAACGACGACGGGCGUGGCAUGCCAGCAUCGCCUUUGGGCAGCACACAAGGUCGAAAGACGUCGAGUGUGGCAUGACAUCACCUCCUUUGGACAGCGCACACGGUCGAACAACGUCGGGCGCGACAUGCCAUCACCACCUUUGGAAAGCACACACGGCCGAACGACGUCGGGUGUGGCAUGCCAUUAUCACUUAUGGGCAGCACAAAUAGUCGGACUGUGUCGGGCGUGGCAUGCCAUCAUAGCCCUUGAACGGCAAACAAGGUCGAACGACGUCGGGUGUGGCAUGCAUCAUUGCCUUUGGGCAGCACAUACGGUGGAAUGACGUCCGGCGUGGCAUGCCAUCAUGGCCCUUGGAUAGCACACACGGUCGAACAACGUCGGGCGUGGCAUGCCAUCAUAGCCCUUGAACGGCAAACAAGGUUGAACGACGUCGAGCAUGGCAUACAUUAUCGCCUUUGGACUAGCUGACACAGCUGGACGGCAUAAGGCGUGGCAUGCCAUCAUCGCCCUUGGACGGGAAACACGGUCGAAUGACGUAGAGCGUGGCAUGCCAUCACAGCCUUGGGACAGCACACACGGUCAGUCGGCGUCGGGCGUGGCAUGCUAUCAUCGCCUUUGGGUAGCACAAACGGUCAUACGACGUUGGGCGUGGCAUACCAUCACCGCCGUUGGAUAGCACACAAGGUCGGAUGACGUCUGACGUGUCAUGCCAUCGCCGCCCUUGGAAUGCACACACAGUAGGACGACGUGGGGCAUGGCAUGAGAUCUCCGCUCUAAGACAGCACACAAGGUCGAACGACGUCAGGGGUGGCAUGACAUCACUGCCCUUGGACUACACGCACGGUCGGACAACAUCAGGCGUGGCAUGACAUCACCGCCCUUGGACAACACACACGGUCGGCAACGUCAGGCGUGGGAUGACAUCACCGCCCUUGGACAGCACACACGGUCAAACGACGUCGGGCGUGGAAUGAAAUCACCGCCCUUGGGCAGCACACACAGUCGGACAACAUUGAGUUUGGCAUGCCAUCAUUGCCUAUUGGAAACACAGACGGUCGAACGAUGUCGGGCGUGGCAUGCCAUCAUCACCUUUGGGCAGCACAAACGGUCGAACGACGUUGGCCGUGGCAUCCCAUUAUCGCCUUUGGACUAGCUAACACAGUCGGACGGCGUCGGGCGUGGCAUGCCAUCAUCUCCGUUGGAUGGAAAACACGGUCGAACGACGUUGGGCGUGGCAUGAUAUCACCGCCUUUGUACAGCACACACGGUUGAACGACGUCGGGCGUGGCAUGAGAUCACCGCCCUUGAACUGAACGAACAGUCGGACGACAUCGAUCGUGGCAUGAUAUCACUGCCCUUGGACGGCAAAAACGAUCGAACGACGUCGGGCGUGGCAUGCCAACGCCACCUUUGGAUAGCACACACGGUCGAACGACGUCGGGCUUGGCAUGCAAUCAUCGCCUUUGGGCAGCACAUACGGUCGAACGAUGUUGGGCGUGGCAUGCCAUCAUGGCUCUUGGAUAGCACACACGGUCGAACGACAUCGGGCGUGGCAUCCUAUCAUAGCCCUUGAACGGCAAAUAAGGUUGAACGACGUUGGGCAUGUCAUACCAUCAUCGCCUUUGGACUAGCUGACAUAGUCAGACGAUGUCAGGCGUGGCAUGCCAUCAUCGCCCUUGGACGGGAAAAACGGUCGAACGACGUAGAGCGUGGAAUGCCAUAACCGCCUUGGGACAGCACACACGGUCAGACGACGUCGGGCGUGGCAUGCUAUCAUCGCCUUUGGGCAGCACAGACGGUCGGACGACGUCGAGCGUGGCAUGCCAUCACAACCCUUGGACAACACACAAGGUCGGAUGACAACUGGCGUGGCAUGCCAUCGCCGCCCUUGGACAGCACACACGGUAGGACGACGUGGGCGUGGCUUGAGAUCACCCCUCUUGGACUACACGCAUGGUCAGACGUGGCAUGACAUCACUUCCCUUGGAUAGCACACACGGUCGAACGACGUCAGGCGUGGCAUGACAUCACCGCCCUUGGACUACACGCACAGUUGGACGACGUCAAGCGUGGCAUGACAUCAACGCCCUUGGACAGCACACACGGUCAGAACGACGUCGGGCAUGGCAUGCCAUCAUCGCCUUUGGGCAGCACACACAAUCGAACGACGUCAGGCGUGGCAAGCCAUCAUGGACCUUGGACAACACACACGGUCGAACGACGUCAGGAGUGGCAUGCCAUUAUAGCCCUUGGACGGCAAACAGGGUCGAACGACAUCAGGCAUGGCAUGCCAUCAUCGCUUUUAAACUAGUUGACACAGUCAGACGGCGUCGGGCGUGGCAUGCCAUCAUCGCCCUAGGACGGCAAACACCGUCGAACGACGUCGGGGGUGGCAUGCCAUCACCGCCUUUGGUCAGCACACACAGUCGGACAACGUCGGGCAUGGCAUGCCAUCGUCUCAUUUGGGCAGCACAGACGGUCGGAUGGGGUCGGGCGUGGCAUGCCAUCAUCGCCCUUGGACAGCACAAACGGUCAGCUGUCGUCGGGCGUGACAUGCCAUAAUAGCCCUUGGACAUCACACACGGUCGACAAUGUCGGGCGAGGCAUUAAAUCACCACCCUUGGACAGCACACACGGUCGAACGACAUCUAGCAUGGCAUGACAUCACUGCCCUUGGACUGCACGGACGAUCGGACGACAUCAGGCGUUGCAUGACAUCACCGCCCUUGGACAACACACAGCCGACAAUGUCGUGCGUGGCAUCACAUCACUACCCUAGGACAAUACACACGGUCGUCAACGUCGGGCGUGGCAUGACAUCACCUCCCUUGGACAGCACAAACGGUCGGACGACGUCGGGCGUGGCAUGACAUCACCGCCCUUGGACAGCACACACGGUCAAACGUUGUCGGGCGUGGCAUGACAUCACCGCCAUUGGACUGCACGCACGGUUGGACGACGUCGUUCGUGGCAUGACAAUACCGCCCUUGGACAGCAGACACGGUCGAACGACGUCGGGCGUGGCAUGACCUCACAGCCCUUGGGCAGCACACACGGUCGGACUACGUCGGGCGUGGCAUGCCAUCAUCGUGUUGGGCAGCACACACGGUCGAACGAUGUCGAGCGUGGCAUGCCAUCAUCGCGUUGAGGCAGCACACACGGUCGAACGACGUCAGGCGUGACAUGAGAUCAUCGCCUUAAGGCAGCACAAACGGUCAAACGACGUCAGGCGUGGCAUGACAUCACCGCCCUUGGACUGCACACACUGUCAGCAACGUCGAGCGUGGCAUGACAUCACCGCCCUUUGACAGCACACACGGUCGAUAACAUCGGGCGUGGCAUGGCAUCACCACUCUUUGACAGAACACACAGUCGGCAACGUCGGGCGUGGCAGGCCAUCACCGCCCUUGGGCAGCACACACGGUUAAACGCCUUCGGGUGUGGCAUGCCAUCAUCGCCUUUGGGCAGCACACACGGUCGAACGACAUCGAGCAUGGCAUGAAAUCAAAGCCUUUGGAAAGCACACACGAUCGAACAAUGUCGGGCGUGGGAUGCCAUCAACGCCUUUGGGUAGCAUAUACGAUCGAAUGACGUCGGGCAAGGCAUGCCAUCAGGGCCCUUGGACAGCACACACGGUCGAACGACGUCGGGUGUGGCAUUCCAUCAUGGACCUUUGACAACACACACAGUCGAACAACGUCGGGCGUGGCAUGCCAUCACAGCCCUUGGACGGCAAAAAGAAUCAAACGAUGUUGGGCGUGGCAUGCCAUCAUCGCUUUUAAACGAGCAGACACAGUCGGACGGCGUCGGGCGUGGUAUGCUAUCAUAUCCCUUGAAUGGCAAACACAUUCAAACGAUGUCGGGGGUGGCAUGCCAUCACCGCCUUUGGACAAUACACACAGUCGGACGACGUCGGGCGUGGCACGCCAUCAUCUCUUUUGGGCAGCACUGACGGUCGGACGGCUUCGGGCAUGGCAUGCCAUCACCGCCUUUGGACAGCACACACGGUCGGCAAUGUCGGGCAUGGCAUUACAUCACCGCCCUUGGACAGCACACACGGUCGAACGAUGUCUGGCAUGGCAUGACAUCACCGCCCUUGGACUGCACACACGAUCAGACGAAGUCGAGCGUGGCAUGACAUCACCGCCCUUGGAUAACAAACACGGUCUUUAACGUCGGGCGUAGCAUGACAUCACCGCCCUUGGACAGCACACACGGUUAGACGAUGUUGGGCAUGGCUUGACAUCACCGCCCUUGGACAGAUCACACGGUCCAACGAUGUCGGGCGUAGCAUGACAUCACCGCCCUUGGACUGCAUGUACGGUCGAAUGACGUCGGGCGUGGCAUGCCAUCACUGCCCUUGGACAGCACACACGGUCGGACUUCAUCGGGCGUGGCAUGACAUCACCGCCUUUGGAUAAAACACACGGUCGACCGACGUCGGGCGUGGCAUGCCAUCAUCGCCUUUGGGCAGCACACACAAUCGAACGACAUCGGGCGUGGCAUGACAUCACCGCCUUUGGACAACACACAUAGUGGAACGACGUCGAGCGUGACAUGCCAUCACCGCCUUUGGACAGCACACACGGUCGAAUGAUGUCAUGCGUGGCAUGCCAUCAUCGUCUUAAGACAACAUAAAUGGUCAAACGACGUCAGGCGUGGCAUGACAUCACCGCCUUUGGACAGCACAGACGGUCGAAUGACGUCAGGCGUGGCAUGACAUCACCGCCUUGGGGCAGGCACACACAGUCGAACAACGUCGAGCGUGGCAUACCAUCAUCGCCUUAAGGAAGAUCAAACGGGACGUCGAGCGUGGCAUGAUCAAGUGGGGGAGUUUGUCACGGCCCGCAUGAUACCCAGGCAGAUCGCGACCCGUCUAGGAAGCCAGCAGCCUAUGCAAGGGGACAGACAGCCCAAAAAUGGCCAGCAGGCAAAGGGGCAGGCGUCCAAGCAGGCAGCAGACAAAGGGUCAGGCGUUUCAGCUGUUACAAGCAGUUACAGCCAUUACAGGCAGUUACAACCGUUACAGGCAGUUACAGCUGUUGCAGGCAGUUUCAGCCGUUACAGUCAUUUCUGCAGGUGAAGGGGCGACAGUUUCAAGCCUUGGAGAGGCUUGUUCAAGGCCUCUAGGCGUGGGGCAGACUAGGAGCAGCUAGGAGUCUCUUUUUGGAAGACUUAGAAGCAUGUCUUGUGGGCAUGGACUUAGGGGCUUGUAUAUAGUGUAGCAUUUAUUUACUCUUAGUGUUUAGAGUAGUAUAAAUAGGUAGUCAUUGUAUUUGUAAUACAUCAACCAACAUUUGAAUACAAGUCUUUCUUCCAAAACAGUCUUUUGUCUUUCCUUCAGUUUCUCUUAGCGAUCCGAGUAGUGAAAGGCUUACUUGAGUUUGCGAGAUCGUGAAAGAAUCGUGAGCAAACCGUCAAGUGCCGCACGGAGUAUUGUCCAGAUCGAAAAGUCUGUGACACUAUGGAUGGCAAACAUGGUUGAAUGACGUGUGGCGUGACAUGCCAUCACCGCCUUUGGACAGCAGACAUGGUCGAACGACGUCAGGAAGGGCAUGCUAUCAUCGUCUUUGGGCCGCACAUAUGAUCGAAAGACGUCGAGUGUGGCAUGACAUCACCACCCUUGGACGUCACACACGAUCGAACGUCGUUGGGCGUGGCAUGCCAUCUUUGCCUUUGGGCAGCACACACGAUCGAAUGACGUCAGGCGUGGCAUGACAUCACCGCAUUUGGGCAGCACACACGGUAAAACAACGUCGAGCGUGACAUGCCAUCACCGCCUUUGGAUAGCACACACGGUCGAAUGACGUCGGGCGUGGCAUGCCAUCAUCACCUUUGGGAAGCACUCACGGUCGAACUACGUCGGGCGUGGCAAUGCCAUCAUCGCCUUUGGGAAGCACAAACGGUCGAACGACGUCUGGGCGUGGCAUGCCAACAUCACAUUUGGGCAGCACACAUGAUCGAACGACGUCGGGUGUGGCAUGCCAGCAUCGCCUUUGGGCAGCACACAAGGUCGAAAGACGUCGAACGUGGCAUGACAUCACCUCCUUUGGACAGCGCACACGAUCGAACAACGUCGGGCGCGACAUGCCAUCAUCGCCUUUGGAAAGCACACACGUUCGAACGACGUCGGGCGUGGCAUGCCAUCAUCACCUUUGGGCAGCACAAACAGUCGGACAGCGUCGGGCGUGGCAUGCCAUCAUCUCCUUUAGGAAGCACAAACGGUCAAACGACGUUGGGCGUGGCAUGACAUCACCGCCCUAGGACUGCACGCACAGUCGGACGACGUAGGGCGUGGCAUGACAUCACUGCCCUUGGACAACACACAUGGUCAAACGACGUCGGGCGUGGCAUGACAUCACCGCCCUUGGACGACAUGCACGGUUAAACGACGUCAGGCGUGGCAUGACAUCACCACCCUUGGACAGAACAGAAAAUUGGCAACGUCGGGCGUGGCAUGAAAUCACCGCCAUAGAACAGCACAUGGUCGGAUGACGUCGGGCAUGGCAUGAAAUCCCCGCCCUAGGGCAGCACACACAGUCGGACUACGUCAAGCGUGGCAUGACAUCACCGCCUUUGUACAGCACACACGGUCGAACGAUGUUGGGCGUGGCAUGCCAUCAUCGCCUUUGGGCAGCACACACGGUUGAACGACUUCGGGCGUGACAUGCCAUCACCGGCCUAGGACUGCACGCGCAGUCGUACGACGUCGGGCGUGGCAUGACAUCACUGCCCUUGGACAACACACAUUGUCGAACGACGUCAGGCAUGACAUGCCAUCACCGCCUUUGGACAGCACACACGGUCGAACGGCGCUGGGCAUGGCAUGCCAUUGUCACCCUUGGACAGCAAACACGAUCGAACAACGUCGGGCAUGGAAUGCCAUCAUCUCCUUUGGGAAGUACACACGGUCGACAUUGUCGGGUGUGGCAUGCCAUCAUGGCCCUUGGACACCACACACGAUCGAACGAAGUCGGUCGUGGCAUGCGAUCAUAGCCCUUGAACGGCAAACAAGGUUGAAUGACGUCGGGCGUGGCAUGCCAUCAUCGCCUUUGGACUAGUUGACACCAUCGGACGGCGUCGGACGUGGCAUGCCAUCAUUGCCCUUGGACGGGAAACACGGUCGAAUGACGUAGAGCGUGGAAUGCCAUCAACGCCUUGGGACAGCACACACAAAAGGACAACGUCGGGCGUGGCAUACCAUCACCACCCUUGGACAGCACACAUGGUCGGAUGACGUCGGGUGUGGCAUGCCAUCACUACACUUGGACAGCACACACGGUGGGACGACGUCGGGCGUGACAUGAGAUCACUGCUCUUGGACUGCACGCAUGGUCGGACUACGUCGGGUAUGGCAUGACAUCACCAUGUUUGGACAGCACACACGGUCGAAUGAUGCGUGGCAUGGCAUGACAUCACCUGCCUUGAACUGCACGCACGGUAAGACAACAUCGGGCGUGGCAUGACAUCACCGUCUUGGACAGAACACACGGUCAGCAACGUCGGGCGUGGCAUGACAUCGCCGCUCUUGGACAGCGCUCAUGGUCGGACGACAUCGGGCAUGGCAUGACAUCACUGCCCUUGGGCAGAAUACACGGUCGGACUACGUCGGGUAUGGCAUGACAUCACCUCCUUUGGACCGCACACACGGUCGAACGACGUCGUACGUGGCAUGCCAUCAUCGCCUUUGGGAAGCACACACGGUCGAAUGACGUCGGGCGUGGCAUACCAUCAUAGCCCAUGGAUGGCAAACACGGUCGAACGACGUCAAGCGUGGCAUGACAUCAACGCCCUUGGACAGCACACACAGUCAGAACGACGUCGGGCAUGGCAUACCAUCAUCGCCUUUGGGCAGCACACACAGUCGAACGACGUCAGGCGUGGCAAGCCAUCAUGGACAUUGGACAACACACACGGUCGAACGACGUCAGGCGUGGCAUGCCAUUAUAGCCCUUGGACAGCAAACACGGUCGAACGACAUCAGGCGUGGCAUGCCAUCAUCGCUUUUAAACUAGCUGACACAGUCGAACGGCGUCGAGCGUGGCAUGCCAUCAUCGCCCUAGGACGGCAAACACCGUCGAACGACGUCGGGGGUGGCAUGCCAUCACCGCCUUAGGUCAAGACACAUAGUCGAACGACGUCGGGCGUGGCAUGCCAUCGUCUCAUUUGGGCAGCACAGACGGUCGGAUGGCGUCGGGCGUGGCAUGCCAUCAUCGCCCUUGGACAGCACAAACGGUCGGCUGUCGUCGGGCGUGACAUGCCAUAAUAGCCCUUGGACAUCACACACGGUCGGCAACUUCGGGCGAGGCAUUAAAUCACCGCCCUUGGACAGCACACACGGUCGAACGUCGUCUAGCAUGGCAUGACAUCACCGCCCUUGGACUGCACGGACGAUCGGACGACGUCGGGCGUUGCAUGACAUCACCGCCCUUGGACAACACACAGCCGGCAAUGUCGUGCGUGGCAUCACAUCACCACCCUAGGACAAUACACAUGGUCAUCAACGUCGGGCGUGGCAUGACAUCACCUCCCUUGGACAACACAAACGGUCGGACGACGUCGGGCGUGGCAUGACAUCACCGCCCUUGGACAGCACACACGGUCGAACAAUGUCGGGCGUGGCAUGACAUCACCGCCAUUGGACUGCACGCAUGGUUAGACGACGUUGUUCGUGGCAUGACAACACCGCCCUUGGAUAGCAGACACAGUCGAUCGACAUCGGGCGUGGCAUGACCUCACAGCCCUUGGGCAGCACACACGGUCGGACUACGUCGGACGUGGCAUGCCAUCAUCGCGUUGGGCAGCACACACGGUCGAACGACGUCGGGCGUGGCAUGCCAUCAUCGCGUUGAGGCAGUACACACGGUCGAACGACGUCGGGCGUGACAUGCGAUCAUCGCCUUAAGGCAGCACAAACGAUCAAACGACGUCAGGCGUGGCAUGACAUCACCGCCCUUGGACUGCACGCACUGUCAGCAAUGUGGAGCGUGGCAUGACAUCACCGCCCUUGGACAGCACACACGGUCGAUAACGUCGGGCAUGGCAUGGCAUCACCACUCUUUGACAGAACACACAGUCGGCAACGUCGGGCGUGGCAGGCCAUCACCAUUGGGCAGCACACACGGUUAAACGCUAUCGGGUGUGGCAUGCCAUCAUCGCCUUUGGGCAGCACACACGGUCGAAUGACGUCAGGCAUGGCAUGAAAUCAACGCCUUUGGAAAGCACACACGAUCGAACGAUUUCGGGCGUGGCAUGCCAUCAACGCCUUUGGGUAGCAUAUACGAUCGAAUGACGUCGGGCAAGGCAUGCCAUCACAGCCCUUGGACAGCACACACGGUCGAACGACGUCGAGUGUGGCAUUCCAUCAUGGACCUUUGACAACACACACAGCCGAACAACGUCAGGCGUGGCAUGCCUUCAUAGCCCUUGGACGACAAAAAGGGUCGAACGACGUUGGGCGUGGCAUGCCAUCAUCGCUUUUAAAUGAGCAGACACAGUCGGACGGCGUCGGGCGUGAUAUGCCAUCAUCUCCCUUAAACGGCAAACACAGUCAAACGAUGUCGGGGGUGGCAUGCCAUCACCGCCUUUGGAGAACACACACAGUCGGACGACGUCGGGCGUGGCAUGCCAUCAUCUCCUUUGGGCAGCACUGACGGUCGGACGGCUUCGGGCGUGGCAUGCCAUCAUCGCCUUUGGAAAGCACACACGGUCGGCAAUGUCGGGCGUGGCAUUACAUCACCGCCCUUGGAAAACACACACGGUCGAACGACGUCUGGCAUGGCAUGACAUCACCGCCCUUGGACUGCACACACGAUCAGAAGACAUCGAGCGUGGCAUAACAUCACCGCCCUUGGAUAACAAACACUGUCUUUAACGUCGGGCGUAGCAUGACAUCACCGCCCUUGGACAGCACACACGGUCAGACGAUGUUGGGCAUGGCUUGACAUCACCGCCCUUGGACAGAACACACGGUCGAACGAAGUCGGGCGUAGCAUGACAUCACCGCCCUUGGACUGUAUGUACGGUCGGAUGACGUCGGGCGUGGCAUGACAUCACUGCCCUUGGACAGCACAUACGGUCGGACUUCGUCGGGUGUGGCAUGACAUCACCACCUUUGGACAACACACACGGUCGACCGACGUCGGGCGUGGCAUGCCAUCAUCGCCUUUGGGCAGCACACACAAUCGAACGACGUCGGGCGGUGCAUGACAUCACCACCUUUGGACAACACACACAGUGGAACGACGUCGAGCGUGACAUGUCAUCACCGCCUUUGGACAGCACACACGGUCGAAUGAUGUCAUGUGUGGCAUGCCAUCAUCGUCUUAAGACAACAUAAAUGGUCAAACGACGUCAGGCGUGGCAUGACAUCACCACCUUUGGACAGCACAGACGGUCGAACGACGUCAGGCGUGGCAUGACAUCACCGCCUUGGGGCAGGAACACACAGUCAAACGACGUCGAGCGUGGCAUGCCAUCAUCGCCUUAAGGAAGAACAAACGGGACGUCGAGCGUGGCAUGACAUCACCGCCUUUGGACUGCUCGCACGGUCGGCAACAUCGGGCGUGGCAUGACAUCACCGCCUUUGGCCAGCACACACGGUCGAACGACGUCGGGCGUGACAUGACAUCACCGCCUUUAGACAACACACGCGGUGGAGCGACUUCGGGCGUGGCAUGCCAUCAUUGCCUUUGGACUAGCUGACACAGUCGGACGGCGUCGGGUGUGGCAUGACAUCGUCACCCUUGGACGGGAAACACGGUCGAACGACGUAGAGCGUGGCAUGUAAUCAAUGCCUAGGGACAGCACACACAGAAGGACGACGUUGGGUGUGUCAUGCUAUCAUCGCCUUUGGGCAGCACAGACGAUCGGACGACGUCGGGCGUGGCAUGCCAUCACCACCCUUAGACAGCACACGUGGUCGAAUGACAUUGGGCGUGGCAUGCCAUCACCGUCCUUGGAAAGCACACACGGUAGAACUAGGUCGGGCGUGGCAUGACAUCACCGCCUUUUGAUAGCACACACGGUCGAACGACGUCGGGCGUGGCAUGCCAUCAUCGCCUUUGGGCAGCACACACGGUCAAACGACGUCGGGCGUGGCAUGCCAUCAUAGCCUAUUGUAACGAUCCGCCUGAUACCUAGGCAGAUCGCGACCCGUCUAGGCAGCCAGCAGCCUGUGCAAGGGGACAGACAGCCCAAAAAUGGCCAGCAGGCAAAGGGGCAUGCGUCCAAGCAGGCAGCAGACAAAAGGUCAGGCGUUUCAGCUGUUACAAGCAGUUACAGCCGUUACAGGCAGUUACAGCCGUUGAAGGCAGUUUCAGCUAUUACAGUUGUUUCUGCAUGUGAAAGGGCGGCAGUUUCAAGCCUUGGAGAGGCUUGUUCAAGGCCUUUAGGUGUGGGGCAGACUAGGAGCAGCUAGGCGUCCCUUUUUGGAAGACUUAGAAGCAUGUCUUGUGGGCAUGGACUUAGGGGCUUGUAUAUAGUGUAGCAUUUAUUUACUCUUAGUGUUUAGAGUAGUAUAAAUAGGUAGUCAUUGUAUUUGUAAUACAUCAACCAACAUUUGAAUACAAGUCUUUCUUCCAAAAUAGUCUUUUGUCUUUCCUUUAAUUUCUCUUAGCGAUCCCAGUAGUGAAAGGCUUACUUGAGUUUGCGAGAUCGUGAAAGAAUCGUGAGCAAACCAUCAAGUGCCGCACGGAGUAUUGUCCAGAUCGAAAAGUUUGUGACAAUUGGUAUUAGAGCAGGUUCAUCGUAAGAGAAUGACGAACGAAGGAGAAGGCGCUAGCAGCACCCCCAACGUCCGCACUGAUGGUUGCAAGAAGAACAAGAAAGGGAAGAAGCAGCAGACGGGUAAUGAACCCAAUCUGCCCGGUCUUCCCCCAAGUGUUCCUCCACCAAGUGUUCCUACCCCAAGCGAAGGGAAGACAUCUCUCCCUCCCCAUAUUGUCGAUGGAAGUGACUAAGACACCGGCGAGGAGAUCGUGGACGUUACUGUCGGACAGGAGUGGAUUGCAAGGGUAGAAAAGGUAAGGCAAGCCGUUGAGAUCAUAGGCCACCGCUUGAACGGAACGGACAAAAAUCUUAAAGCUCUUGAAGAGUACUCCCUUGAGGAAGUUGACAGCGUCUGGAAGGAGGUUGAGACACGCCAGCGAGCAGAGUUCGAGACAAAGGAGGCCAUUACUUCCUUAGAGUUCAGGCUUAGGGAAGCACUUGGCGCAGUUGAGUCGCUUAAGGCCGAAGUGGCAGAACUCAAGGAAGAGAGAGAGGUUGGUGGAUCCUCAUCACAUGACCGGAAAAGGGAAGCCAGAGUUGAGGCGCCCAAGCCAUCUGUCUUCAAAGGCGUCCGUGACGCGCAAGCCGUGGAUAAUUUCCUUUGGCACUUGGAAAAUUAUUUCAAGUGUACGCGGGUUCAUAGUGAUGUGAACAAGAUCAACACGGCUGUGUUGUAUCUUUUAGAGUUGGCCAUGCUAUGGUGGAAGCAUAAAGAGUCUGACAUCGCAAAGGGGACAUUCGCGUUGAACACAUGGGAGCAGUUUUGUGUGCAGUUCAAGAAGGCGUUCCUCCCUAGCAACGUUGUCUAUGAGGCAAAGCGCAAGAUGCGGGAGUUGAGACAGAAGGGCAGCAUACGCGUGUAUGUGCAGGAGUUUACCACCCUUACAUUUCAGAUUCCCAACCUCAUGGACGACGACGCAUUGUUCUACUUCAUGGAUGGGCUGCAAAAUUGGGCAAGAAAAGAGUUGGAACGGCGGCAAGUCAGGACUAUAGACGACGCUAUUCCACAGGUUGAAGCCUUGACAGACUUCAGGCACGAGAAGUCCUUCAGUGCCGAUGAGGACAAUGAGGUAAGCAGUCAUGAUGAUAGUGGGGAAGACAGUGGCGAAGGUGAGGAGCAAAUGCCACAACCCAAAAGGCGUAACACCUACGGGUCCAGCGGCAAGAAGCCCGGAGAUCGUGGCAACACGGUAAGGGAUUCCUAGGAUGGUUGCUUUAUAUGCAAAGGGCCGCAUGGUUACAAAAGAUGCCCUGAACUCAAAAGUCUUGGUGCUAUCCUUCGUGAGCGGAAGGAAGAGAAGGCCCAAGAGGAAGUCGGGGAGACUAAGCAGUUGGGCGUGGUAAGCCUAUGCGGAGCUGCGAUUGAACAACCAUCGACGAGGCCAAGGCAAGAUAAGCCAAGGCAAGCAGAGUCGAAGCAUGCUGAGAAGGGACUUGCAAAGUCUAAGGCGUGGGCUCAAAUGGUCACGAUCAAUGGGAAUAUUGCUCGUGCUUUGGUCGACACCGGUGCGGAGGUCAAUGUUAUGACCAAGACGGCAGCAAAGAGGUUGGGGUUGCGAUAUACUGCAAGCAAUGCCCAAAUCAGAACUGUCAACGCAUUACCGACUCCUAUAGUUGGAGUUGCGCACGGGGUGAACAUCACGGUAGGCGAUUGGCAAGGGAAAACCAAGUUCAUCGUCGCCCCCAUCAAUAUGUUUGAUGUUAUUCUUGGGCAGAAGUUCUUCCAGCAGCGCCAUGCAGUAAUCGAUCCUCAUCUCCAAAAAUUGACAAUCAUGGAGAAAGGAAGGGAAUAUACAGUUCCCAUGGUGAAGGCGCAGGCAACGGAGGGACAGGCUAGACUGACAACCAUGAAGCUCGAGAGGGUCGAUUUAAGAAGAAGGUUAACACCAGCAGUGACCAUUGCAAGUUCGAGAGAAGACAAUGGUGCUAGAAACACCUUGCUACCGCGCAGGAAGAGGUUCCGAGUAGCUAGAAUUGAAAGAUGCUGCCGGAGCACUUGCCUCCGUUGAAGGAGGAAGUUCGGAAGAUCGCGUCGAGAAAGGUCGGGAAAUCGAUGAAGAGGCUGCUCGAAGGGAUUGAUCGAGUACGCGAGUUGAUGGUCGCCCGGCAGAAAUCAACGCCGAUACGGACGCAAUGCGACGCGGUCGUCGCAUCAUCAAGUGGGGGAGUUUGUCACGACCCGCAUGAUACCCAGGCAGAUCGCGACCCGUCUAGGCAGCCAGCAGCCUGUGCAAGGGGACAGACAGCCCAAAAACAGCUAGCAGGCAAAGGGGCAGGCGUCCAAGCAGGCAGAAGACAAAGGUUCAGGCGUUUCAGCUGUUACAAGCAGUUACAGCCGUUACAGGCAGUUACAGCCGUUACAGGCAGUUUCAGCCGUUACAGGCAGUUUCAGCCGUUACAGUCAUUUCUGCAGGUGAAGGGGCGGCAGUUUCAAGCCUUGGAGAGGCUUGUUCAAGGCCUCUAGGCGUGGGGCAGACUAGGAGCAGCUAGGAGUCUCUUUUUGGAAGACUUAGAAGCAUGUCUUGUGGGAAUGGAAUUAGGGGCUUGUAUAUAGUGUAGCAUUUAUUUAUUCUUAGUGUUUAGAGUAGUAUAAAUAGGUAGUCAUUGUAUUUGUAAUACAUCAACAAACAUUUGUAUACAAGUCUUCCUUCCAAAACAGUCUUUUGUCUUUCCUUCAGUUUCUCUUAGCGAUCCAAGUAAUGAAAGGCUUACUUGAGUUUGCGAGAUCGUGAAAGAAUCGUGAGCAAACCGUCAAGUGCCGCACGGAGUAUUGUCCAGAUCGAAAAGUCUGUGACACUAUGGACGGCAAACACGGUUGAACGACGUCAGGCGUGACAUGCCAUCACCGCCUUUGGACAGCAGACACGGUCGAACGACGUCAGGUAGGGCAUGCUAUCAUCGUCUUUGGGCCGCACACACGGUCGAAAGACGUCGGGUGUGGCAUGACAUCACCACCCUUGGACGUCACACACGGUCGAACGUCGUUGGGCGUGGCAUGCCAUCUUCGCCUUUGGGCAGCACACACGAUCGAAUGACGUUGGGCGUGGCAUGACAUCACCGUAUUUGGGCAGCACACACGGUCAAACAACGUCGAGCGUGACAUGCCAUCACCGCCUUUGGAUAGCACACACGGUCGAAUGACGUCGGGCGUGGCAUGCCAUCAUCACCUUUGGGAAGCACACACGAUCGAACUACGUCGGGCGUGGCAAUGCCAUCAUCGCCUUUGGGAAGCACAAAUGGUCGAACGACGUCCGGGCGUGGCAUGCCAACAUCACCUUUGGGCAGCACACACGAUCGAACGACGUCGGGUGUGGCAUGCCAGCAUCGCCUUUGGGCAGCACACACGGUCGAAGGACGUCGAGCGUGGCAUGACAUGCGCACAUGAUCGAACAACGUCGGGCGCGACAUGCCAUCAUCGCCUUUGGAAAGCACACACGGUCGAACGACGUCGGGCGUGGCAUGCCAUCAUCACCUUUGGGCAGCACAAACAGUCGGAUGGCGUCGCGCGUGGCCUGCCAUUAUCUCCUUUAGGCAGCACAAAUGGUCAAACGACGUCGGGCGUGGCAUGACAUAUACCGCCCUAGGACUGCACGCAUAGUCGGACGACGUCGGGCGUGGCAUGACAUCACUGCCCUUGGAUAACACACAUGGUCGAACGACUUCGGGCGUCGCAUGACAUCACCGCCCUUGGACGGCAUGCACGGUCGAACGACGUCAGGCGUGGCAUGACAUCACCACCCUUAAACAGAACAGAAAAUCGGCAACGUCGGGCGUGGCAUGACAUCACCGCCAUAGGACAGCACACGGUCGGACGACGUCGGGCAUGGCAUGACAUCCCCGCCCUAGGGCAGCACACACAGUCAGACUACAUCAAGCGUGGCAUGACAUCACCGCCUUUGUACAGCACACACGGUCGAACAACGUCGGGCGUGGCAUGACAUCACUGCCCUUGAACUGCACGUACGGUCAGACGACGUCGGGCGGGGCAUGUCAUAAUAGCCCUUGGACGACACACACGGUCGGACUUCGUCGGGCGUGGCAUGACAUACCGCCUUUGGACAACACACACGGUCGAUCGACGUAGGGCGUAGCAUGCCAUCAUCGCCUUUGGGCAGCACACACAGUCGAACAACGUCAGGCGUGGCAUGACAUCACCGCCUUUGGACAGCACACAAGGUUGAAUGACGUCAAGCCUGGCAUGCCAUCAUAACCUUUGGGCAGCACACACGGUCGAACUACUUCGGGCGUGGCAUGCCAUCAUCGCCUUAAGGAAGCACAAAUGGUCAAACGACGUUAGGCGUGGCUGGACAUCACCGCCUUUGGAUAGCACACACGGUCUAACGACGUCAGGCGUGGCAUGACAUCACCACCUUGGGGUAGGCACACACGGUUGAACGACGUCGAGCGUGGCAUGCCAUCAUCGCCUUAAGGCAGAACAAAUGGUCAAGCGACGUCGGGCGUGGCAUGACAUCACCGCCCUUGGACUGCUCGCACGGUCGGCAACGUCGGGCGUGGCAUGACAUCACCGCCUUUGGACAGCACACACGGUAGAACAACGUAAGGCGUGACAUGACAUCACACCUUUAGACAACACACACGGUGGAACGACGUCGAGCGUGGCAUGCCAUCAUCGCCUUUGGACUAGCUGACACAGUCGGAUGACGUUGGGCGUGGCAUGCCAUCAGCGCCCUUGGACGGGAAACAUGAUCGAAUGACAUAGAGCGUGGCAAGCCAUCAACGUCUAGGGACAGCACACACGGAAGGACGACGUCGGGCGUGUCAUGCUAUCAUCACCUUUGGGCAGCACAGACGGUUGGACGACGUUGGGCGUGGCAUGCCAUCACCGCCCUUGGACAGCAACAUGGUCGGAUGACAUUAAGCAUGGCAUGCCAUCACCGCCCAUGGACAGCACACACGAUAGGACUACGUCGGGCGUGGCAUGACAUCACAACCUUUGGUCAGCACACACGGUCGAACGACGUCGGGCGUGGCAUGCCAUCAUCGCCUUUGGGCAGCACACACGGUCGAUCGACAUCGGGCGUGGCAUGCCAUCAUAGCCUAUGGACGGCAAACACCGUCGAACAACGUUAGGCGUGACAUGCCAUCACCGCCUUUGGACAGCAGACACGGUCGAACGACGUCGGGUACGACAUGCUAUCAUUGCCUUUGGACCGCACACACGGUCAAAAGACGUCGGGCGUGGCAUGACAUCACCGCCUUUGUACAGCACACACGGUCAAACGACGUCGGGCGUGACAUAUCAUCACAGCCUUUGGACAGCGCACACGGUCGAACAACGUCGUGCGUGGCAUGCAAUCAUCACCUUUGGGCAGCACACACGGUCUAACUACGUCGAGCGUGGCAUGCCAUCAUCGCCGUUGGGCAGCACCAACGGUCGAACGACGUCGGGCGUGGCAUGCCAUCACCGCCUUUCGAUAGCACACACGGUCGAACGACGUCGGGUAGGGCAUGCCAUCAUCGCCUUUGGACAGCACACACAGUCGAAAGACGCCGGGCGUGGCAUGACAACUCACGCCUUUGGACAGCACACACGAUCAAACGACGUCGGGCGUGAUAUGCCAUCACCGCCUUUGGACAUCACACACGGUCGAACGACGUCGGGCGUGGCAUGCUAGCAUCGCCUAAAGGCAGCACACACAGUCGAAAGAUGUCGGGCGUGGCAUGACAUCACCGCCUUUGGACAGCACACACGGUCGAACGACGUCGGGCGUUACAUGCCAUUACCGCCUUUGGACAGCACACACGGUCGAACGACGUUGGGCAUGGCAUGCCAUCAUCACCUUUGGGCAGCACAAACGGUUGGACGGCAUCGGGCGUGGCAUGCCAUCGUCGCAUUUGGGCAGCACACAAUCAUCGCCUUUAGGCAGCACAAACGGUCGAACGACAUCGGGCGUGGCAAGCCAUCAUCACCUUUGGGCAGCACACACGGUCGAAUGACGUCGGGCGUGGCAUGCCAGCAUCCUUUUAAGGCAGCACACACAGUCGAAAGACGUCGAGCGUGGCAUGACGUCACCGCCUUUUGACAGCACACACGGUCGAAUGACGUUGGGCAUGACAUGCCAUCCCCACCUUUGGACAGCACACACGGUCGAACGACGCUGGGCAUGGCAUGCCACCAUCACCUUUGGGCAGCACAAACGGUCAAACGGCAUCAGGCGUGGCAUGCCAUCGUCACCCUUGGACGGCAAACACGGUCGAAUGACGUCGGGUGUGGAAUGCCAUCAUCUCCUUUUGGCAGUAUGCACGGUCGACAUCGUCAGGCAUGGCAUGCCAUCAUGGACCUUGGACACCACACACGAUCGAACGAAGUCGGUCGUGGCAUGCCAUCAUAGCCCUUGACCGGCAAACAAGGUUGAAUGACGUCGGGCGUGGCAUGUCAUCAUCGCCUUUGGACUAGCUGACACCAUCGAACGGCGUCGGGCUUGGCAUGCCAGCAUCGCCCUUCGACAAGACACACGGUCGAACGACGUAGAGCAUGGAAUGCCAUCAACGCCUUUGGACAGUACACAUGGUCGGAUGACGUCAGGCGUGGCAUGCCAUCAUCGCCUUUGGGCAGUACACAUGGUCGGAUGACGUCGGGCGUGGCAUGCCAUCACUACCCUUGGACAGCACACACGGUAGGACGACGAUGGGCGUGGCAUGACUUCACCGCUCUUGGACUGGACGCAUGGUCGGACUACAUCGGGCAUGGCAUGACAUCACCACCUUUGGAAAGCACGCACGGUCGGCAACGUCGGGCGUGGCAUGACAUCGCCGCUCUUGGAUAGCACGCAUGGUCGGACAACAUCGGGCAUGGCAUGACAUCACCGCCCUUGGGAAGCACACACGGUCGGACUACAUCGAGCGUGGCAUUCCAUUAUCGCCUUUGGGCAGCACAAGGUCGAAAGACGUCAGGCGUGGAAUGACAUCACCUCCUUUGGACAGCGCACACGGUCGAACGACGUCGGGCGCAACAUGCCAUCAACGCCUUUGGAAAGCACACACGAUCGAACGACGUCGGGCGUGGCAUGCCAUCAUCACCUUUGGGCAGCACAAACGGUCGGACGGCGUCAGGCGUGGCAUGCGUUCAUCGCCCUUGGACGGUGAACACGGUCGAACGACGUCGGGUGUGGCAUGCAUUAUCGCCUUUGGGCAGCACACACUGUCGAAAGUCGUCGGGCGUGGCAUUCCAUCAUGGCCCUUGGAUAGCACACACGGUCGAACGACGUUGGGCGUGGCAUGACCUCAUAGCCCUUAAAUGGCAAACAAGGUUGAACGACGUCGGGCGUGGCAUACCAUCAUCGCCUUUGGACUAGUUGACACGGUCGAACGACGUUGAGCGCAGGCAUUCCAAUAUCGCCUUUGGGCAACACACACGGUCGAACGACGUCAAGCGUGGCAUGCCAUUAUCUCCUUUAGGCAGCACAAACGGUCAAACGACGUCGGGCGUGGCAUGACAUCACCGCCCUAGGAUUGCACGUACUGUCAGACGACGUCGGGCGUGGCAUGAAAUCACCGCCCUUGGACAGCACACACGGUCGAACGACAUCGGUCAAGGCAAGACAUUACCGCCCUUAGAUGGCACGCAUGGUCGAACGACGUCGGGCGUGGCAUGACAUAACCACCCUUGGACAACACAGACAAUCGGCAACGUCGGGCGUGGCAUGCCAUCACCACCUUGGACAUCACACACGGUCGGAUGACGUCGAGCUUGGCAUGCCAUCACCGCCCUUCGACAACACACAUGGUAGGACGACGUCGGGCGUGGCAUGACCUCACCGCCCUUGGGCAGCACACACGGUCGGACUACGUCGGGCGUGGCAUGGCAUCACCGCUCUUUGACAGAACGCACAGUCGGCAACAUCGGGCGUGGCAGGACAUCACCGCCCUUGGGCAGCACACACGACUAAACGCCAUCGGGUUUAGCAUGCCAUCAUCUCCUUUGGGCAGCACAUACGGUCGAACAACGUCGGCCAUGGCAUGAAAUAAAUGCCUUUGGAAAGCACACACGACCGAACGAUGUCGGGCGUGGCAUGCCAUCAUCGCCUUUGGGUAGCACAUACGAUCGAAUGACGUCGGGCAAGGCAUGCCAUCAGAGCCCUUGGACAGCACACACGGUCGAACGAUGUCGGGUGUGGCAUUCCAUCAUGGACCAUGGAAAACACACACGGUCGAACAACGUCGGGCGUGGCAUGCCAUCAUAGCCCUUGAACGGCAAAAAGGGUUGAACGACAUUGGGCGUGGCAUGCCAUCAUCACUGUUAAAUGAGCUGACACAGUCGGAGGCGUCGGUAGUGGUAUGCCAUCAUCUCCCUUGGACGGCAAACACAGUCAAACGGUGUCGGGGGUGGCAUGCCAUCACCACCUUUGGACAGCACACACAGUCGGACGAUGUCGAAAGUGGCAUGCCAUCAUCUCCUUUAGGCAGCACAGACGGUCGGACGGCUUCGGGCGUGGCAUGCCAUCAUCGCCCUUGGACAGCACACACGGUAGGCAAUGUCGGGCGUGGCAUUACAUCACCGCCCUUGGAGAGCACACACGGUCGAACGACGUAUGGCAUGGCAUGAUAUCACGGCCCUUGGACUGCACGCACAAUCAGACGACGUCGAGCGUGGCAUGACAUCACCGCCUUUGGAUAACAAACACGGUCUUUAACGUCGGGCAUAGCAUGACAUCACCGCUCUUGGACAGCACACAUGGUCAGACGAUGUCGAGCAUGGCUUGACAUCACCGCCCUUGGACAGAACACACGGUCGAACGAUGUUGGGCGUAGCAUGACAUCACCGCCCUUGGACAGAACACACAGUCGGCAACGUCGGGCGUGGCAUACCAUCACCGCCCUUGGAAAGCACAGACAGUCGAACUACGUCGGGCAUGGCAUGACAUCACCGCCCUUGGGCAGCACACACGGUCGGCAACAUCGGGCAUUACAUGACAUAACCACCCUUUGAAAACAUACACGGUGGGCAACGUCGGGCGUGGCAUGACAUCACCGCCCUUGGACAGCACACACGAUCGGCAACAUCAGGUGUUGCAUGCCAUCAUCGCCUUUGGACAGCACACACGGUCGAACGACGUCGGGUGUGGCUUGCCAUCAUUGCCUUAAGGCAGCACAAAUGGUCAAAUGACGUCAGGCGUGGCAUGACAUCAUCAACUUUGAACAACACACACGGUCGAACGACGUCAGAUGUGGCAUGACAUCACCGCCUUGGGGAAGCACACACGGUCGAACAACGUCGUGCGUUGCAUGCCAUCAUCGCCUUAAGGCAGAACAAAUGGUCAAAUGACAUCGGGCGUGGCAUGCUAUCAUCGCCUUUGGGCAACGCAGACGGUCGGCAACGUCAGGCGUGGCAUGACAUCACCGCCUUUGAACAGCACACACGGUCGAACGACGUCAGGCGUGACAUGACAUCACCGCCUUUGGAUAACACACACGGUGGAACGACGUCGGGCGUAGCAUGCCAUCAUCGCCUUUGGACUAGCUGACACAGUCGGAUGGCGUCAUGUAUGGCAUGCCAUCAUCGCCCUUGGACGGGAAACACCAUCGACAACGUAGAGCGUGGCAUGCCAUCAACGCCUAGGGACAACACACACGGAAGGACGACGUUGGGCGUGUCAUGCUAUCAUCGCCUUUCGGCAGCACAGACGGUUAGACGACGUCAGGCGUGGCAUGCCAUCACCGCCCUUGGACAGCACACAUGGUCGGAUGACGUUGGGCGUGGCAUGCCAUCACCGCCCUUGGACAGCACACACGGUAGGACUACGUCGGGCGUGGCAUGCCAUUAUCACCUUUGGGUAACACACACAGUCGAACGACGUCGGGCAUGGCAUGACAUCAUAGCCUAUGGACGGCAAACACGGUCGAACGACGUCAAGUGUGACAUGCCAUCACCGCCUUUGGACAGCACACACAGUCGAACGACGUCAGGUAGGGCAUGCCAUCAUCGCCUUUGGGCCGCACACACGGUCGAAAGACGUCGGGCGUGGCAAGAAAUCACUGCCUUUUGACAGCACACACGGUCAAACGACGUCGGGCAUGACAUGCCAUCACUGCCUUAGGACAGCACACACGGUCGAACGAUGUCGUGCUUGUAAUGCCAUCAUCUCCUUUGGGCAGCACACACGGUCGAACUAUGUCGGGCGUGGCAUACCAUCAUCACCAUUGGGUAGCACAAACGGUCAAACGACAUUAGACGUGGCAUGCCAGCAUCGCCUUAAGGCAGCACACACAGUCAAAAGACAUCAAGCAUUGAAUGACAUCACCGCCAUUGGACAGCACACACAGUCGAAAGACGUCGGGCGUGACAUGCAAUUACCACCUUUGGACAGCACACACGGUAGGACGGCAUCGGGCGUGGCAUUCCAUCGUCGCCCUUGGACGGCAUACACGGUCGAACGACGUCGGGCGUGGAAUGCAAUCAUCUCCUUUGGGCAGUACGCACGGUCGACAUCGUCAGGCGUGGCAUGCUAUCACCCUAGGAAACCACACACGAUCGAACGAAGUCGGUCGUCGCAUGCCAUCAUAGCCCUUGAACGGCAAACAAGGUUGAAUGACGUCGGGCGUGGCAUGCCAUCUUCGCCUUUGGACUAGCUGACACAGUCGGACGGCGUCGGGCGUGACAUGCCAUCAUAGCCCUUGGAUGGGAAACACGGUCGAACGACGUAGAGCGUGGCAUGCCAUCAACGCCUAAGGACAGCACACAAGAAUGGACGACAUCGGGUGUGGCAUGCUAUUAUCUCCUUUGGGCAGCACAGACUGUCGGACGACGUAGACCGUUGAAUGCCAUCAAUGCCUUGGGAUAGCACAAAUGAAAGGACGACGUCGAGCGUGGCAUGCCAUCACCGCCCUUGGACAGCACACGUGGUCAGAUGACAUCUGGCGUGGCAUGCCAUCACUGCCCUUGGACAGCACACACGGUGGGACGACGUUGGGCGUGGCAUGAGAUCACCGCUCUUGGACUGCACGCAUGGUCGGACUACGUCGGGCGUGGCAUGACAUCACAACCUUUGGAUAGCACACACGGUCGAACGACGCGUGGCAUGGCAUGACAUCACCGCCCUUGAACUGCACGCGUGGUCAGACGACAUCGGGCGUGGCUUGACAUCUCCGAUCAUGGACAGCACGCAUGGUCGGACGACAUCGGACAUGGCAUGACAUUACCGCCCUUGGGCAGCACACACGGUCGGACUACGUCGGGCGUGGCAUGACAUCACCUCCUUUGGACAGCACACACGGUCGAACGACUUCGUGCGUGGCAUGCCAUCAUCGCCUUUGGGCAGCACACACAGUCAAAUGACGUGGGGCGUGGCAUACAAUCAUAGCUCAUAGAUGGCAAACACGAUCGAACGACGUCGGGCGUGGAAUGCCAUUAUCGCCUUUGGGCAGCACACACGGUCGAACGACGUCGGGUGUGGCAUGCCGUCAUGGCCCUUGGACACCACACACGGUCGAACGAAGUCGGGCGUGGCAUUCCAUCAUAGCCCUUGAACAGGAAACACGGUUGAACGACGUCAGGCGUGGCAUGCCAUCAUCGCCUUUGGACUAGCUGACACACUCAGACGGCGUCGGGUGUGGCAUGCUAUCAUUUCCCUUGGACGGGAAACAUGGUCGAACGACGUAGUGCGUAGCAUACCAUCAAUGCCAUGGGACAGCACAUAUGGAAGAACGACGUCGGGCGUGGCAUGACAUCAUCACCUUUGGGCAGCACACACGGUUGAACUACGUCGGGCGUGGCAUGCCAUCAUCGCCUUUGGGUAGCACAAACGGUCGAACGACGUCGGGCGUGGCAUGCCAUCAUCACCUUUGGGCAGCACACACGGUCGAACGACGUCGGGUGUGGCAUGCCAUAAUCGCCUUAAGGCAGCACACACAGUCGAAAGACGUCGGGCGUGGCAUGAAAUCACCGCCUUUAGACACCACACACGAUCGAACGACGUCAAGCGUGACAUGCCAUGACCGCCAUACGACAACACACGAUAGGACGACGUCGGGCAUGGCAUGACAUCACCGCCCUAGGGUAGCACACACGGUCAGACUACGUCAGGCGUGGCAUGACAUCAGCGCCUUCGUACAGCACACACGGUCGAACGACGUCGGGCAUGGCAUGCCAUCAUCGCCUUUGGACAGCAUACACGGUCAAACGACGUCGAGCGUGGCAUUCCAUUAUCGCCUUUGGGCAGCACACACAGUCGAACUACGUCGGGCGUGGCAUGCCAUCUUGCCUUGAGGAAGCACACACGGUCGAACGACGUCGCGCGUGGCAUGAAAUCACCGCCCUUGGACGGCACGCACAGUCAAACGACGUCGGGCGUGGCAUGCCAUCAUCACCUUUGGGCAGCACAAACGGUCGAACGACGUCGGGCGUGGCAUGCCAUCUUGCCUUGAGGAAGCACACACGGUCGAACGACGUCGCGCGUGGCAUGACAUCACCGCCCUUGGACGGCACGCACAGUCAAACGACGUCGGGCGUGGCAUGACAUCACCACCCUUGGAUUGCACAGACAAUCAGCAACGUAGGGCGUGGCAUGACAUCACCGCCAUAGUGUCGCACACGGUCGGAGGAUGUCGGGCAUGGCAUAACAUCACUGCCCUUGGGCAACAAACACGGUUGGACUACAUCAGGCGUGGCAUGACAUCACUGCCUUUGUACAACACACACGGUCGAACGACGUCAGGCGUGGCAUGCCAUCAUCGCCUUGGGGCAGCACACACGAUCGAAUGACGUCUAGCGGGGCAUGCCAUAAUAGCCCAUGGAUGGCAAACACGAUCGAAUGACGUCAGGCGUGACAUGCCAUCACCGCCUUUGGACAAAACACACGGUCGAACGACGUUGGGCAUAGCAUGCCAUCUUGACUUUGGGAAGCACACAUGGUCGAAAGAUGUCAGCAGUGGUAUGAUACACCACCUUUGGGCAGCACACACAUUCAAACGACGUCGGGCGUGACAUGCCAUCACCGCCUUUAGACAACACACACGAUCGAACGAAGUUGGGCGUGGCAUGCCAUCAUCGCCCUUGAACGGCAAACAAGGUUGAAUGACGUCAGGCGUGGCAUGCUAUCAUCGCCUUUGGACUAGCUGACACAGUCGGACGGCAUCGGGCGUGGCAUGCCAUCUUCGCCCUUGGAUGGGAAACACGGUUAAAUGACGUAGAGCGUGGCAUGCCAUCAACGCCUAAGGACAGCCACAAGGAAGGACGGCGUCGGGCGUGGCAUGCUAUCAUCUCCUUUGGACAGCACACAUGGUUGGAUGAUGUCGGGCGUGGGAUGCCAUCACUGCCCUUGGACAGCACACACGGUAGGACGACAUCGGGCGUGGUAUGAGAUCACCACUCUUGGACUGCACGCAUGGUCAGACUACGUCGGGCAUGGCAUGACAUCACCACCUUUGGACAGCACAUACGGUAGAACGACGCGUGGCAUGUUAUGACAUCAUCGCCCUUGAACUGCACGCACGGUCAGACGACAUCAAGCGUGGCAUGCUAUCACCGCCUUUGGACAGCACACACAAUCGGACGAUUUCGGGCGUGGCAUGCCAUCAUCUCCUUUGGGCAGCACAGACGGUCGGACGGCUUCGGGUGUGGCAUGCCAUCAUCGCCCUUGGACAGCACAAACUAUCGGCUGUCAUCGGGCAUGGCAUUACAUCACCGCCCUUGGACAGCACAUACGGUCGAACGACGUCUACCAUGGCAUGACAUUAAGCCUGGCAUGCCAUCAUCACCUUUGGGCAACACACACGGUCGAACUACGUCGGGCGUGGCAUGCCAUCAUCGCCUUAAGGAAGCACAAAUGGUCAAACGAUGUUAGGCGUGGCAGGACAUCACCGCUUUUGGACAGCACACACAGUCUAACUACGUCAGGCGUGGCAUGACAUCACUGCCUUGGGGUAGGCACACACGGUUGAACGACGUCGAGCGUGGCAUGCCAUCUUCGCCUUAAGGCAGAACAAACGGUCAAGCGACAUCGGGUGUGGCAUGACAUCACCGCCCUUGGACUGCUCGCACGAUCGGCAACGUCGAGCGUGGCAUGACAUUAACGGCUUUGGACAGCACACACGGUAGAACAACGUAAGGCGUGACAUGACAUCAGGCCUUUAGACAACACACACGGUGGAACGACAUCGAGCGUGGCAUACCAUCAUCGCCUUUGGACUAGCUGACACAGCCGGACGGCGUUGGGCGUGGCAUGCCAUCAGCGCCCUUGGACGGGAAACAUGAUCGAACGACAUAGAGCGUGGCACGCCAUCAACGCCUAGGGACAGCACACACGGAAGGAUGACGUCGGGCGUGUCAUGCUAUCAUCGCCUUUGGGCAGCAUAGACGGUCGGACGACGUUGGGCGUGGCAUGCCAUCACCGCCCUUGGACAACACACAUGGUCGGAUGACGUUAAGCGUGGCAUGCCAUCACCGCCCAUGGACAGCACACACGAUAGGACUACGUCGGGCGUGGCAUGACAUCACAUCCUUUGGACAGCACACACGGUCGAAUGACGUCGGGCGUGGCAUGCCAUCAUCGCCUUUGGGCAACACACACGGUCGAACGACAUAGGGCGUGGCAUGCCAUCAUAGCCUAUGGACGGCAAACACGGUCGAACGACGUUAGGCGUGACAUGCCAUCACCGCCUUUGGACAGCAGACACGGUCGAACGACGUCAGGUAGGGCAUGCUAUCAUCGCCUUUGGACCGCACACACGGUCAAAAGACGUCGGGCGUGGCAUGACAUCACCUCCUUUGGACAGCACACACGGUCAAACGACGUCGGGCGUGACAUAUCAUCACCGCCUUUGGACAGCGCACACGGUCGAACAACGUCAGGCGUGGCAUGCAAUCAUCACCUUUGGGCAGCACACACGAUCUAACUACGUCGGGCGUGGCAUGCCAUCAUCGCCUUUGGGCAGCACCAACGGUCGAACGACGUCGGGCGUGGCAUGCCAUCAUCUCCUUUGGGCAGCACACACGGUCGAACGACGUCAGGCUUGGCAUGCCAUCAUAGCCCAUGGACGACAAACACUGUCGAACGACAUCAGGCGUGACAUGCCAUCACCGCCUUUGGAUAGCACACACGAUCGAACGACGCUAGGCAUGGCAUGCCAUCAUCACCUUUGGGCAGCACAAACGGUUGGACGACAUCGGGCGUGGCAUGCCAUUGUCGCCUUUGGGCAGCACACAUGGUCGAACUACGUCGGGCGUGGCAUGCCAUCUUCACCUUUGCGCAGCACACACGGUCGAACGACGUCGGGCGUGGCAUGCCAUCAUCACCUUUGGGCAGCACACACAGUCGAAAGAAGUUGAGCGUGGCAUGACAUCACCGCCUUUUGACAGCACACACGGUCGAACGACGUUGGGCGUGACUUGCCAUCCCCACCUUUGGACAGCACACACGGUCGAACGACGCUGGGCAUGGCAUGUCAUCAUCACCUUUGGGCAGCACAAAGAGUCGGACGGCAUCGGGCGUGGCAUGCCAUCGUCGCCCUUGGACGGCAAACACGGUCGACAUCGUCGGGUAUGGCAUGCCAUCAUGGACCUUAGACACCACACACGAUCGAAUGAAGUCGGUCGUGGCAUGCCAUCAUAGCCCUUGAACGGCAAACAAGGUUGAAUGACGUCGGACGUGGCAUGUCAUCAUCGCCUUUGGACUAGCUGACACCAUCGGACGGCGUCGGGCGUGGCAUGCCAGCAUCGCCUUUCGACAGGACACACGGUCGAACGACGUAGAGCGUGGAAUGCAAUAAACGCAUUUGAACAGUACACAUGGUCGGAUGACGUUGGGCGUGGCAUGCCAUCAUCGCCUUUGGGCAGUACACAUGGUUGGAUGACGUCGGGCGUGGCAUGCCAUCAAUACCCUUGGACAGCACACACGGUAGGACGACGACGGGCGUGGCAUGACUUCACCGCUCUUGGACUGCAUGCAUGGUCGGACUACGUAGGGCGUGGCAUGACAUCACCAUCUUUCGAUAGCACGCACGGUCGGCAACGUCGGGCAUGGCAUGACAUCGCCGCUCUUGGAUAGCACGCAUGGUCGGACAACAUCGGGCAUGGCAUGACAUCACCGCCCUUGGGAAGCACACACGGUCGGACUACGUCGGGCGUGGCAUGACAUCACCUCCUUUGGACAACACACAUGGUCGAAUGACAUUGGGCAUGGAAUGCCAUCAUCGCCUUUGGGCAGCGCAGACGGUCGGCAACGUCAGGCGUGGCAUGACAUCACCGCCUUUGGACAGCACACACGGUCGAACGACGUCAGGCGUGACAUGACAUCACCGCCUUUGGACAACACACACGGUGGAACGACGUUGGGCGUGACAUGCCAUCACCGCCUUUGGCCAACACACACAAUCGAACGAAGUUGGGCAUGGCAUGACGUCACCGCCUUUGGGCAGCACACAUAGUCGAACGACGUCGGGCGUGGCAUGACAUCACCACCUUGAGGCAGCACACACGGCCAAACGACAUCGAGCGUGGCAUGCCAUCAUCGCCUUAAGGCAGAACAAAUGGUCAAACGACAUCGGGCGUGGCAUGCUAUCAUCGCCUUUGGGCAGCGUAGACGGUCAGCAACGUCAGGCAUGGCAUGACAUCACCGCCUUUGGACAACACAAACAGUCGAACGACGUCAGGCGUGACAUGACAUCACCGCCUUUGGACAACACACACGGUGGAACGACGUCGAGCGUGGCAUGCCAUCAUCGGCUUAAGGCAAAAAAAAUAGUCAAACGACAUCGGGCGUGGCAUGCUAUCAUCGCCUUUGGGCAGCGCAGACAGUUGGCAAGGUCGGGCGUGACAUGACAUCACCGCCUUUGGACAGCACACACGGUCGAACGAUGUCAGGCGUGACAUGACAUCACCGCCUUUGGACAACACACACGGUGGAACGACUUUGGGCGUGACAAGACAUCACCGCCUUUGGCCAACACACACGAUCGAACGACGUCGGGCAUGGCAUGACGUCGCCGCCUUUGGGAAGCACACAUGGUCGAAUGACGUCGGGCGUGGCAUGACAUCACCGCCUUUGGGAAGCACACACAGUUGAACGACGUUGGGCGUGGCAUGACAUCACCACCUUUGGACAGCACACACAGUUGAAUGACGUCAAGCCUGGCAUGCCAUCAUCACCUUUGGGCAGCACACACGGUCGAACUACGUCGAGCGUGGCAUGCCAUCAUCGCCUUUAGAUUAGCUGACACAGUCGGACGGCGUUGGUCGUGGCAUGCCAUCAGCGCCCUUGGACGGGAAACAUGAUCGAACGACAUAGAGCGUGGCAUGCCAGCAACGCCUAGGGACAUCACACACGGAAGGACGACGUCGGGCGUGUCAUGCUAUCAUCGCCGUUGGGCAGCACAGACGGUCAGACGACGUUGGGCGUGGCAUGCCAUCACCGCCCUUAGACAGCACACAUGGUCGGAUGACGUUAAGCGUGGCAUGCCAUCACCGCCCAUGGAAAGCACACACGAUAGGACUACGUCGGGCGUGGCAUGACAUCACAUCCUUUGGACAGCACAAACGGUCGAACGACGUCGGGCGUGACAUGCCAUCAUCGCCUUUGGGCAGCACACACGGUCGAACGACAUCGGGCAUGGCAUGCCAUCAUAGCCUAUGGACGGCAAACACGAUCGAACAACGUCGGGCGUGGCAUGCAAUCAUCACCUUUGGGCAGCACACACGGUCUAACUACGUCGGGCGUGGCAUGCCAUCAUCGCCUUUGGGCAGCACCAACGGUCGAACGACGUCGGGCGUGGCAUGCCAUCAUCUCCUUUGGGCAGCACACACGGUCGAACGACGUCAGGCGUGGCAUGCCAUCAUAUCCCAUGAACGGCAAACACGGUCGAAUGACAUCAGGCGUGACAUGCCAUCACUGCCUUUGGAUAGCACACAUGGUCGAACGACGUCGGGUAGGGCAUGCCAUCAUCGCCUUUGGGCAGCACACAAAGUCGAAAGACAUCGGGCGUGGUAUGACAACUCACGGCUUUGGACAGCACACACGAUCAAAUGACGUCGGGCGUGACAUGUUGUCACCGCCUUUGGACAUCACACACGGUCGAACGACGUCGGGCGUGGCAUGCCAUCAUCACCUUUGGGCAGCACACACAGUCGAAAGACGUCGAGCGUGGCAUGACAUCCCCGCCUUUUGACAGCACACACGGUCGAACGACGUUGGGCGUGACAUGCCAUCCCCACCUUUGGACAGCACACACGGUCGAACGACGCAGGGCAUGGCAUGCCAUCAUCACCUUUGGGCAGCACAAACGGUUUGACGGCAUCGGGCGUGGCAUGCCAUCGUCGCCCUUGGACGGCAAACACGGUCGAAUGACGUCGGGUGUGGAAUGCCAUCAUCCCCUUUGGGCAGUAUGCACGGUCGACAUCGUCGGGCAUGGCAUGCCAUCAUGGACCUUGGACACCACACACGAUCGAACGAAGUCGGUCGUGGCAUGCCAUCAUAGCCCUUGAAUGGCAAACAAGGUUGAAUGACGUCUGACGUUGCAUGUCAUCAUCGCCUAUGGACUAGCUGACACCAUCGGAUGGCGUCAGGAGUGGCAUGCCAGCAUCGCCCUUCAACAGGACACACGGUCGAACGACGUAGAGCGUGGAAUGCCAUCAACGCCUUUGGACAGUACACAUGGUCGGAUGACGUCGGGCGUGGCAUGCCAUCAUCGCCUUUGGGCAGUACACAUGGUAGGAUGACGUCGGGCGUGGAAUGCCAUCACUACCCUUGGACAGCACACACGGUAGGACGACGACGGGCGUGGCAUGACUUCACCGCUCUUGGACUGCACGCAUGGUCGGACUACGUCGGGCGUGGCAUGACAUCGCCGCUCUUGGAUAGCACGCAUGGUCGGACAACAUCGGGCAUGGCAUGACAUCACCGCCCUUAGGAAGCACACACGGUCGGACUACGUCGGGCGUGGCAUGACAUCACCUCCUUUGGACAGCACACAUGGUCGAAUGACAUUGGGCGUGGAAUGCCAUCAUCGCCUUUGGGCAGCACACACGGUCGAACGAAGUCGGGCGUGGCAUGCCAUCAUAGCCCUUGAACGGCAAACAAGGUUGAACAAGGUCAGGCGUGGCAUGCCAUCAACGCCUUUGGACUAGCUGACACUCUCAAACGGCGUCGGGCGUGGCAUGCCAUCAUCGCCCUUGGACGGGAAACAUGGUCGAACGACUUAGAGCAUGGCAUGCCAUCAACACCUUGGGACAGCACACACGGAAGAACGACGUAGGGCGUGGCAUGACAUCACCGCCCUUGGACAGCACACACGGUCGAACAACAUCGGGUGUGGCAUGACAUCACCGCCCUUGGACAACACAGACAAUCGGCAACAUCGGGCGUGGCAUGACUUCACCGCCAUAGACAGCACACGGUCAAACGACGUCAGGCAUGGCAUGACAUCACCGCCCUUGGGCAGCACACACGGUCAGACUACGUCAAGCGUGGCAUGACAUCACCGCCAUUGUACAGCACACACGGUCGAACGACGUCGAGCGUGGCAUUCCAUUAUCACCUUUGGGCAGCACACAAGGCGAACUACGUCGGGCGUGGCAUGCCAUCAUCGCUUUUGGGCAGCACACACGGUCGAACGACAUUGGGCGUGGCAUGCCAGCAUCGCCUUUGGGCAGCACAAGGUCGAAAGACGUCAGGCGUGGCAUGACAUCACCUCCUUUGGAUAGCGCAAACGGUUGAACGACGUCGGGCGCGACAUGCCAUCACCGCCUUUGGAAAGCACACACGGUCGAACGACGUCGGGCGUGGCAUGCCAUUAUCACAUUUGGGCAGCACAAACGGUCGGACGGCAUCGGGCGUGGCAUGCGUUCAUCGCCCUUGGACGGCGAACACGGUCGAACGACGUCGGGUGUGGCAUGCAUUAUCGCCUUUGGGCAGCAUACACUGUCGAAAGCCGUCGGGCGUGGCAUUCCAUCUUGGCCCUUGGAUAGCACACACGGUCGAACAACGUUGGGCGUGGCAUGCCCUCAUAGCCCUUAAAUGGCAAACAAGGUUUAACGACAUCGGGCGUGGCAUACCAUCAUCGCCUUUGGACUAACUGACACGGUCGAACGACAUCGAGCGCAGGCAUUCCAAUAUCGCCAUUGGGCAACACACACGGUCGAACGACGUCAAGCGUGGCAUGCAUUUAUCUCCUUUAGGCAGCACAAACGGUCGAACGACGUCGGGCGUGGUAUGACAUCACCGCCCUUGGACAGCACACACGGUCGAACGACGUCGGGGAAGGCAAGACAUUACCGCCCUUAGACGGCACGCACCAUCGAACGAUGUCGGGCGUGGCAUGACAUCACCACCCUUGGACAACACAGACAAUCGGCAACGUCGGGCAUGGCAUGACAUCACCGCCAUAGGACAGCAAAAAUGGUCGUACGACGUCGGGUGUGGCAUGCCAUCACCGCCCUUGGACAUCACACACAGUCGGAUGACGUCACGCUUGGAAUGCCAUCACCGCCCUUCGACAACACACAUGGUAGGACGACGUCGUGCGUGGCAUGACCUCACCGCCCUUGGGCAGCACACACGGUCGGACUACGUCGGGCGUGGCAUGAAAUCACCACCUUUGGAUAGCACACACAGUCUAAUGACGUCGGGCGUGGCAUGCCAUCAUCGCUUAUGGGUAGCACACACGAUCGAAUGACGUCCGAUUCGAAAAGUCCGUGGCAAUUGGUAUCAGAGCAGGUUCGUCGUAAGAGAAUGACGAACGAAGGAGACGGAAGCAGCACUAGUAGCACCCCCAACGUCCGCACUGAUGGUGGCAAGAAGAACAAUAAGGGGAAGAAGCAGCAAACGGGUAAUGAACCCAAUCUGCCCGGUCUUCCACAAAAUGUUCCUCUACCUAGUGUUCCUACACCAAGCGAAGGGCAAACAUCUCUCCCUCCCCAGAUUGUCGAUGGAAGUGACGUAGACACCGGCGAGGAGUCCGUGGACGUUACUGUCGGACCGGAGUGGAUUGCAAGGGUCGAAAUGGCGAGGCAAGCCGUUGAGAUCACAGGCCAGCGCUUGAAUAGAACGGACAGAGAUCUCAAAGCUCUUGUAGAGUACUCCCUUGAGGAAGUUGAGAACGUCCGGAAGGAGUUGGAGGCACGUCAGCGAGCCGAGUGCGAGACAAAUGAGGCCAUUACUUCCUUAGAGAUCAGAUUUAGGGAAGCACUUGGCACAAUCGAGUUGCUUAAGGCCAAGGUGGCAGCACUCGAGGAGGAUAGAGAGUUUGGUGGAUCCUCAUCACAUGACCAGGAAAGGGAAGCCAGAGUUGAAGCGCCCAAGCCACCAGUCUUCAUAGGCGUCCGUGACGCGCAAGGGGUGGAUAAUUUCCUUUGGCACUUGGAGAAUUAUUUCAAGUGUAUGCGGGUCCGUAGUGAUGUGAACAAGAUCAAAACGGCUGUGUUGUAUCUUUCAGAGUUGGCCAUGCUAUGGUGGAAGCGUAAAGAGUCUGACAUCGCAAAGGGGACAUGCGCGUUGAACACAUGGGAGCAGUUCCGUGUGGAGUUAAAGAAGGCGUUCCUCCCUAGCAACGUUGUCUAUGAGGCAAAGCGCAAGAUGCGGGAGUUGAGACAAAAGGGCAGCAUACGUGCAUAUGUGCGGGAGUUUACCACACUUACAUUUCAGAUUCCCGACCUCAAGGACGACGACGCAUUGUCCUACUUCAUGGACGAGUUGCAAAAUUGGGCCAGAAUGGAGUUGGAACGGCGGAAAGUCAGGACUAUAGACGACGCCAUCACGCAGGCUGAAGCCUUGACAGACUUCAGGCGAGAGAAGUCUAUUAGUGCCGAGGAGGACGACGAGGUAGGCACUCAUGAUGAUAGUGGGGAUGACAGUGGCGAAGGCGAGGAGCAAACGCCACAACCCAAAAGGCGUGACACCUACGGGUCCAGCGGCAAGAAGCCCGGAGAUUGUGGCAACACGGUACGAGAUUUGAAAGACGGUUGCUUCAUAUGCAAAGGGCCGCAUGGUUAUAAGAGAUGCCCUGAACUGAAAAGUCUUGGUGCUAUACUCCGUGAGCGGAUGGAAGAGAAAGCCCAAGAGGAAGUCGGGAAGACUAAGCAGUUGGGCGUGGUAAGCCUAUGCGGAGCUGCGAUUGAACAACCAUCGUUGAGGCCAAGGCAAGUUGAGCCAAGGCAAGCGGGGCCGAAGCAUGCUGACAAGGGACUUGCAAAGUCUAUGGCGUGGGCUCAAACAGUUGACAUCACGGUCAAUGGGAAACCUGCUCGUGCGUUGGUCGACACCGGUGCUGAGGUCAAUGUUAUGACCAAGACGGUAGCAAAGAGGUUGGGGUUGCGAUAUACUUCAAGCAACACCCAAAUAAAGUCUGUCAACGCAUCACCGACUCCCAUAGUUGGAGUAGCACAUGGCGUGAACAUCAUGGUAGGCGAUUGGCAAGGGAAAACCAAAUUCAUCAUCGCCCCCAUCAACAUGUUUGAUGUUAUUCUUGGGCAUAAAUUCUUCCAACAGUGCCAUGUAGUAAUCGAUCCUCAUCUUCAAAAAUUGACAAUCAUGGAGAAAGGAAGGGAAUAUACAGUUCCCAUGGUGAAGGCACAAGUGACGGAGGGACAGGCUAGACUGACAGCCAUGAAGCUCGACAGGGGCGACAUGAGAAGAAGGUUAACAACGGCAACAACCAUUGCAAGUUCGAGAGAAGAUAAUGGUGCUGGAAAGUCCAUGCCACCGCGCAAUAAGAGGGUUCCGAGUAGGAACGCUGACAUGAUGAAGAAGACGCCGGAGCACUUUCCUCCGUUGAAGGAGGAAGUUCGGAAGAUCGGGUCGAGAAAGGACGGGACAUCGAUGAAGAGGCUGCUCGAAGGGAUUGAUCGAGUACGCGAGUUGAUGGUCGCCCGGCAGAACUCAACGCCGAUACGGACGCAAUGCGACGCGGACGUCGCAUCAUUAGGUGGGGGAGUUUGUCACGACCCGCCAGAUACCCAGGCAGUUCGCGACCUGCCUAGGCAGCCAGUAGCAGGUGCAGGGGGGCAGGCAGCCCACACCGGUCAGCAGACCAAGGUGCAAGCGCCCAAGCAGGCAGCAGUUGGAGGGGCAGCCGUUACAACCGUUUCGGCAGUUUCAGCCGUUUCAGCUGUUACAGCAGUUACAGCCAUUACAGCUGUUACUGAAGGUGAAGGGGCAGCAGUUUCAAGCCUUGAUGAGGCUUGCUCAAGGCCUCUUGGAACGUGGGGGCAGACUAGUCAAGGCUAGGAGUCCUUUUUUGGAAGACUUAGAAGCAUGUCUUGUGGGCAUGGACUUAGGGGCUUGUAUAUAGUGUAGCAUUUAUUUACUCUUAGUCAUUAGAGUUGUAUAAAUAGGUAGUCAUUGUAUUUGUAAUACAUCUAUCAACCAACAUAUCAAUACAAGUCUUUCUUCCAAAUUCUGUCUUUGUUUUCUCUUUCUAAGUUCUCUUAGCGAUCCAAGUAGAGGAAUGCUUACUUGAGUCUACAAGAUCGUGCAAGAAUCAUGAGUAGACCGUCAAGUGCCGCACGGAGCAUUGUCCGAUUCGAAAAGCCCGUGACACUAUGGACGGCAAACACGGUCGAAUGACGUUAGGCGUGACAUGCCAUCACCGCCUUUGGACAGCAGACACGGUCGAACGACGUCAGGUAGGGCAUGCUUCAUCGCCUUUGGGCCGCACACACGGUCGAAAGACGUCGGGCGUGGCAUGACAUCACCGCCUUUGGACAGCACACACGGUCAAACGACGUCGGGCGUGACAUAUCAUCACCGCCUUUGGACAGUGCACACGGUCGAACAACGUCGCGCGUGGCAUGCAAUCAUCACCUUUGGGCAGCACACACGGUCUAACGACGUCGGGCUUGGCAUACAAUCAUCGCCGUUGGGCAGCACAUACGGUCGAACGACGUCGGGCGUGGCAUGCCGUCAUGGCCCUUCGAUAGCACACACGGUCGAACGAUGUCGGGCGUGGCAUCCUAUCAUAGCCCUUAAACGGCAAACAAGGUUGAACGACGUUGGGCAUGGCAUACCAUCAUCGCCUUUGGACUAGCUGACAUAGUUGGACGACGUUAGGCAUGGCAUGCCAUCAUCGCCCUUGGACGGGAAAAAUGGUCGAACGACGUAGAGCGUGGAAUGCCAUAACCGCCUUGGGACAGCACACACGGUCAGACGACGUCGGGCGUGGCAUGCUAUCAUUGCCUUUGGGCAGCACAGACGGUCGGACGACGUCGAGCGUGGCAUGCCAUCACAACCCUUGGACAGCAGACAAGGUCGGAUGACAUCUGGCGUGGCAUGCCAUCGCCGCCCUUGGACAGCACACACGGUAGGACGACGUGGGGCGUGGCUUGAGAUCACCCCUCUUGGACUGCACGCAUGGUCAGACGUGGCAUGACAUCACUUCCCUUGGACAGCACACACGGUCGAACGACGUCAGGCGUGGCAUGACAUCACCGCCCUUGGACUACACGCACAGUUGGACAACGUCAAGCGUGGCAUGACAUCAACGCCCUUGGACAGCACACAAGGUCAGAACGACGUCGGGCAUGGCAUGCCAUCAUCGCCUUUGGGCAGCACACACAGUCGAACGACGUCAGGCGUGGCAAGCCAUCAUGGACCUUGGACAACACACACGGUCGAACGACGUCAGGCGUGGCAUGCCAUUAUAGACCUUGGACGGCAAACAGGGUCGAACGACAUCAGGCGUGGCAUGCCAUCAUCGCUUUUAAACUAGCUGACACAGUCGAACGGCGUCGGGCGUGGCAUGCCAUCAUCGCCCUAGGACGGCAAACACCGUCGAACGACGUCGGGGGUGGCAUGCCAUCACCGCCUUUGGUCAAGACACACAGUCGGACGACGUCGGGCGUGGCAUGCCAUCAUCUCAUUUGGGCAGCAUAGACGGUCGGAUGGCGUCGGGUGUGGCAUGCCAUCAUCGCCCUUGGACAGCACAAACGGUCGGCUGUCGUCGGGCGUGACAUGCCAUAAUAGCCCUUGGACAUCACACACGGUCGGCAACGUCGGGCGAGGCAUUAAAUCACCGCCCUUGGACAGCACACACGGUCGAACGGCGUCUAGCAUGGCAUGACAUCACCGCCCUUGGACUGCACGGACAAUCGGACGACGUCGGGCGUUGCAUGACAUCACCGCCCUUGGACAACACACAGCCGGCAAUGUCGUGCGUGGCAUCACAUCACCACCCUAGGACAAUACACACGGUCGUCAACGUCGGGCGUGGCAUGACAUCACCUCCCUUGGACAGCACAAACGGUCGGACGACGUCGGGCGUGGCAUGACAUCCCCCCCUUGGACAGCACACACGGUCGAACAAUGUCGGGCGUGGCAUGACAUCACCGCCAUUGGACUGCACGCAUGGUUAGACGACGUUGUUCGUGGCAUGACAACACCGCCCUUGGACAGCAGACACGGUCGAUCGACAUCGGGCGUGGCAUGACCUCACAGCCCUUGGGCAGCACACACGGUCGGACUACGUCGGGCGUGGCAUGCCAUCAUCACGUUGGGCAGCACACACGGUCGAACGACAUCGGGCGUGGCAUGCCAUCAUCGCGUUGAGGCAGUACACAUGGUCGAACGACGUCAGGCGUGACAUGCGAUCAUCGCCUUAAGGCAGCACAAACGAUCAAACGACGUCAGGCGUGGCAUGACAUCACUGCCCUUGGACUGCACGCACUGUCAGCAACGUGGAGCGUGGCAUGACAUCACCGCCCUUGGACAGCACACACGGUCGAUAACGUCGGGCAUGGCAUGGCAUCACCACUCUUUGACUGAACACACUGUCGGCAACGUCGGGCGUGGCAGGCCAUCACCAUUGGGCAGCACACACGGUUAAACGCCUUCGGGUGUGGCAUGCCAUCAUCGCCUUUGGGCAGCACACACGGUCGAAUGACGUCAGGCAUGACAUGAAAUCAACGCCUUUGGAAAGCACACACGAUCGAACGAUUUCGGGCGUGGCAUGCCAUCAACGCCUUUGGGUAGCAUAUACGAUCGAAUGACGUCGGGCAAGGCAUGCCAUCACAGCCCUUGGACAGCACACACGGUCGAACGACAUCGAGUGUGGCAUUCCAUCAUGGACCUUUGACAACACACACAGCCGAACAACGUCGGGCGUGGCAUGCCUUCAUAGCCCUUGGACGGCAAAAAGGGUCGAACGACGUUGGGCGUGGCAUGCCAUCAUCGCUUUUAAACGAGCAGACACAGUCGGACGGCGUCGGGCAUGGUAUGCCAUCAUCUCCCUUAAACGGCAAACACAGUCAAACGAUGUCGGGGGUGGCAUGCCAUCACCGCCUUUGGAGAACACACACAGUCGGACGACGUCGGGCGUGGCAUGCCAUCAUCUCCUUUGGGCAGCACUGACGGUCGGACGGCUUCGGGCGUGGCAUGCCAUCAUCGCCUUUGGAAAGCACACACGGUCGGCAAUGUCGGGCGUGGCAUUACAUCACCGCCCUUGGAAAACACCACGGUCGAACGACGUCUGGCAUGGCAUGACAUCACCGCCCUUGGACUGCACACACGAUCAGAAGACAUCGAGCAUGGCAUAACAUCACCGCCCUUGGAUAACAAACACGGUCUUUAGCAUCGGGCGUAGCAUGACAUCACCGCCCUUGGACAGCACACACGGUCAGACGAUGUUGGGCAUGGCUUGACAUCACCGCCCUUGGAAAGAACACACGGUCGAACGAUGUCGGGCGUAGCAUGACAUCACCGCCCUUGGAUUGCAUGUACGGUCGGAUGGCGUCGGGCGUGGCAUGACAUCACUGCCCUUGGACAGCACACACGGUCGGACUUUGUCGGGUGUGGCAUGACAUCACCACCUUUGGACAACACACACGGUCGACCGACGUCGGGCGUGGCAUGCCAUCAUCGCCUUUGGGCAGCACACACAAUCGAACGACGUCGGGCGUGGCAUGACAUCACCGCCUUUGGACAACACACACAGUGGAACGACGUCGAGCGUGACAUGCCAUCACCGCCUUUGGACAGCACACACGGUCGAAUGAUGUCAUGUGUGGCAUGCCAUCAUCGUCUUAAGACAACACAAAUGGUCAAAAGACGUCAGGCGUGGCAUGACAUCAUCACCUUUGGACAGCACAGACGGUCGAACGACGUCAGGCGUGGCAUGACAUCACCGCCUUGGGGCAGGAACACACAGUCAAACGACGUCGAGCGUGGCAUGCCAUCAUCGCCUUAAGGAAGAACAAACGGAACGUCGAGCGUGGCAUGACAUCACCGCCUUUGGACUGCUCGCACGGUCGGCAACAUCGGGCGUGGCAUGACAUCACCGCCUUUGGACAGCACACACGGUCGAACGACGUCGGGCGUGACAUGACAUCACCGCCUUUAGACAACACACACGGUGGAGCGACUUCGGGCGUGGCAUGCCAUCAUUACCUUUGGACUAGCUGACACAGUCGGACGGCGUCGGGUGUGGCAUGACAUCGUCGCCCUUGGACGGGAAACAUGGUCGAACGACGUAGAGCGUGGCAUGUAAUCAAUGCCUAGGGACAGCACACACGGAAGGACGACGUUGGGUGUGUCAUGCUAUCAUCGCCUUUGGGCAGCACAGACGAUCAGACAACGUCGGGCGUGGCAUGCCAUCACCACCCUUAGAUAGCACACGUGGUCGAAUGACAUUUAGCGUGGCAUGCCAUCACCGUCCUUGGAAAGCACACACAGUAGAACUAGGUCGGGCGUGGCAUGACAUCACCGCCUUUUGAUAGCACACACGGUCGAACGACGUCGGGCAUGGCAUGCCAUCAUCGCCUUUGGGCAGCACACACGGUCAAACGACGUCGGGCGUGGCAUGCCAUCAUAGCCUAUUGUCACGAUCCGCCUGAUACCCAGGCAGAUCGCGACCCGUCUAGGCAGCCAGCAGCCUGUGCAAGGGGACAGACAGCCCAAAAAUGGCCAGCAGGCAAAGGGGCAUGCGUCCAAGCAGGCAGCAGACAAAAGGUCAGGCGUUUCAGCUGUUACAAGCAGUUACAGCCGUUACAGGCAGUUACAGCCGUUGAAGGCAGUUUCAGCUAUUACAGUUGUUUCUGCAUGUGAAAGGGCGGCAGUUUCAAGCCUUGGAGAGGCUUGUUCAAGGCCUUUAGGUGUGGGGAAGACUAGGAGCAGCUAGGAGUCCCUUUUUGGAAGACUUAGAAGCAUGUCUUGUGGGCAUGGUGGACUUAGGGGCUUGUAUAUAGUGUAGCAUUUAUUUACUCUUAGUGUUUAGAGUAGUAUAAAUAGGUAGUCAUUGUAUUUGUAAUACAUCAACCAACAUUUGAAUACAAGUCUUUCUUCCAAAAUAGUCUUUUGUCUUUCCUUUAAUUUCUCUUAGCGAUCCCAGUAGUGAAAGGCUUACUUGAGUUUGUGAGAUCGUGAAAGAAUCGUGAGCAAACCAUCAAGUGCCGCAUGGAGUAUUGUCCAGAUCAAAAGUUUGUGACAAUUGGUAUUAGAGCAGGUUCAUCGUAAGAGAAUGACGAACGAAGGAGAAGGCGCUAGCAGCACCCCCAACGUCCGCACUGAUGGUGGCAAGAAGAACAAGAAAGGGAAGAAGCAGCAGACGGGUAAUGAACCCAAUCUGCCCGGACUUCCCCCAAGUGUUCCUCCACCAAGUGUUCCUACCCCAAGCGAAGGGAAGACAUCUCUCCCUCCCCAUAUUGUCGAUGGAAGUGACUAAGACACCGGCGAGGAGAUCGUGGACGUUACUGUCGGACAGGAGUGGAUUGCAAGGGUAGAAAAGGUAAGGCAAGCCGUUGAGAUCAUAGGCCACCGCUUGAACGGAACAGACAAAAAUCUUAAAGCUCUUGAAGAGUACUCCCUUGAGGAAGUUGACAGCGUCCGGAAGGAGGUUGAGACACGCCAGCGAGCCGAGUUCGAGACAAAGGAGGCCAUUACUUCCUUAGAGUUCAGGCUUAGGGAAGCAUUUGGCGCAGUUGAGUCGCUUAAGGCCGAAGUGGUAGAACUCAAGGAAGAGAGAGAGGUUGGUGGAUCCUCAUCACAUGACCGGAAAAGGGAAGCCAGAGUUGAGGCGCCCAAGCCAUCUGUCUUCAAAGGCGUCCGUGACGCGCAAGCCGUGGAUAAUUUCCUUUGGCACUUGGAAAAUUAUUUCAAGUGUACGCGGGUUCGUAGUGAUGUGAAAAAGAUCAACACGGCUGUGUUGUAUCUUUUAGAGUUGGCCAUGCUAUGGUGGAAGCAUAAAGAGUCUGACAUCGCAAAGGGGACAUUCGCGUUGAACACAUGGGAGCAGUUUUGUGUGCAGUUCAAGAAGGCGUUCCUUCCUAGCAACGUUGUCUAUGAGGCAAAGCGCAAGAUGCGGGAGUUGAGACAGAAGGGCAGCAUACGCGUGUAUGUGCAGGAGUUUACCACCCUUACAUUUCAGAUUCCCAACCUCAUGGACGACGACGCAUUGUUCUACUUCAUGGAUGGGCUGCAAAAUUGGGCAAGAACAGAGUUGGAACGGCGGCAAGUCAAGACUAUAGACGACGCUAUUCCACAGGUUGAAGCCUUGACAGACUUCAGGCACGAGAAGUCUUUCAGUGCCGAUGAGGACAAUGAGGUAAGCAGUCAUGAUGAUAGUGGGGAAGACAGUGGCGAAGGUGAGGAGCAAAUGCCACAACCCAAAAGGCGUAACACCUACGGGUCCAGCGGCAAGAAGCCCGGAGAUCGUGGCAACACGGUAAGGGAUUCCUAGGAUGGUUGCUUUAUAUGCAAAGGGCCGCAUGGUUACAAAAGAUGCCCUGAACUCAAAAGUCUUGGUGCUAUCCUUCGUGAGCGGAAGGAAGAGAAGGCCCAAGAGGAAGUCGGGGAGACUAAGCAGUUGGGCGUGGUAAGCCUAUGCGGAGCUGCGAUUGAACAACCAUCGACGAGGCCAAGGCAAGAUAAGCCAAGGCAAGCGGAGUCGAAGCAUGCUGAGAAGGGACUUGCGAAGUCUAAGGCGUGGGCUCAAACGGUCACGAUCAAUGGGAAUAUUGCUCGUGCUUUGGUCGACACCGGUGCGGAGGUCAAUGUUAUGACCAAGACGGCAGCAAAGAGGUUGGGGUUGCGAUAUACUGCAAGCAAUGCCCAAAUCAGAACUGUCAACGCAUUACCGACUCCUAUAGUUGGAGUUGCGCACGGGGUGAACAUCACGGUAGGCGAUUGGCAAGGGAAAACCAAGUUCAUCGUCGCCCCCAUCAAUAUGUUUGAUGUUAUUCUUGGGCAGAAGUUCUUCCAGCAGCGCCAUGCAGUAAUCGAUCCUCAUCUCCAAAAAUUGACAAUCAUGGAGAAAGGAAGGGAAUAUACAGUUCCCAUGGUGAAGGCGCAGGCAACGGAGGGACAGGCUAGACUGACAACCAUGAAGCUCGAGAGGGUUGAUUUAAGAAGAAGGUUAACACCAGCAGCGACCAUUGCAAGUUCGAGAGAAGACAAUGGUGCUGGAAACACCUUACUACCGCGCAGGAAGAGGUUCCGAGUAACUAGAAUUGAAAGAUGCAGCCGGAGCACUUGCCUCCGUUGAAGGAGGAAGUUCGGAAGAUCACGUCGAGAAAGGUCGGGAAAUCGAUGAAGAGGCUGCUCGAAGGGAUUGAUCGAGUACGCGAGUUGAUGGUCGCCCGGCAGAAAUCAACGCCGAUACGGACGCAAUGCGAUGCAGUCGUCGCAUCAUCAAGUGGGGGAGUUUGUCACGACCCGCAUGAUACCCAGGCAGAACGCGAGCCGUCUAGGCAGCCAGCAGCCUGUGCAAGGGGACAGACAGCCCAAAAACGGCUAGCAGGCAAAGGGGCAGGCGUCCAAGCAGGCAGAAGACAAAGGGUCAGGCGUUUCAGCUGUUACAAGCAGUUACAGCCGUUACAGGCAGUUACAGCCGUUACAGGCAGUUACAGCCGUUUCAGGCAGUUUCAGCCGUUACAGUCAUUUCUGCAGGUGAAGGGGCGGCAGUUUCAAGCCUUGGAGAGGCUUGUUCAAGGCCUCUAGGCGUGGGGCAGACUAGGAGCAACUAGGAGUCUCUUUUUGGAAGACUUAGAAGCAUGUCUUGUGGGCAUGGAAUUAGGGGCUUGUAUAUAGUGUAGCAUUUAUUUAUUCUUAGUGUUUAGAGUAGUAUAAAUAGGUAGUCAUUGUAUUUGUAAUACAUCAACAAACAUUUGUAUACAAGUCUUUCUUCCAAAACAGUCUUUUGUCUUUCCUUCAGUUUCUCUUAGCGAUCCAAGUAGUGAAAGGCUUACUUGAGUUUGCGAGAUCGUGAAAGAAUCGUGAGCACCGUCAAGUGCCGCACGGAGUAUUGUCCAGAUCGAAAAGUCUAUGACACUAUGGACGGCAAACACGGUUGAACGACGUCAGGCGUGAUAUGCCAUCACCGCCUUUGGACAGCAGACACGGUCGAACGACGUCAGGUAGGGCAUGCUAUCAUCGUCUUUGGGCCGCACACACGGUCGAAAGACGUCGGGUGUGGCAUGACAUCACCACCCUUGGACGUCACACACGGUCGAACAUCGUUGGGCGUGGCAUUCCAUCUUCGCCUUUGGGCAGCACACACGAUCGAAUGACGUCGGGCGUGGCAUGACAUCACCGUAUUUGGGCAGCACACACGGUCAAACAACGUCGAGCAUGACAUGCCAUCACCGCCUUUGGAUAGCACACACGGUUGAAUGACGUCGGGCGUGGCAUGCCAUCAUCACCUUUGGGAAGCACACACGAUCGAACUACGUCGGGCGUGGCAAUGCCAACAUCGCCUUUGGGAAGCACAAACGGUCGAACGACGUCCGGGCGUGGCAUGCCAACAUCACCUUUGGGCAGCACACACGAUCGAACGACGUCGGGUGUGGCAUGCCAGCAUCGCCUUUAGGCAGCACACACGGUCGAAAGACGUCGAGCGUGGCAUGACAUCACCUCCUUUGGACAGCGCACACGAUCGAACAACGUCGGGCGCGACAUGCCAUCAUCGCCUUUGGAAAGCACACACGAUCGAACGACGUCGGGCGUGGCAUGCCAUCAUCACCUUUGGGCAGCACAAACAGUCGGAUGGCAUCGCGCGUGGCAUGCCAUUAUCUCCUUUAGGCAGCACAAAUGGUCAAACGAUGUCGGGCGUGGCAUGACAUAUACCGCCCUAGGACUGCACGCACAGUCGGACGACGUCGGGCGUGGCAUGACAUCACUGCCCUUGGACAACACACAUGGUCGAACGACGUCGGGCGUGGCAUGACAUCACCGCCCUUGGACGGCAUGCACGGUCGAACGACGUCAGGCGUGGCAUGACAUCACCACCCUUGGACAGAACAGAAAAUCGGCAACGUCGGGCGUGGCAUGACAUCACCGCCAUAGGACAGCACACGGUCGGACGACGUCGGGCAUGGCAUGACAUCCCCGCCCUAGGGCAGCACACACAGUCAGACUACGUCAAGCGUGGCAUGACAUCACCGCCUUUGUACAACACACACGGUCGAACGACGUCGGGCGUGGCAUGCCAUCAUCGCCUUUGGGCAGCACACACGGUCGAACGACGUCGGGCGGGGCAUGUCAUAAUAGCCCAUGGACGACAAACACGGUCGAACGACGUCAGGCGUGACAUGCCAUCACCGUCUUUGGACAGCACACACGGUCGAACGACGUCGGGCGUGGCAUGCCAUCUUGCCUUUGGGAAGCGCACACGGUCGAAUGACAUUGGGCGUGGUAUGGCAUCACCGCCUUUGGGCAGCACACACGGUCAAACGCCAUCGGGCGUGACAUGCCAUCACCGCCUUUAGACAGCACACACGGUCGAACGAAUUCGGGCGUGGCAUGCCAUCAUAGCCCUUGAAUGGCAAACAAGGUUGAAUGACGUCAGGCUUGGCAUGCCAUCAUCGCCUUUGGACUAGCUGACACAGUCGGACGGCGUCAGGCGUGGUAUCCCAUCAUCACCCUUGGACGGGAAACACGGUCGAACGACGUAGAGUGUGGCAUGCCGUCAACGGCUAAGGACAACACACAAGAAAGGACGACGCCGGGCGUGGCAUGCUAUUAUCUCCUUUGGACAGCACAGACGGUCAGACGAUGUCGGUCGUGGCAUGCCAUCACCGCCCUUAGACAGCACACGUUGUCGGAUGACGUCGGGCAUGGCAUGCCAUCACCGCCCUUGGACAGCAUACACGGUAGGACGACAUCGGGCGUGGUAUGACAAUGCUAAAAAGUUAUAACAUUUUUUAAAACACCUAAGCAGCCUACUAAAUUAUUACGAUUUGAUUUUAACAUUCAAAAAUUAAUGGAAUCUAGUUUUUUAUUUUUUAUUUUUUAGUUUUUUAGACUUAUUAACAAAAGCGUCAAGCAAAUUAAAAAUUGGUUAGAUUAUAACACCUACAAACAAUGAUUCUAGGUGGUUAAAGACAAACCUAUAGGCAUGAUUUCUAAAAAAAAUUUACAAUGAACAAGUAGGCAUGUAAAUCCCCCUCCCCUAGACGAUCCCCCAAAUAAAUUUAUAUAUAUGAUCUUUAGAGUUACAAAUGUUACAACAAUCGAAUAAAUAAAAUAAGAAGAAAAAAAAUAAUAUAUAUAUAUAUAUAUAUAUAUAGAGAGAGAGAGAGAGAGAGAGAUUCAAAUAAACAAAUAAAUAUUUCCUCGUGGUUAAUCUUCAACUUGAACUUCAAGUUUGAAACCUGUCAAAGCAAUCAAAUAACUACACAAGUAAUCACAUUUAUUUGUCAAGGUGAGACAAUAAGCAAUUGUUUAAUGACGAAUUCUAUAUAUAAAAAAAACAAUAGCUUACACAAAUGUGUGAAUGUAAAGAUAGUGUAAAUGUUAAGAAUACUAACCAGUCAAGCAAAACAAAUUGAUUAACUUUUACUCGAACAAAGUAGCAAAAUAGCGAAAAAGAACACUUGAAUAAUUACCGGAAUCUUAAUGUAUUGUUAGAGUAGCAAGAGAGCAAUGAGAGAAGGAAGAGUGAUGAGAGAACUUGUGAUUGAGAGUGAAUGAGUGUACCCGUUGAUGAAGGGAGGGGUCUUAUUUAUAUAGCAAGGAGGAGGAAACAAAUAAGGAAAACAAAAACUUAAAGGAAUCAAUUAAAUAUAUUGUUUUCCUUAUUAUAAAAGAGGACCAAAUCUGAAUAUUUUAAAAUAAUUUAUUACCAUAAUAAAAACAAGUAAGGAAUCAGUAUGUUUAUUCAUAAGGAAAAAUAGAUCAAUUAAACUUAUUUUCCUUAACUAGUAGAGAAUAAAAUCAGUACAAUCCUUUUUACCUUAAUUAAAUAUCACUUUUCUAAAAAUAUAACAACCAAGAAUAUAUUUGAAGUCAAUCAAGGUAAAAUAAAAUAGUCAAUUAAAAAUGACAAUAAUAUUUUAAAAGAUAUAAGAAAUCUGAAACUACUAUUGAAAAUUACAAGACUUAUCAUAACAAAUAAUAAUCAAAGUGAAACCAAUAUAUACUUAGCAUGUCAAUACCCAAAUCACAUUUAGCAGACUUAAUGGGAGGCAGGAACUGAUUAUCAUAACAUAUUGUUUUCAACACGGCUAAAACACAUGUACUUUGCGAAUUUUCAAGAAAAAAAUCAACAAGAACAGUCCAUAGGAUCAAGCAAAUCACAAUAUAUUUUCAUACUCAUAGCAAAAUAUUUCUGAAACAUGCAUAACAUUAGGGGAAUUAAACAUCUAAAUAAAAAAACUAAAACAGAAACUAACCCAGACGGAUCUGUUUAAAUUCAUCUUAAAAUCAGCCGCAAUAUAUUGAGAUAUUAAUAGAAUCUACGCCAUUCAUUAGCUGAACUUGCUGGCCGGAAACAAAGGAAAAACAAGGCUCGCCGGAGUCUGCUGUUGCUGCUGUCUCGUCGAGAUGCUGCUGCCGGUUUUCCCUGCAAAAGGAGUAGAGAAAGGGGAAGAGGAAGGGGAAAAAGAAGAGACAGGAGGGGAGAGAGGAGAAGGGGAGAGAAAGAGGGAGAAGCGGGGCCAACGGGAGAGAAAGAGAAAGGGAGAAGAGGUGGCCAGCGGUUGACUUCGCCGGAGCUGCCACUGGUCGCUUGACUUCGUCGGAGAGGAGAAGGGGAGAGAAGGAAAGAGGGAAGAGAGGAGAGAAAGAAAAGAUGGAGGCGGGGAGAGGGAGAAGGACGGGAAGGGAGGCGGCGGAGAGGGGUGGCGACAGAGGGGCGUUGCCACCUCUGGAUGAUGGCCUCGCCGUCCAGAAAAAGGAAGAAGGAGGAGCGGCGCUGGAGAGAGAGAGAAAGAGUGUGGCGGCUGCCAAGGAGAGGGGGAGAAGAAUGGGUUAGAAUUUUAGGUUUUGGGGUCUUUUGGUGUUGAGAAAAUAAUAGAUUUAAUCACAACCGUUGAUCUAAUUUGAAACGAGGGUCUAGGAUUCAAUUAAUAAAAUAGAUGGAUGAGAUUAAAAGUUGAGAUGUAUUGAAAUCAGAUUGGAUUGCAUAUGGAAUGGCUACAAUUGCAAUUAAAAUGGCUAGAAUUGAAAUGAGAGAGAGGCUAUGAUUGUAAUAAAAACUUAAUUGGAGUAGCUAGAAUUGAAAGAAGUUACGAUAGAAUAGGCUAGAAUUUAAAAUUUAAGGAAAGUGUAGGACUUACUAUUUAAUUAAAAUACUACAUAUAUUAAAAUAUUUUUAUAUAAUUGAAAAUCAAUUAAAUUUUUACAUUUGAAGUUCAUUAAUAAUUUUAAAAUAUUUUAAUGAUAUUUACGAUAACUUUAUAAAGUAAAACAUACUGAAACAUAUAAUUUUCAAGCAAAGUCGGCUAAAAAAUUCUAAAAUUUAAAAUACAUAUUUAAUCGAAUAGUAUUCCUAAAAUGGUCAAAGGUCGGUAAAAAUUGGGUGUCAACAGACAGCACACGGUCAGACGACGUCGGGCACGACAUGACAUCAACGCCCUUGGGCAGCACACACGGUCGGAUACGUCAGGCGUGGCAUUACAUCACCGCCUUUGGACAGCACACACGGUCGAACGACGUCGAGCGUGGCAUUCCAUUAUCGCCUUAGGGCAGCACACACGGUCGAACUAUGUCAGGCGUGGCAUGCCAUCAUCGCCUUUGGGAAGCACAAACGGUCGAACGACGUCGGGCGUGGCAUGCCAACAUCCCCUUUGGGCAGCACACACGGUCGAACGACGUCGGGCGUGGCAUGACAGCAUCGCCUUUGGGCAGCACACACGAUCGAAAGACGUCGGGCGUGGCAUGACAUCACCUCCUUUGGACAGCGCACACGGUUGAAUGACGUCGGGCGCGUCAUGCCAUCACCGCCUUUGGAAAGCACACACGGUCGAACGACGUCGGGCGUGGCAUUCCAUCAUCACCUUUAGGCAGCAGAAACGGUCGUACGGCGUCGGGCGUGGCAUGCCAUCAUCGCCCUUGGACGGCAAACACGAUAGAACGACGUCGGGUGUGGCAUGCAUCAUCGCCUUUGGGCAGCACACACGGUCGAACGACAUCGAGCAUGACAUGACAUCACCGCCUUUGGACAGCACACACGCUCGAACGACGUCGGGCGUGGCAUGCCAUCAUCGCCUUUGGGCAGCACAUAUGGUCGAACGACGUCGGGCAAGGCAUGCCAUCAUAGCCCUUGGACAGCACACACGGUCGAACGACAUCGGGUGUGGCAUUCCAUCAUUGACCUUGGACAACACACAGGGUCGAACAACAUCGGGCGUGGCAUGCCAGCAUAGCCCUUAGACGGCAAACAGGGUCAAACAACGUUGGGCGUGGCAUGCCAUCAUCGCUUUUAAACUAGCAGACACAGUCGGACGGCGUCGGGCGCGGCAUGCCAUCAUCUCCCUUGGAUGGCAAACACAGUCGAACGACGUCGGGGGUGGCAUGCCAUCACCGCCUUUGGACAGCACAUACAGUCGGACGACGCUGGGCGUGACAUGCCAUCAUCUCCUUUGGGCAGCACAGACGGUCGGACACCUUCGGGUGUGGCAUGCCAUAAUCGCCCUUGGACAGCACAAACUAUCGGCCAUCACCCGGCAUAGCAUUACAUCACCGCCCUUGGACAGCACACACGGUCGAACGACGUCUUCCAUGGCAUGACAUCACCGCCCUUGGACUGCACGCACGAUCAUACGAAUUUGGGCGUGGCAUGACAUCACCACCCUUGGAAAGCACACAGCUGGCAACAUCGAGCGUGGCAUGACAUCACCGCCCUUAGACAACACACACGGUCGUUAACGUCAGGCGUGGCAUGACAUCACUGCCCUUGGACAGCACACACGGUCGGACGACAUCGAGCGUGGCAUGACAUCACCGCCAUUGGACAUAACACAUGGGCGAACAAUGUCGGGCGUGGCAUGACAUCACCGCCCUUGGACUGCACGUACGAUCGGACGAUAUCGGGUGUGGCAUGACAUCACUGCCCUUGGACAGCACACACGGUCGGACUUUGUCGGGAGUGGAAAGACAUCACUGCCUUUGGGCAACACACACGGUCGACCGACGUCGGGCGUGGCAUGCCAUCAUCGCCUUUGGGCAGCACACACAGUUGAACGACGUCGGGCGUGGCAUGACAUCACCGCUUUUGGACAGCACACACAGUGGAACGACGUCGAGCGUGACAUGCCAUCACCGCCUUUGGACAGCACACACGGUCGAACGAUGUCGGGCGUGGCAUGCCAUCAUCGCCUUAAGGCAGCACAAAUGGUCAAACGACAUCAGGAGUGGCAGGACAUCACCGCCACACACGGUCUAAUGACGUCAGGCAUGACAUGACAUCACCGCCUUGGGUUAGGCACACACGGUUGAACGACGUCAAGCGUGGCAUGCCAUUAUCGCCUUAAGGCAGAACAAACGGUCAAACGAUGUCGGGCGUGGCAUGACAUCAUCGCCCUUGGACUGCUCGCACGGUCGGCAACGUCGGGCGUGACAUGACAUCACCUCCUUUGGAGAGCACACACGGUAGAACGACAUCAUGCGUGAAUGACAUCACCGCCUUUAGACAACACACACGGUGGAACGACGUCGGGCGUGGCAUGCCAUCAUCACCUUUGGACUAGCUGACACAGUCGGACGUCGUCGGGCUUGGCAUGCCAUCAUCGCCCUUGGACAGGAAACACGGUCGACAACGUAGAGCGUGGCAUGCCAUCAACGUCUAGGGACAGCACACACGCAAGAACGACGUUGGGCGUAUCAUGCUAUCAUUGCCUUUCGGCAGCACAGACGGUCAGACAACGUCGGGCGUGGCAUGCCAUCACCGCCCUUGGACAGCACACAUGGUCGGAUGAUGUUGAGCGUGGAAAGCCAUUACCACCCUUGGACAGCACACACGAUAGGACUAUGUCGGGUGUGGCAUGACAUCACCGCCUUUGGACAGCACACACGGUCGAAUUACGUCGGUCGUGGCAUGCCAUCAUAGCCUAUGGACGGCAAACACGAUCGAACAACGUCAAGUGUGACAUGCCAUCACCGCCUUUGGACAGCACACACGGUCGAAUGACGACAGGUAGGGCAUGCCAUCAUCGCCUUUGGGCCGCACACACGGUCGAAAGACGUCGGGCGUGGCAGGACAUCACCGCCUUUGGACAGCACACACAGUCAAACGAUGUCGGGCGUGACAUGCCAUCACCGCCUUUGGACAGCACACACGGUCGAACGACGUCGGGCGUGUAAUGCCAUCAUCUCCUUUGGGCAGCACACACGGUCGAACUACGUCGGGCGUGGCAUGCCAUCAUCACCUUUGGGUAGCACAAAUGGUCGAAAGACGUCGGGCGUGGCAUGCCAUCAUCACCUUUGGGUAGCACACACGGUCGAACGACGUCGGGCAUGGCAUGCCAGCAUCGCCUUAAGGCAGCACACACAGUCGAAAGACGUUGGGCGUGGCAUGACAUCACCGCCUUUGGACAGCACACACGGUCGAACAGCGUUGGGCGUGACAUGCCAUCACUGCCUUUGGACAGCACACACGAUCGAACAACGUCGGGCGUGACAUGCAAUCACCGCCAUAGGACAGCACACAAUCGGACGACGUCGGGUAUGGUUUGACAUCACCUCCUUUGAACAGCGCACACGGUCGAACGACGUCGAGUGCGACAUGCCAUCACCGCCUUUGGAAAGCACACACGGUUGAACGAUGUCGAACGUGGCAUGCCAUCAUCACUUUUGGGCAGCACAAACAAUCAAACGACGUCGGGCGUGGCAUGCCAUCUUGUCUUUGGGAAGCACACACGGUCGAACGACGUCGUGCGUGGCAUGACAUCACCGCCCUUGGACGGCACGCACGGUCAAACGAUGUCGGGCGUGGAAUGACAUCACCACCCUUGGACAGCACAGAGAAUCGGCAACGUAGGGCAUGGCAUGACAUCACCGCAAUAGGACAACACACGGUCAGACGACGUCGGUCAUGGCAUAACAUCACCGCCCUUGGCCAACACACACGGUUGGACUACGUCAGGCGUGACAUGACAUCACCGCCUUUGUACAGCACACACGGUCGAACGACGUUGGGCGUGGAAUGCCAUCAUCGCCUUUGGGCAGCAUACGAUGUCGAACGACGUUGGGCGUGGCAUGCCAUCUUGCCUUUGGGCAGCACACACGGUCAAAUGACGUCGGGCGUGACAUGCCAUCACCGCCUUUAGACAGCACACAUGGUCAAACGAAGUCGGGCGUGGCAUGCCAUCAUAGCCCUUAAACGGCAAACAAGGUUGAAUAACGUCAGGCGUGGCAUGCCAUCAUCGCCUUUGGACUAGCUGACACAGUCUGACGGCGUCGGGCGUGGCAUGACAUCAUCGCCCUUGGACGAGAAACACGUCGAACGACGUAGAGCGUGGCAUGCCAUCAACGCCUAAGGAUAGCUCACAAGGAAGGACGACGUCGGGCGUGGCAUGCUAUCAUCUCCUUUGGGCAGCAAAGACGGUCGGACGACGUUUUGCGUGGCAUGCCGUCACCGCCCUUGGACUGCACACAUGGUCGGAUGACGUCGGGCGUGGCAUGCCAUCACUGCCCUUGGACAGCACACACGGUAGGACGAUGUCGGGCGUUGCAUGACAUCGCCGCUUUUGGACAGCACGCAUGGUCGGACGACAUCGGGCAUGGCAUGACAUCACCGCCCUUGGGCAGCACACACGCUCGGACUUCGUCGAGCAUGGCAUGACAUCACCGCCUUUGAACAGCACACACGGUCGAAAGACGUCAGGCGUGGCAUGCCAUCAUCACCUUUGAGCAGCACACACGGUCGAAUGACGUCGGCAUGGCAUGCCAUCAUAGCUCAUGGACGGCAAACACGGUCGAACGACGUCAGGCGUGACAUGCCAUCACUGCCUUUGGACAGCACACACGGUCGAACGUCGUCGGGCGUGGCAUGCCAUCAUCGCCUUUGGGCAGCUCACACGGUCGAACGACGUUGGGCGUGGCAUUACAUCACCGCCUUUGGACAGCACACACGGUCGAACGACGUCGGGCGUGACAUGCCAACAUCGCCUUUGGACAGCACACACGGUCGAACGACGUCGAGCGUGGCAUUCCAUUAUCGCCUUUGGGCAGCACACACGAUCGAACGACGUCUGGCGUGGCAUGCCAUUAUUGCCUUUGGGCAGCACAAACGGUCGAACGACGUCAGGCGUGGCAUGACAUCACCGCCCUAGAACUGCACGCACGGUUGGACGACGUCGGGUGUGGAAUGACAUCAUCGCCCUUCGACAGCACACACGAUCGAAUGACGUCGGGCCUGGCAUUACAUCACCGCCUUUGGACACCACGCACGGUCGAACGACGUCAGGCGUGGCAUGACAUCACCACCCUUGGACGUCACACACGGUCGCACGUCGUUAGGCAUCGCAUGCCAUCAUCGCCUUUGGGCAGCACACACGAUCGAAUGACGUCGGGCGUGGCAUGACGUCACCGCAUUUUGGCAGCACACACAGUCAAAGAACGUCGGGCGUGACAUGCCAUCACCGCCUUUGGACAGCACACACGAUCAAAUGACGUCGGGCGUGGCAUGCCAUCAUCCCCUUUGGGCAGCACACAUGUUCAAACUACGUCGGGCGUGGCAUGCCAUCAUCUUCUUUUGGGAAGCACAAACGGUCGAACGACGUCGGGCGUGGCAUGCCAACAUCAUCUUUGGGCCGCACACACCGUCGAACGACGUCAGGCGUGGCAUAUGCCAGCAUCGCCUUUGGGAAGCACACACGGUCGAAAGACGUCGAGCGUGGAAUGAAAUCACCUCCUUUGGACAGCGCAUACGGUCGAACAACGUAGAGCGUGGCAUGCCAUCACCGCCUUGUGACAUCACACACGGUUAGACGACGUCGAGCGUGGCAUGCUAUCAUCGCCUUUGGGCUGCACAAACAGUCGGACGACAUCGGGUGUGGCAUGCCAUCACCGCCCUUGGAUAGCACACAAGGUCGGAUAACGUCUGGCGUGGCAUGCCAUCGCUGCCCUUGGACUGCACCCACGGUAGGACGACGUGGGGCAUGGCAUGAGAUCACCGCUCUAGGACAGCACGCAUGGUCGGGCAUGGCAUGACAUCACCACCAUAGAACAGCACUCGAUCAGACGACGUCGGGCAUGGCAUGACAUCACCGCCCUUGGGCAGCACACACGGUCGGACUACGUCAGGCGUGGAAUGACAUGAACGCCUUUGUACAGCACACACGUUCGAACGACGUCGGGCGUGGCAUGCCAUCAUCGCCUUUGGGCAGCACAGACGAUAGAACGACGUCGGGCGGGGCAUGCCACAAUAGCCCAUGGACGGCAAACACAAUUGAACGAUGUCAGGCGUGACAUGCCAUCACCGCCGUUGGACAGCACACACGGUAAAACGACGUCGGGCGUGGCAUGCAAUCUUGCCUUUGGGAAGCACACACGGUCGAAAUACGUCGGGCAUGGUAUGACAUCACCGCCUUUGGGCAUCACACACGGUCAAAUGUCGUCGGGCAUGACAUGCCAUCAUCGUCUUUAGACAGCACACACGGUCGAACGAAGUCAGGCGUGGCAUGCCAUCAUAGCCUUUGAUCGGCAAACAAGGUUGAAUGACGUCAGGCGUGGCAUGCCAUCAUCGCCUUUGGACUAGCUGACACAGUCGGACGUCGUCGGGCGUGGCAUGCCAUCAUCGCCCUAGGACCGGAAACACGGUCGAAUGACGUAGAUCGUGGCAUGCCAUCAACGCCUAAGGAUAGCACACAAGGAAGGACAACGUCGGGCGUGGCUUGCUAUCAUCUCCUUUGGGCGGCAUAAACGGUCAGACGACGUCGGGCGUGGCAUGCCAUCACCGCCCUUGGACAGCACACAUGGUCGGAUGACGGCGAGCGUGGCAUGCCAUAACCGCCCUUGGACAGCACACACAAUAGGAUGACGUAGGGCGUAGUAUGAGAUCACCGCUCUUGGACGGCAUGCAUGGUCAGACUACGGCGGGCGUGGCAUGACAUCACCACCUUUGGACAGCACACAUGGUAGAAUGACGCAUGGCAUGGCAUGACAUUAUCGCCCUUGAACUGCACGCACGGUAAGACGACAUCGGGUGUGGCAUGAUAUCAUAUCCCUUAGACGGCAAACACGAUUGAACGACGUUAGGCGUGACAUGUCAUCACCGCCUUUGGGCAGCACACACGAUUGAAUGACGUCGGGCGUGGCAUGCCAUCAUAUCCCUUGGAUAACAAACACGGUAGAACGACGUUAGGUAUGACAUGUCAUCACCGCCUUUGGACAUCACACACGAUCGAACGUCGUCGGGCGUGGCAUGCUAUCAUCGCCUUUGGGAAGCACACACGGUCGAACGACGUUGGGCGUGGCAUGACAUCACCGCCUUUGGACAGCACACACGGUCGAACGACGUUGAGCGUGACAUGACAACAUCGCCUUUGGACAAACCACACGGUCGAACGACGUCGAGCGUGGCAUUCCAUUGUCGCCUUUGGGCAGCACACACAGUCGAAAGACGUCUGGCGUGGCAUGCCAUUAUUGCCUUUGGGCAGCACAAACGGUCGAACGACGUCGGGCGUGGCAUGACAUCACCGCCCUAGGACUGCACGCACGAUCAGACGACGUCGGGCGUGGCAUGACAUCACCGCCCUAGGACAGCACACACGGUCGAAUGACGUCGAGCCUGGCCUGACAUCACCGCCCUUGUAGACACGUAAUUUUUGACCGAAUUUAAUUUUAACACUAAUAUUUAAAGCAUAAAUAAUUUUAUCAAUAUAAAUUAAAUAUAUUUUGACUUUUUAUUAUUUUCAUUAAUUUUAUUUAAAAGAUAUAAAAAUAAACAACAUAAAUAUAAUUUUAUUUAGAAAAGUUUAUUUUGAUUGUUAAAAAAAAGGAUAUAUAUAUAUGUGUGUGUGUGUGUGUGUGUAAUAAUAAAUAAUUAAAAAAAAAGGGAAACCACUCCCAUUUUCCCCACUUCCCCCAUGACCCCCAUGUACACACUACACACGUACACUACUACUACUACUAUAUACAUACAAUGAAAAAAAAAAGAAAAGGGAGGAUCAGACAACAAAAAGAAAAGAGAAAUCAACGAAAAAAAAGAAAGGGACAUCAGAAAGGUAAAAAAAAAGAACGAAAGGGAGCAAAAAUCAAGGAAAAGAAGGCAACACAUACGUAAAAAAUAUUAUUCUCAUCUUAUUACUUUUUUUGAAAAUCACAAACAAAGGUUGAGUUUUGAGGUUCACUUCGUGGUUUCAAGUUCACGGUUCCUUAUUCGAAUUGUUUUCUUUUGGUAGAAUUUUCGCAAGAGGUACCAUUUUUUAUUAUUAUUUUUAUAUAAUUUAAUAUCAUGUUUAUACAAGCACUGAUUACAAUAUAUUAAAGUUGUCAAAUUUCACAUGUGGUUAAACCGUUAUGUUUUAUAUGAAGUUUGUUCAAAUAUUUAAUAUCAACUUUAUGUUUAGAUCCUUUAUAUAGUUUUAUUUUGUGUGAAAUUGCUAUAAUAAACCGUAGUUUAUUUCAUAUUAAAUAAUUCAUAGUUUAUUUCAUGCCUAAGUAAAAUUAUUGUCUAAGUCUAUUCUUAUUUUUCAUGUUUAAUUUUUAAUGAUAAUAUGUGUAGUUAUUAUAAUUCUAAUGAUAAUAUGUAAAGUUAUCCAAAUUUUUAUAUUCGUGUCUUACUAAUUUGAAUGAAUUUUUUAUUUGGUUGUGUUUAGAAAUGUAUUAAAUUAUAUUUUAUAUUAUAUUAUGUGUCUUGUCUUACAUUAUUAUUUUUAGAUUCCAUAAAAAAUAAUAAUAAUAAUAAACUUGUUAGGAGAGGAUAAUAAAUUGAAAGAAAAAAGAAAAAAAAGAUUAAAAAAAUAAAAAAAAAUAAUAACAAUAAAAAUGGAGUAAGGAAAAGAGGUAGAAUACGUGAAUAAAAAAAGAAAAGAAAAGUAGUGAAGAAGGAAUGUUCGAAUUAGAAAAAGAAUAAUAAAAAAUAAAAAAUAAAUAUAUAAUAAAAAGAAUGUAAAAAAUGUAAACGAGAAAGUAAAAAAAAUACUUUAAAAAUGAAAAGAUACAAAAAGUAUAGUGUUAAAAAUAUGUGAAAUAUUUUAUUAUUAUCAUGAAAAAAGAAGAAGAAAAAUCAAUGUAAAAAUAAAACAAAAAUACAAUGAAAAAAAAAAGAGAAAUUAAGAAAUAAGCAAAAUGUUGAAAGAAUAAUAAAAAAUAAUAAUGUAUAAAAACUUGACAUGCUUCUAAAAUUGGAUGGUUUUAAAUAUGUUAAUAAAUCAAAGAAUGAGGGUAAAUACAUUUGUCUUAAUAAUACAAUAUUCAUAUAUUAGUUUAAGUCAUAAAUGUCCAUGAAGCGACCGUGCUAGAACCACGGACACGAGGGAUGCCUAAUACCUUCCCCUCGGUCAACAGAAUUCCUUACCCGAACUCGUUCGUAGACCAAACAAUGAGUCAUUUCCUUUUGAUUAGGGAUUAAACAAAAAAGGUGACUUGGAACACCAUAACUUAAUUCCAAGUGGCGACUCUGAAAAAAUCAAAAUAAUCCCUUAAUUAAUAACGUCACUUAUAUUGGAAAAACCCUUACGCCGUCGCGCGAAAAAGGGGUGUGACAUCUCUGGCGACUCCGCUGGGGACUAACUAGAAUUAGAGCUUGUAAACAUGGACUUCUACAUUGACUUUGUUGUAUAUUUACGUACUUAUCGAUUUGUGAAUAUUGUGUUUAAUGACAUAAUAUGUUAUUUGUUUGCUUAUUUACCCUUUUGAUUAUAUGUGAAUUAUAAUAUAAUUAACUUUCCUCGCGCAUCCAUCUGAGUCUUCUGAGAUAUUUUAUUCGGAGAUGCGAUUACGCUCCCGAGCCAUGAGAUACCAGAGAUGCGGCAACGGUCCUGGGAAGGAUUCUAUAGUAACACAUGUCUUAGGAUGGGAAGGACUAACAGUGAGGCCAGAAAGCCCUGCUACUGAUAAGUUGUCCAUUCUCGACUCGAGUAGUCCGCUCGUUUAUGGCCAGUCUAGACACCUUCCCUAUUAGAUUGUUUACCUAGUAAAACAAGCCUCAACAAUGACUAUCCCUAAUAGGAUUCGAUUUAUCUGCAUCAUGCAUAACGUUGAAUUAAUGGGGAGCUCGACACGAGGGUCGAGCCUGUCUAGGAGAAGUAUCCCUACUUGAAACUAUCAUGUACAUUAUUUUGUGUUAUUUGUUGUAUUACGGAGAAGACUAUACAAAUGUUGAUCGGCUUUAGAUGAAUGAAUUAUAAUGAAAAAUUAAUUAUAACGAAAAAUACCAAAUUAAAGUUUUGACGUAACUCUUUUAUUAAACACAAUUUUUUCUAUCAAAAUUUAUAUUUCUUUUACAAAUAGAAAAAUCUAUUAUAUUUAAAAAUAAAAAAAAAAGAUUGAAAAUUUAAUCAACAAAAACUAAAAUACAAUCGAAUAUAUUAAUAUUUUUAGUUUUGGAAAAAUUUUAAGGGCUAUUUAUAUAUAUAUAUUUUUUUUUCUCAUUCUUCCUUUAAUAAAUAUUUUUUUAAAAAAAAACAAAUAAAUAAGAAUAAAAAUAAAAUAAAAAAUUUGCUUUUUUUUGUGUGUGUAUGACUUUUUCUUAUUCUUAUUUAAAAAAUAUAUUUUAUUAUAAAAAAAAUUUACUUUUUUGUGUGUUUGAUUUUUCCGUUAUUCUUGUUAAAAAAUAUAUAUUUUAUUAAGCCUAGUUUGUCACUAUCAUAAUAUAGGGAAAUAUGAAUCCAUAUGGAAAGGGAGAUAAGAGACAAAGAGAGGACCAAUCACCUCGAUUCAUGAUAGUGGAUAAGGCCCCGACACUCUUGAAGACAUGGUAUGAAAAUAUGACAAACCAUGGACGAGGAAUGGUGUUCAAACGCUUGGGAUUUCUACGAAGCCUUUUGUAUGUUGAGCCACGACGGGAUUUGAUAGAAGCACUAGUGCAUUUUUGGGACCCAUUAAGGAAUGUAUUCCAUUUUUCUGAUUGUGAACUCACCCCCACCCUUGAGGAGAUAGGGGCAUUCAUUGGAAAGGGUAAACAUCUUCACAAAGAAGAGCCUAUGAUACCAAAAAAUAUUAAUGGGAGGAGGUUUCUAGGAUUACUGCAUAUAAAUGAGAAUGAUAUAGGCGGUUGUCUCAAUAAUGGAUGGGUCCCGUUAGAAUUUUUGUACAAAAGAUAUGGCAAAAGUGAUGGAUUCGAAGUGUAUGGAAAUAAACUCCGUAAUAAUGGGUGUCGUCUGACUUGGGAAGCACACAGUUAUGAUGCCUUCGUGGUGGCUUUUUUGGGAAUCAUGGUAUUUCCAAAAAAGGGAGGAAAGAUUAGCAUGAACUUAGCUGCAGCCAUUACAGCUUUUGAGAAGAAGCCUAAUAUCACCCUCGUACCAAUGAUUCUGGCAGACAUCUAUCGUGCUUUAACUAUUUGGAAGGAUGGAAAAGACUACUUUGAGGGAUGCAAUAUGUUAUUACAACUAUGGAUGAUUGAACACAUUCGUCAUCACCCAUAUGCAGUGGACUUUAAAGUAGAAUGGAAUGAUUAUAUUGGAGGUCACAAAGAAAGAAUCAAAGAUCAUAGUUUUCCGAAAGGUAUUGAAGCUUGGAAGCAACACCUCAAUAAUCUGACUGCUGACAAGAUUGUGUGGAAUUAUCAUUGGUUUCCAUCGGCCGAGGUGAUAUACAUGUCUACUUUUCGAUCGUUCAUUGUUCUAAUGGGUCUUCGAGGUAUCCAACCUUACAUGCCACUUAGAGUCAUGCGACAACUUGGGCGACGCCAGUUUAUACCACCCAAUGAAGAUAUGCGUGAAUUCAUGUAUGAGUUUCAUCCCAAGAUACCUUUAAGGCAAUCAGAGAUAUUUAAGAUUUGGGGGGGAUGCAUACUCUCAAGUCCCCACGAUAUGGUGAAGGAUCGCACUAGAGGCGAGGUGGACCAAGCAUACUUAGAUUGGGUUCAUGAUCAGCCCCUUCCUAAGGUUAUGCCAAAAGGGUCAAUAAAAGGACCUAUAGAUCGAGAAGCAGAAAUUGAGGUUAAGAUUAAGCAAGCUCGCCUCAAAGUCAAAAGAAGCUACAAAUCCACUCUGGAUAUCCUAAGUAAUGACCUGAAAAACGCUAAAGAGGAGUUGGCCCAACGUGAUGCGAUAUUCGAAGUUAGAGUUAGAAAACACCGCUCUACCAUUCUAACCUUACAAGAAGACUUGGGCAUUGCCACAGGCGCCAUGGAGCAACAGGAAGAGGAGUAUAAGAAAGAAAAGUCCCAACUUAUCUGCGCACAGUCUAGGCUCCAAACUCAAGUUAAAGCCUCUAUGGAACGAGAAAGAGAAAUAGCAAGGCGUUUCAGUGCUUAUCAGGCAGACUGUGAGAUUGAGAGAGGUCAAAGGAUAGCCGAGCGAGAUGCACUCCACCUUCAAAUUGAAGAGCUCCAAGAACAAAGGGAAAAUUUGACGCAUGAAGUCAAUACCGCUCACCACUGGUUACAGAAUUGUUAUGACAAUAUGGAUGAAGCUAGAGACCGAAUACUGCAACUCAGGGAUGAACUCAACAAUGUUUAUGCUAGAUAUUUACACCAGAACGAUGAGAGGUUGGGCUAACAGGCCCGUGCUUUGUCUCCAUAUCUACCGAAAGCGUCGGCGAAGAUUUAUAAGGGCCUUGGAGAUGAUUGAGAUUCGAGGAUUCAGUUUCUUUUAGAGUAUAUUCUCUUAGUAGUGAUUAUUUCAUUAUUAUUAUUAUUAUUAGUUUUUUCCCUUUCUUUUCGUUUUGUUAUUUUAUUUCAUUUAGAGUCUAUCUAAGUCCUAGGUACUUCUGUUUUUUUUUUGUUUUAUCCAAAUCAUUGUUUCAAAUAUUUGAAAAUGAAUGAAAAAGAUUUACUUUCGAUCACCUUGUGUGCAUAUGUCAUGCAAAAAAAAGGAAAAAAAAAGAAAAAAAAUUAUUAUUAAUAUCUUCCUCGAACUACGCAAGAUCUGAUUCAUGGGCCAAACAUGAUACGUAGGCAACCCAGGGGGUUGGAUCCAAAUUAUUAUUAUUACUAUUAUUAUUAUUAUUUUCUUUUCCUUUUUUUUCUUUCUUCUUUCUCUUAAAAAAUGAUAAUCAUAAUGAGAAUAAAUAAAUAAACAAAUAAGUAAAUGAAUAAGUAAUAAUAAUGAAAUAUUAAAAAAACUAAUGAAGAGAAGAAUGCCUAGGUAAGCCGGGAUGAAACAUGAGGUCCUCCAUAUUAGAAGUAUGUAUGUGGAUACAAUGUGCAUAAUUUCUUAACACUAAUCGGUUUGUUACUCUAUUCAGAGAGAGAGAGAGAGAGAUAGAGAGAGAAAGAGAGAGAGACAUACUAGCUUAAAGGUGGUUGGUUUGUGGUUAAACUGGCACACAUCCUUACAACACAAGAUCAAAAGGGAAACAGAAAAUGGCCCCCAGAGACGAAAAUGAAUCGGACAAUGAUGAGGAGAUCCAAAACCAGAUGACUUCACAAGAAACAGGGACAACAGAAGAGAUAAGGGUGUUAAGACAACAAAUGGCAGAGAUGUACGAGGCUUGGAUGAGUGGACAACCUCCACCAUCUUCAAUCCGAGACUAUUUUAAUACAAAUAUGUCUCACCCUAUCCAGGUGUCAACAAGCGAUCCGAUAUAUCCCCCUGGAUUCGACCCCUAUGCUAACACAUCCAAUGUCGUUGGAACUUCUAUGGCACGCCCUUCGAAUACGCCUGUAAUAAGUAAUCCACUCUUUGUGUCAACUGCCCCAACUAACAGCAUCCCGCAGCCAACGAUGAUGCCCAAAUCCAACAGCGAUCCUCCGCCCAAAGUUCGGCGUGAGCAGAGUUACACUCUUGAAGAGACCAUUAAAAUUCCAAGUUCUCAUCCCCACAUUCAUCAAUAUAGUUCCCCUGUUGAAAUUGAGAGGAUGGUCAAGAAUGAGGAACAUGAAGAAAUGACUAAGAAAAUGAAGAGUUUGGAACAGAGUAUAAGAGAUAUGCAAGGACUAGGAGGCCACAAAGGUAUCUCGUUCAGUGACUUGUGUAUGUUUCCUCACGUCCAUUUGCCUGCUGGUUUUAAAACUCCAAAGUUUGAAAAAUACGAUGGUCACGGAGACCCUAUAGCUCAUCUAAAGAGAUAUUGCAACCAAUUGAGGAAUGCAGAGGGCAAAGAAGAGUUACUUAUGGCCUAUUUUGGGGAAAGCUUAAUAGGGAUUGCAUCUGAAUGGUUCAUAGAUCAGGAUAUCAUCAACUGGCACACAUGGGAUGAUUUUGCUUGAUGUUUUGUACAACAAUUCCAAUAUAAUAUUGACAUUGUUCCAGAUCGCUCCUCGUUAGCCAACAUGAGAAAAAUGACCACGAAAAAUUUUCGUGAAUAUGCUAUCAGAUGGAGGGAACAAGCUGCUAGGGUUAAACCACCGAUGAAGGAGUCAGAGAUGAUUGACGUUUUUCUCCAGGCGCAAGAACCUGAUUACUUUCACUAUCUGCUUUCUGCCUUAGGGAAGACAUUCACUGAAGUUAUUAAGGUAGGGGAAAUGGUGGAAAAUGGCAUCAAGUCUUGAAAGAUUGUAAGUCAAGCUGCCUUAAAAGCCACAACACAAGUGCUUCAAAAUGGUUUUGGAAAUAUUGGAGGGAAGAAGAGAAGGGAGGAUGUGGCCGCUAUUGUAUCAGCGCCUAGAACUCAUGUCCAAGGUAAUUCCUCACAACACUAUUUUCCUUCCCAAGCUCCACAAUAUUCUGUCCCAUACACUCCAUAUCAUGUUUUUAAUGCACAACCAAUUGCACCCCCUUCUUAUCCACAAUGGCGUGCACCAACUCCACAAAAUCAUCCACCACCCCCACAAGUUCAUCUAAACACUGCUAGAAUUCCUUUCCGUCCUAGACCACAAUACAAAAAGGGAAAUGGCGUUAAAGGUGAGUUCACUCCUAUUGGGGAGUCGUAUGCUAGCUUGUUCCAAAAAUUAAGGACGUUGAAUGUUUUGAGUCCUAUUGAGAGAAAGAUGUCGAUUCCUCCCUCGAGAAAUUUGGAUUAUUCUCAACAUUGCGCAUAUUGUUCUAAUGCCCCAGGGCACAACAUAGAAAGAUGUUGGUAUUUGAAAAGGGCCAUUCAGGAUUUGAUCGAUUCUAAUCAAAUUAUAGUUGAAAGUUCGAGUAGACCCAACAUCAAUCAAAAUCCAUUGCCGAGGCAUACUGAAACAAACAUGCUAGAAAUGAUGAAGGGUCAUGAAGAGUUUGCAUCUCCGUAUAAGCCAAUACUUAGGGUUGGAACUGGCAUUGAGAAGUCAGCAAAUGUUGUUGAUUUAACAAAAAUGAUGCCUUUAGGGGCGGAAAGUGUGUUAGAAAAGUUGAGUCCAUCAAACACACCCAUCUAAACUGUGAAAGGAGCCCUUGAAGAUGUUUGGGCAAGUCCGAGUAAGGCAAAAUCGUUUGUUCCAAAAAGGCCAAACAAACCUAUCUUGAUCGUGCAAGGGGCCCAUAUUCCUCCUGUGAUUAUCAGGCCAGUAUCCCAGCUUCCAUUGACUAACCCCAAAGCUGUUCCUUGGAAUUAUGAACCUACUGUCGUGACAUACAAGGGAAAAGAAGUUGCUGAAGAAAUAGAUGAAGUGGGAGGAAUAACCCGUUCAGGAAGAUGUUAUGCCCCAAUGGAAUUAAGGAAAACAAAAAAUGACCAAAUACAAAUAAAGAGUUCGGUCACUGAAGGAGAGGCAGAGGAAUUCCUAAGGAAGAUGAAACUAUCAGACUACUCCGUGGUGGAAAAAUUAAGAAAAACUCCAGCCCAAAUCUCUUUGUUGUCUUUGCUAAUACAUUCUGAUGAACAUCGUAAGGAUGUAAUGAAAAUUUUGAAUGAAGCACAUGUUCCUAGUAAAGUUACAGUGAGUCAGUUAGAGAAGAUUACUGGGAGAAUAUUUGAGGUAAACCGCAUCACCUUUUCAGAUGAUUAACUACCCAAAGAAGGUACAGGACAUAACCAAGGCCUACAUAUCACUGUAAAGUGUGAUCUUUCAUAUGUCACUCGAGUUCUAAUUGAUGGAGGAUCUGGAGCAAAUAUUUGUCCUUUAUCAACUCUACAGAAAUUGAAUGUUAGUGCUGAAAGGGUCCGACCCAACAAUGUAUGUGUUAGAGAUUUUGAUGGGUCAAAAACAGAUGUUAUUGGUGAGAUAGAGCUCGUACUAACCAUAGGGCCUGUGGAUUUCGCUGUGAAUUUUCAAGUGUUGGAUAUCAACGCGUCCUACAAUCUAUUGUUGGGGAGGCCAUGGGUGCAUAGGGAUGGAGCAGUCCCCUCAACGUUGCAUCAAAUGAUUAAGUUUGAACACGACCGACAAGAGGUAAUUGUUCAUGGUGAGGGGGAUUUGUCAAUCUACAAAGACUCUUCCUUCCCUUUUAUCGAUGCGGAUAAUGAGAAUGAGGCACUAGUUUAUCAAGCUUCUGAGGUAGUGUUUAUUGAGCAUGUCCCCGAGGGGAGUGUCAUUCCAAAACCAAAUAUGCCCAUCGCGUCUGUAAUGGUGGUGAAUGAAUUGCUGAAACAUGGGUUUGAGCCGGGUAAAGGCUUAGGAAUCUGCUUGCAAGGAAGAGCUUAUCCUGUGAGUCUACGAAAGAGCAUCGGUACUUUUGGCUAAGGCUACCAACCUAGAUUCGAGGACAAAAUGAAGACAAAGAAGCAGAAGAGAGAUGUAUGGUCACUUACCAAGCCUAUACAACCAAUCUACAAAUCUUUCAUCAAAGCCCGCGCAACAGAAUCUUAUCAAUCAUCUUUUCCAGAGCCAGUGAUGAAAGUUAGCGAAGAAAUGAUCAACUAUUUUCAAGAUUUAUUUGUCGAGGUUGAUAUGGUGGAACUCGGAGAAGGCACUAGCGAUAGAGAUGUGCAAUUCAUUGGUCCUGAUGUCAAUCUAAACAAUUGGGAGGCCACCCCUCUCCCCGUUAAAGACGAGUCUUUGUAGUCUGUCUUGUUUUUUUCUUUUGCCAUCCGAUUCAUUCAAGGAUUGUAAUUCGGAUUUUAUCUUGUCGUUUUAUUUCAAACAUUCUAUUUCCCUUUUCAAUAGGAUGUAAUUGAAUCUUUAUUUCAGUCUAAUAUAUUUCUUCGUUUUCUUUUAUACAGUUCUUUCUAUGCCGAUUCUAGUGAUAUGACAUGCAUGCAGAAUUUUUCGUCAGAUCUUAAUAUCCAAUCUAAUCUUCGACCUAAUAUUGAAAUAAUAAGUCAAGAAAUCAACAUGAUGAAGACAGAGUAUUUGAAGAAGUAAGGAGGGAUUUCAAUCAUUUUGAAAAUAAGUCAAAUCCAAACAUGAGUGAAACUGAGACGAUAAAUCUGGGGGAUCAGGAAAUUAUUGAAGAGACUAAGAUAAGAGUACAUGUUCAACAUCAAAAGGACGAUAUAAUCCAGGCCUUGUUUGAUUACAAAGAUGUUUUUGCGUCAUCUUAUGAUGACAUGCCUGGAUUAAGCACGGACAUGGUUGUUCACAAGUUGCCAAUUGAUCCCAAUUUUCCUCCGAUAAAGUAGAAGUUGAGAAAACUGAAAACCGAUAUGAGUGUGAUAAUUAAAGAGGAGAUCACAAAACAACUUGAGGCCAAAGUCAUUCAAGUCGCUCAAUAUCCUUCUUGGUUAGCCAAUAUCGUACCUGUCCCUAAGAAAGACGACAAAGUUCGAAUAUGUGUUGAUUAUUGUGAUUUGAAUAAGGCAAGUCCAAAAGAUGAUUUUCCUUUGCCUAACAUCCAUAUUUUAUUGGAUAAUUAUGCUAAACAUGAGGUUGCAUCUUUUGUGGAUUGUUAUGCGGGCUACCAUCAGAUUAUUAUGGAUGAUGAAGAUGCAGAAAAAACAUCUUUUAUCACUCCAUGGGGUACAUACUGUUAUCGUGUUAUGCCUUUUGGAUUAAAAAAUGCAGGGGCUACUUAUAUGAGAGCAAUGAAAACCAUGUUUCACGAUAUGAUGCAUAGAGAAAUCAAAGUUUAUGUGGAUGAUGUUAUCAUUAAAUCUAAAAAACAGUCAGAUCAUGUGAAAGACUUAAGGAGAUUCUUCGAAAGGCUCUGCAGGUACAAUCUCAAGCUUAAUCCUGCAAAAUGUGUAUUUGGAGUACCAUCGAGGAAGCUUUUGGGGUUUAUAGUCAGUCGAAGAGGUAUCGAGUUGGAUCCUUCAAAAAUUAAAGCAAUCCAAGAAUUGCCACCUCCAAAGAACCAAACUGAGGUUAUGAGCCUUCUAGGAAGGUUAAACUACAUUAGCAGAUUCAUUGCUCAACUCACAACAACUUGUGAGCCUAUCUUUAAGUUGUUGAAAAAGAAUGCCACAGUCGAGUGGACCGAAGAAUGUCGACAAGCUUUUGAAAAAUUAAGAGUUACCUAUCAAAUCCCCCUGUGUUGGUUCCUCCCGAGCCGGGAAGACCUUUGAUAUUGUAUAUGUCAGUACUUGAUAAUUCUUUUGGUUGCGUACUGGGUCAGCAUGAUGACACUGGGAAGAAAGAGCGGUCCAUUUAUUACCUCAGCAAGAAAUUUACCGUUUACGAAGCAAAGUAUACCCUUCUUGAAAGAACAUGUUGUGCCCUAACUUGGGUAGCACAGAAGUUGAAACAUUAUCUUUCGUCUUACACUACUUAUCUCAUCUCUCGUAUGGAUCCGUUGAAAUAUAUUUUUCAAAAGCCCAUGCCCACAGGCAGGCUUACGAAAUGGCAAAUAUUGCUCACAAAGUUUGACAUUAUCUAUAUAAUGCGGACCGCAAUGAAAGCUCAAGCAUUGGCAGAACAUUUGGAAGAGAACCCUAUUGAUGAAGAAUAUGAACCACUUAAAACCUAUUUUCCAGAUGAAGAGAUAUCUUGUAUCGAUGAAGUUAUUCACGAUAACGAUCAAGGUUGGAAGUUAUUCUUUGAUGGUGCCUCUAACAGGAAAGGAGUUGGAAUAGGAGCUGUUCUUAUGUCUGAAUCAGGGGAAUAUUACCCUAUAUCAGCCCAAAUUAGAUUCUAUUGUACUAAUAAUAUGUCUGAGUACGAAGCGUGCAUUUUGGGUCUAAGGUUAGCUGUUGACAUGGGCAUCCAAGAAUUGUUAGUGUUAGGAGACUCAGACUUACUAGUUCAUCAAAUUCAAGGAGAAUGGGAAACUCGAGACCCAAAGAUGAUACCAUAUCAACAUUGUUUACAAGGUCUUUGUCAACGAUUCGUGUCGAUAAAGUUUAGAAACAUUCCCAGAAUUCACAAUGAGAUUGCAGAUGCAUUGGCCACUUUGUCUUCGAUGCUCCAACACCCUAAUGACGCCCAUAUCGACCCUUUAUACAUACAAAUUCGUGAUCAACAUGCCUAUUGCAACAUGAUUGAGGAGGAAUUUAAUGGUAAGCCUUGGUUUCAUGAUAUCAAAACUUAUCUUCAGUCUGGAGAAUGUCCGUCAGAUGUAACUAGUAAUCAAAGAAGGACUAUUCGACGACUAGGAAGGGGUUUUUUCUUAAGCGGAGGCAUACUGUACAAGAAGACACCCGAUUAAGGUCUUCUAAGGUGUGUAAAUGCUCAAGAGGCUUCCACAAUCAUGAUUGAAGUACACUCAGGAGUUUGUGGACCUCAUAUGAAUGGAUAUGUUCUAGCCAAGAAAAUACUUCGAGCAGGAUAUUAUUGGCUCACCAUGGAGCGGGAUUCCAUACGAUUUAUUCGUAAAUGUCAUGAAUGUCAAAUACAUGGUGAUUUAAUACAUUCUCCCCCUUCUGAGUUGCAUGCAAUGUCGGCUCCAUGGCCUUUCAUGGCAUGGGGAAUGGAUGUAAUUGGAUCGAUAGAACCAAAAGCAUCAAAUGGUCACAGGUUCAUCUUGGUGGCCAUUGAUUAUUUUACAAAGUGGGUGGAAGCAGUAACUUUCAAAUCAGUGACCAAGAAGGUCGUGGUGGAUUUCAUCCAUUUCAACAUCAUCUGUCGUUUUGGUAUUCCAAAGGUGAUUAUAACUGACAAUGCCGGAAAUCUCAACAGCCACUUAAUGCAAGAGGUAUGCUACCGAUUUAAGAUUAAGCAUCGAAAUUCGACUCCGUAUCGCCCAAAGGCAAACGGGGUUGUAGAAGCUGCAAACAAAAAUAUAAAAAAGAUACUUCGUAUGAUGGUGCAAAGUUCUCGACAAUGGCAUAAAAAGUUGCCUUUUGCUUUAUUGGGUUAUCGCACUACAGUCUGUACGUCAGUGGGCGCUACCCCAUAUUCACUGGUAUACGGGACUGAAGUAGUUAUACCUGCAGAGAUUGAGAUCCCAUCUUUACGAAUCGUUGUGGAGGCUGAAAUUGAUGAUGAUGAAUGGACCAAAACUCGGUUAGAGCAUUUAAGUUUGAUUGAUGAGAAGCGUCUGACAUCAGUAUGUCAUGGACAAUUAUAUCAGAAAAGAAUGGCACAGGCAUACAACAAAAACGUGCGUCCCAGACAUUUUGAAGAGGGUCAAUUAGUGUUGAGACGCAUUUUGCCACAUCAUGCUGAAACCAAAGGCAAAUUUUCUCCAAAUUAAAGAGGACCAUUCAUUGUUAAAAGGGUAUUACCCAAUGGUGCUCUUUACUUAGCAGAUAUAGAAGGCAAAGUGACAGAAACGGUCAUCAAUGCUGAUGCUGUGAAAAGAUAUUACAUAUGAUUGAGUUUCGACAUUAGAAACCCUUAUGUUUGGGCUUGAUAUUUCAAGGGUUGAUUCAAUGGGAUCUCUUGGUUAUGCUGUGUCCUUGACUUUAAAAAAACAAAAAAAAACAAAAAAAAACAAAACAAAAA
rnacentral:lncRNA from 1 species